rnacentral:lncRNA from 1 species
CUUGACCUGUUAGACUCUUCAAAGAGCACAUUUAAACAAUCUUGCAACUAAGGUUUCGGAAACAGGACAUUUUCAUAUCAUUGAGUUACAAAUUUCCAGAAACUUUCUCAUACUGUGGUCGUUCAAGAUGUUUUCAAUUAUAAGUGAAGUUUUGGUAAUUUGGUUUUUCUAUAAAUUUGUCCUUGCAGGUUUCUUGCAACUGAAGAAAGUCAUGCUCAUCCUGCAUACAAGAGAAAGGUGGUUGAAUAUGACGCAACUGAGUACACUGAUGUAUUCGGCCGUGCAAGGUGGCCUGAUGCACCACAUCGUGUUCUGCAUACACCUUUCUUCAAUGAUUGUAAAUAUAUUCCUGCUGAUCAAAAUGAAGCGGGUCAACCUGUUAUUGGCUGCGCAAUAAUACAUGAUAGGGUGAGGAUGAAAUUUUUCUCAUACUUGACAAGCAACGCUUACCACUAGAAUCAAGAGUAUGCCAUUUCGGUUUCUGCAUUUUUUCAUGCAUUGCAUAUAACUAAGUGGAAUGUAAUGGAUAGCAAUCUUGACUUAUAUUCUCUAUCAGGAAAUAGAAAUUCACCGUCUUGCCGGUGUUGUUCCAAAUGCGACAACAACGGGUGACAUUGAAAGCAUGGUGAUGUAUGCCGGCCAAAGUGUAGGACUCAUCAAGGAAAUUUUACCUGCAGGGGAGGUGGUAAAGAGGUUAGUUGAAGGGGCUCAGCUUCUGAUAAAAAACAAGUUCAGUGAUAUACUGUAAUCUACAGAUGCCUUAAUUUCACACUGGAAAAUUUGGAGAAUUGGGCUACAAUGGUGAACAAAGUUGAACUAGUAUUAUUUUGAAGAAAAUAAAACUUCGUCCCUGUCAGUCAUGUUUAUUGUUCAACCAUAGUAUUUGUUGAGAAAUGGGGUACGCGAUGAACUGUUUGUUUGUUAUAUUGCAUAAUUAAGCACAAGGAUACGUUCCUUGAAUGAUUUAGACUACAAGAUCCAUUUUAGUUGAUUGUUUCUUAAAACUAUUAGAAGGGGAAUUCAAAGUUUGGCGCAGAGAGGAGAGCAUAUUGUUCAAACAUCGUUCGUUUCUAUUCUACACUCCGCACACAAUUAAGCAUUUUGUCGAAGAAUGUCGCCACUUCGAUUGUUACUUACAUUGUUAAACACAAACACUAGAAAAAUAAUGUCUUUCUUUUUUUUUUGGAACACCGGCAUUUUUGAGGUUGAAUUCCAUUGUUGUGCUGGAAGUUCCAUUGUUGUGCUGGAAGUGAGUUCUGAAGAUCACUGGAGGAACUUUUCAACCCAAAUGACCCAAAUUUCAUUCAGUGCUAAGAGUUGUACCAAAUAUCUAUUUGGUGUCGAUUUGCAGCUUAUAUUAUGUCAAGUGUGUGUCAGUGACUGGGCUUUCAUGAAGCAGCAAGCAGAGUUCAAGUCUGCUAUUGAGCAGCAGCCGACAAAUGCGUGCGAUUGGCACUGUUGCUGAAGCUUAUGCAAUAAGAGAGAGAUUAUUAGCUUGCAAUGUUGCUGGGUUUGGUAAGAUUGUUUGGGUCAUAUAUAAAAAUAAGGCCUGCUAUGGGCUAACACAUUUUUAUUUACUUAAAAGUCAUGCGAUGCCGACCCAUUAACUCCAAAGCCUAACUUGGGUUUCGGGAGGGUUGCUUUCCAUCACACCUCAACUAACCAGGGGCUUAGACUCAUUCCUCUCCGAAGCGUGUCUGCCACAUGACAAUCAGAUUUGAGAAUAUCUAGUCUCCUUAGAUAACGAUGAACACGUCACCAAACAUGUUGUCGUUGUCUCAGGGGCAUGUGAGCGUUGUGUAUUUCAGAAGAAGGCCACCAAUCAUAACUUGUAGUUAUUGUCAACACCAAAAAGACUGAUCUACCCCUACUCCAGCUCAGGGUUUGCUAGACAAGGAGUCGAUGAUGACCUACAACAAGAAGGAGAAAAAGAGUGUGGUAGAGGAGAAAUUAUGCAUAUUCAAUUGUAGAUAUGGGUGACGGAUACCAUGGUUUAGCAGCUUUAGCUAGCAUUAGUUAGGUUUUUUUAGCGGUUGACAAUUUUAUUAAAACUAGGAAUACAAGGCCUAACCUUUCAUUUUAUUAAAUGAAAACUAAUGAAAAUGACUUGAAAACUUUGAGUUUUAAUCAAAAUGACAAAAAGGUGUUGUAAGUGAAUAGUACUAGGAGUGACGUUUUAGAGUAAAAAUGUCAUUUUCAUUAAAAGUGAACAGUACCAUGAAUGUUUCGUUAAAAUUUCCUUUUAUUGAUGUGAAUAAAAAAGCCCAACAAAAUUUAUGGGCUUAGAAAAUGAUGCAAAAGCAACCAAAAGAGUCUAAAAUUUUACAUAUAUAUAAUUAUAUUAUACACUAUAUAACAGAUGUAAAAAUUAAAAUAAACCCUAAACCCCUAAGCACUAGACCCCUUCCCACUGUCUGACUACCACUAACCGCUUUUUAUAACCUUGUUUAUAUCUAACAAAAUUCUUCCAUUGAUCACAAACAAAAGAAUAAAAUUCUUCAAGCAAGCAAAGUUUCAAGAAAAAUAAAGAUAGAAUAAAGCGAAGAAAGCAGUUUAUUAAAAUUCUAGUAAAGUGAUAAACUUGCACGAAGAUUGGCAAAAUCUAACACAAGCUAAACAAAGCAGACUACCCAUUUAGCAGCUUGGAUGACUUUGGGCUUUCCAGCAGUAGUUUGCUCAUUCGACACUUCAUCUUUACUAGGUCUGAUAUUUACUUUGUCCUUGACUGCUCCAUCUACGGUAUCUGAGAAAUCAAACUCAAGCAAUUCUCUCCUUCUUGGCAAGCAGCACAUAUGUAGCAUCAGCAGAAGGAGCAGGCUUUGGUGCCUUUUUAACAGCUGAAUCCACUUUUCCAAGUGACGGACUUUCCUCCCCACUUCUUGCAUUGGCGAGCUUUUAAGAAGCCAAUCUGGACUUAGCCACAACUAGAUAUGUUAGAUCCCACAUCACCUAGGGGAGUGAUCCUUAUAUGUAUAUUCCCAUCCCUACCUAGCACGAGGCUUUUUGGGAGUUCACUGGCUUUAGAUUCCGUAGGAACUCCAAAGUUAAGCGAGUAGCGCACGAGAGCACUCUCAUGAUGGGUGACCCACUGAGAAGUUCUUGUGUGAGUUCCCAGAAACAAAAUCGUGAGGACGUGGUCGGGGCCCAAAGCGGGCAAUAUCGUGCUAUGAUGGAGUCGAGCCCGGGAUGUGGUGGGGGACCCGGGCCGGGAUGUGACAAAUUGAAGUUGAUUAAGGGUGAUGGUGAAUGGUGAUACUCACCAGAACAACGAAUCGCCAUCGAAAAUCCCCGAGUUCUCCGGUGAAGUUUUACCUGAAUUAGACCUUAAAAACCCUUGAUUUUUUGUGGAGGUGGAAGGAGGAAGGUAGUUGAGCAGGUUGCAGGUGAAGGAGAUAAGAAAAUUAGUUGAGAAAUGGUGGAAAUUUGCAUGAAGUUGGCCGGUUUUGCCAAAUAGCCAAUGGAGUACACAGGUUCUAGAAAUGGGGAAAGAAAAAAUGUCCACCCUCCCCCCUAUUCGUCCUUUUUCAACCCCCCAUCACAUGCCCCUUAACCCAAUUAUGUAUAUUUGGGCCUUUAAUCCUCCAAUGGAAUUUAAAUAAUUUCCACUACCUAAAGUUUCACAACGUCAAACGUUCGUAAAUAUACUGUUAUAAUUCGGACUUGCAAACAGCUUUUGCCUAUGCGUUCGUGGGUUCGAGAUCUAUUUAAAGACACUAGUUGUAACUUCGAAAUAUCAACGAAAGAUAAAGAUUGAUUAUAAAACUUCCAACUCGAUAAAUAAUCAAUUACUAAACUUAUAAUUAGUGGAAUUAAAAUUAACUCAUAAAGAUAACAUAAUCGCGAAAUACGAAUUUAAAUUAUGAAAUACGUAAUAAAUGGUGAAAUUCCGGGGAUGAGAUUUCACAUCCUUCCCCCCUUAAAAAGAGUUUAGACCCUUAAACUCAACGCACCUGAGUCAAAUAGAUGGGGAUAAUGUUGGCGCAUCUUUACCUCUGGUUUCCAAGUUGAUUCCUCCACACCAUGAUUGUUCCAUAAUACGCGUACCAAUGAAAUAGUCUUGGUGCGGAGAGCUUUCUCUCUUUGAUCAAUAAUUUCAACGGGGUACUCCUCAUAAGUGAGAUUCUCCUUAACCUGAAUAGGCUCAUAAGAAGUGACAUGGGAAGGAUCACUACGAUACCUUCGGAGUGAGGAUACAUGGAACACUGGGUGAAUGUAGACAACUCUGGAGGUAGUGCAAGGCAAUAGGCAACUUCGCCCACUCUCUCCAAUACCUCAAAUGGUCCAAUACCUUUAACUCCAGACCCAGAUGCUGGAAACAGCUCGACGUCAAGUUUUCUGGAAGCAACAAAAAGACUUCUUCUCAACUGAAUGUCCAACAAGCAGGCCAACUUACUAGCCAGGCACUGCCCUUCUUUAGCGACAGCUCCGUGGCUCUUAGCCAUGCCAUCCUGGGCCUUGCCAACUGAUGUGCCAGACUACCCCCAUGGUUGUCCAGCGACAACACUAUCCAAGAAGAAAAAAUUCAACUUUUUCUUAUCUUGGUGUGGCACAAAAAAUAAAAAAAGAACAAUGACGAUCAACUCUUUGCAAGGGCAAGCAAAGAAGAAAACUACUGGAGGGUUUACAAUAUCCUUUAGCCUUUUCUCUCUCUUUUUAUAGGGAUAACAUUGUUCUUUGAGUUUACUUAGUCCUUUGCUUAAGGCAGACUUAAAUAAGUCUUGGUGGCAAUUGACUUCCCUUUCAUAGUGAAGACUCUAUUUCCAAAACAAGGUGGAAGAUCUACAUCAAAAUAACUCUCUACACACCUAAGCAGCUUGGGAUUUCUACACCUAUUGCCCUUUUAUGCUUGCAGCCCAGUAGGUGUAGGGGCAUUUGUGGAGCAAAAAAAAUCCAAAAAAUCCUGGAGGCGACACAUGAACUUUAUCUCAAGAAAGACAAGAUUUCUCUCAUUGAACGGGCAUGGUUCUCAAAUACUCCCACGAGCAGCUCAGCAUUCCUGAAGGUCCAAGUAGAGGACUACGAUUGCUCAAAGCUCCCGUGCUCAUGGCAUGAAAAAAUCAAAGGUAUUAAAGAUAUGAUUAAUUACUAAAUCUCAUCUUUAAUACAUUCCUAAUUGAAGAUCAACUCAAUCAAGUAAGAAAUCCCUGUUACAAUCAAUCAAGGAUACUUCCACCAUUAUCCCAAUAUAUUAUCUCUUAAUUAAUAUCUUGAGAAUAUUAUUUCCUUAUUAUCCAACGGAUGACACACCUUGACCAAUAUGAUUUUGCCAUGUGUAGGGCAAAACCCUAACACUAUAGCCAGCCACCUUCUCCUAUAAAUACCUUCAUCUCCACCAAAAUUUGGUAAGCUUUUUGCUAUGCAUACAAGCCCUAAGCACUCACUCAUUUUAGAGAUACUAACUUAGGCAUCAAAGAUUCAUUGGCCAAACUUUCCCCAAACUUUCCCCCCUCCCCCAACCUCGUGGGCGCGUGAGGCUUUGGUCUUUGAUCAAAGAUGUUACUUGUUUUGUAGAUACAAAUUCGUCAAGAUUGAAGACGACGGAUUUUACGACCACAACAUCGCUUAAAAAACUUUUUUGUUUUUUGGGUUGAAUAGUGCGUCUUUGUCUAAUUAUUACAGCCCCGUAAAGGUAAUUAGGCAGUAUGUCUUUUGGCAAAAUAUAUAAUUUUAGGUCUUCAUAUUCACAUUUGGCUUUUAGGUAGAUUUUAUGAUAUCCUACAAACUAUAUUAUGAUGCUAGAAGUUCUUUGAUAAUUAUUUCAACUUUUCGAUUUUAGUUUUGCGAAUGAAAGCUUAUUUUGUAACUAUUUCAGUUUUCAAAAAAAUAAAACAAAAAACUCAAAGAUAAAAUUUAAAAAUGCAAGAAAGUAGUUUUCACUCUUUGGUUAAGUUUUCAAUUUUUUGAAGGGUGAAUGCUUGCUCACCAUCCUACUUAUUAGUUAUUACCAUUUGAUGAGUUUAAAUUUUGACAUUUGUGUUUAUCGACCACACAUAUCUCGAAAUUUAAACUCACUUAUGGGUGAUAAGGAAAAAAUAUUUCAUUUUCUCAAAGAUAUAAAUUGAAUGUAGUUACCCAACAAGUUUUCAAUUUAAAAAAAAGGUGAAAAAAUGAAAAUGAAAGUGUUAUCAAACAGCUAUAUAUAAAAGCCUCUUAUUGAAACAAGAGUAAUGUUAGAGUGAUCACAUAUUUAAAUCAUAUUUUAUAAGAGAAAUGCUAAGAGAACUCUGUAACAUCCCACAUCACCCAAGAGAGUGGAUCCUGUAAGUCUUAUAUGUAUAUUCCCAUCUCUACCUAAUACAAGGCCUUUUGGGAGCUCACUGGUUUCGGGUUCCAUCGGAAUUUCGAAGUUAAGCGAGUGAUCAAUCCCAUGAUGGUGACCCACUGGGAAGUUCUCGUGUGAGUUCUCAGGAUGUGGUGGGGGCCCGAGCGGGGAUGUGACAACUCUCUCAAAAGUAGGACUCUCUUCGAGUUUUUUGUUAUGUUAUGUUUUUAACACAAUAUUUUAUAAUGUUAGCACAUGAAUUAAGAUGACAGAGUACACAGGAGAGCUUUACUUUUGAGAGAGUACCCUCAACAUUUUUCAUUUUAUAAACUAUAUGAUACAAUUGUUGAUGAUUAAAUUAUUAUAGCCUCUCCGCACGCACUAACGUGCGUGCGAGAGGCAUUUUUGCAUCACGGGCGCUACGCGCCCCUAAAGGUGUAUUGGGUUAGUCUUUUUCAUUGUGAUUGUCAAGAUAUAUUUUAGAUGUAUUGAGCAAAGAGGAACUUUAUCUUUAUCAUGCACGUCUUAAAAAAUUGUCAUAUUUUUUGUUUUCACUUUGCCUACAGUAAUGAAGCAACAUCAUCUGGAAGCAAGUUCCUACCUUGUGUUCAUAAACAAUAGUAAGUAGAUGUGAAUAAAAAAAAAGUAGAUGAAAACAUUAAGUACUCGUAGCAAAAUACAAAACAACUUAAAUGUCAAAAUAUAAAACCGACAUCACAAUAUGUACAUUUUUCACAAUACCCAUAAAGUCUAUAUGCCAUUGUUUCUUUUGAAAAGAAAAUUGACAUCAAUGCUGCAAUUUCCAUCCAUUCGUUCCUGAUUGACACUUCAAAUUUUCAUUGCCAAUCUACAAACAAUAGUGAGAAAAUUAAAAAUCAAAUAAAAAGAGUUAAAUGAUAAGUGAGAAAUGCAUAUUGAAAGAUUAUCGUUAAUAAAGUUGUUACCUAUUAGGAAUCACCAUAAUUAGCUGGAAUGAAGCAAGACUUCUUUGUAUACUACAUUCAGUGUAAAUACACCUUGUUGGCCGACUAUGGAGCCAUUUUUUACUAACACAGUUGUGGUUGACUUUGAGACCCCCCUCGAUAAAGCCACAUAUAAUUGUCCAUGACUGAAGACGUGAUCUGGAAGGUAAACGCCUACAUGUGGUAUUGUCUGACCUUGAGAUUUGUUUAUAGUGAUAGAGAAACUUAGUUUCACUGGAAACUGCUUUCUUGUAAGUUCAAAUGGAAGCCCAGCAAUAUCAGUAGUUUUAAGAGGGAUUCUUGGUAAAAAACUCUGGAUCCGGCAAAUUGUCCAGUUAGAAUUUCAGCAUCAAUAAGAUUUCGGUAAGAACCACGACACAAUAAUCUUGUACCAUUACACAAUCCCAAUUUUGGAUCGAUAUUCCUUAAAAGCAUGAUUGGAGCACCUCUUUUUAGAGUUAACUUGUGCGGAGGCACCACCAAGUGAGAUUGAAUUCAAGAACUCUGGCUGAUACAAAUUCCUUUCAUCAUCCUCAACUGAAUCAAAUGAAUACAUUGUCUCUUCUAAACCUGGAAACAUAUUGAUUAUCUUUUCAUUUAACAUAUCAACGUCUUCAUUUGUAGGAGUUACCACUGCCCUUUCCACCAUGUAGGUUGCAUCAUUCAUAUGAUCCUCUAAGUUAGGGAAGAUUUUGGCAAUUAAUUGAUUAAUGGAAUGCUCACUCUCCCAUGCUAUCACCAUGCAUUCAGGUAGUUUUACCAUAUCAUCCAUAAUAACAUCUUCAUUCCCAUCACCAACACGAAGUAAAAAUUCUGAAAAUUCACGAUCAUUUAUGGAUCUCAUGUUUUGUUUGAGUUUUAAAAUGUUUACCUCUGACCAAAAUGAUGCCUUAACAACACUUGCUUGGAUUAGUUCGGACUUGGUUCCUUUCCGGAUAACAGGAAGAACUUGUCGAAAAUCUCCCCCAAAUAUCAUUAUUUUUCCCCCAAAUGGUAAGUCAAUAUCCGUUAGGUCUCUGAAUGUUCGAUCGAGUGCUUCAAAUGCAUGACGAUGCGUCAUUGUUGCUUCAUCCCAGAUAAUUGCCUUUGCCUUUUGUAUUAGCUUUGCUAAAUCAGAUUGCUUACCAAUCGACACAUCGAUGAUGCAUCGAGACUAAGUGGUAUCUUGAAUUUAGAAUGUGUUGUCCUCCCACCAGGCAAUAUCGUAGCUGCUAUUCCAGAUGAUGUUGUUGCUAAUACUAUGUGCCCCAACCUUCUCAAGCUUGCUAACAAUGCGCGAUAUAAGUAAGUUUUUCCAGUUCCACCGGGACCAUCCACAAAAAAAGUUGCAUUCUCUGAUCGUUGAACCGCACCCAUUAUUAUGUUAAACGCAUUUCUUUGGUCAUCAUUUAAGCGUUCAAUUGCAUCAAGAUCUUGUUGUGGAAUACCUAUGGAUAUCUCAUCUUCAAUACAUCUUGUCAUUCCUGAACUUGAUUCAUUUCCUCUUGUCAUUUGGGGGAAAUCAAACUCGUUUAUACUCUUAUUAAAUUGAACCAAAAGUAUGUUCAACUCACGCAAGAGUCUGUUGGUAGCAAGUGUGGGAGUCAUGUUAGUCAUGGUAACAUAAUCUUCUAUCAUGAAUGGAUAGAACUCAUCCCAUAACCCUCGAACACCAAUUGGUGCACAAUAUACCAAUAUGGUGACGAAUAAUCUUCGUAAAGCCGAUGGCAUUUGAAUUGUGGAGGCCUCUAGCAAACAUUGUCGAAUACUGUCAUCUCUUUCUAAUAAACCUUGUUGUUCUGCUGCCUGUUUAAAUGUUGGAUGCAAAACCCCAUUAAUCGUUCUCAAGUUUGUGAAGGAUGUUGGUCCUCUAACAUGAUUAAGAAGAAUUCGAAGGUAAAAUUUUUCACCUUCAGCAGGUGAAACUGCAUAUAUUCGCCCAAUAACCUUGUUACGAUUCAUUCUUUUAGACCACUUUCUUUGAGCUUGAAUCCAUCUGUAAUGUGAUGGGAUUUCCAUGUAUAAGUACCGUCGCGCUUCUGCAUCCACAUGAUUAAGUGUAAAAAAUUCAGUUAACAUUGUCUUUCUUGUACUCUCAUCAUGUAGAAUAUUUAUUAUGCUCUCAUCGGCACGAAACUGAACUUGGUGCAUAUUAGGAAGAUGUAUUUGCAAUCGCUCAACAGAUGGGUAAAUUCGAUUAAUAAUGAACUUGAAUAUCUUCCAUAAUGCCUCUGGUGCGCAAACCCAUCUUGCAUCCUGAAACUGCUUUAUUUCAUCGUAUUCAAGGUCUGAUUGCACUUCGACUGUCACUCUAUCUGGGCCUUUGUAAACAUACUUAUAUAAGUACUUGACACUUUUUAUGCUUGCACAAAUUUCAACAUUGAUGUGACAAUCAUACCUUAACAGCAACCAUGGAUUAUAUGGAAUGACCCAACUAUUAUCAACCAUUAUGUUUCCUUGUCGAUCAAGAGAAACGGGCAAUCGAUUUCCUCGCCUUUGAUAAAUUGGAUACGAAUCAUUUCCUUGAACAGUGACUGGUGCAAAUGGUUUGGGAUACUUUCUCUUACAGCUCCCAUUUUUCAUACAUGGAGAUUGAGGAUUAUGAAUCCCACAUGGGCCAUGAAUCAUAUGCUUUAACACCACAUUGUAAAGUUGAGGCUCUACGUCUUCGUUUGGUAUUUCAGCUCUAACAAUUCGGUCAUACUCAUCUGGGUUAUUGAUCUUAUCAUUUUCAUCUAACACCACCAGCAUAUGCACAUGUGGAAGACCACGUUUCUGAAACUCAAUAACGUAUGCGUACGCAACAACACUGCCCAAUACCCCAUUUUCAAUGAUGUCUUCUUUUAGUUGCUCAAGUUUUGCACGAAAUACUCUAGUGAGUAAGUCAGGACGAUCUUGUGGAGUUUGUCCAGCGAGUAAUUCACUUUUGAUUUCUUCCCAACUUGGGUUACAUGUCAUGGUAAUAAAAAGAUCUGGCUUUCCGAAUCUUUGAACCAGAGUCAUUGCAUCUUGAUAUCGUUGGUACAUGUCACGUGGGCUUCCAACAAAUGAUGAUGGUAAAAUAAUUCUACGCCCAAUGCUCCCUGUUAAUUUUUUAUUUUCAAUUAACUAUAUAUAUUGUACAGAUUUUGAACAAAGUUAUAUUUUUAAAUAACGAUAACUGAAAUGAUAUAUAUACCUGCAUUGUGUUGACCUGCAUUUAAAGAGUCUUGAAGUCCUUUAUAGAGAUCUGCUCUAACUGUGGCUUGAUUAGAACGCAGCCAUCGAAGUUUUUGUGAUUCAAUUUUAAUGUAGUUAUCUACAGCAUAUUGUUGCAAGAGACGUCCACCUCGAAGCAAAAGUGAUGAUCCAUUAUGGCGUAUCUGCAGAAGCAAAUUUCAUAUAUUGCUUUUAAUAUGGGAAUCAUCAUUCAUUUAUAUAUAUUGGGAAGUAAAUUAUGUUAUUGGUACAAACCUGUAACAUAUAAGCAUAAUAGUCGCAACAUGUUAUUGCUCUUCCACCAUCAUCGCGACUAUUAACAUCCCAACCAUAUGUACCGUAAGGUAGCAAUAGUGGAUACUGUAACGGAUCAUAAAAUCCGACAUAGUCUCGGACGUGAGAAAGUCUUCCACUAAUUGUCUCGACCACGAUAUCCCUUCCAUUUGCAAUGGUGGCAUCAUCUCCAUCUAUUAUAAUUGCUGCAACUUGUGAUGCUGAUGGUAGACUAUACUGACGUCGAUCUAUUGGUUGCUCUUUUAGGAUCAACUUGCAAUUCGGCAAAUCUUGGCGUUGUCCGAGGCUUCGCAAUGUAUGAACAAAAGGAUUAUGGUUGUUCAACAUCUGUUGUAUCUUUUCAACCACACGUCUAUCUAAAACUUCACUUUCACACAUUUGGUUUUCAACUUCAUGCUCAGUGUCAUAUAUAUAGGCUUGUAAAAAUCGCGGUCUGUUUCCUUCAUGUGGUAAAAGUCCACCAAUCUUAUGAUAUAAUGCACCUUGAGCACGAAAUGUGUAAAUCCCACGGCCACUAAUAUUUAUUCUUUCAUCCACGUGUACUCCCAUUGAAGUGAAUGAAAAUGCGUGAUUGUAAGCUCGAAUAUUUUGCCUGAAGUGUCUACCCUCAUUUGUUUGGUCAGAGAAAAGAGCAACCAUUUCUGGUGGAGAUUGUAUUGGGGGUAAAGCAACUCUUCCUUUCAAGCAACACAUAUUCAAAGUUUCUCGAGUAAACAAUCGUGCGUAGCAGUACGAACAUGUGGUUGGAGCAGGUAAGCGGCAACCUAGGAUACCUCGAUUCUCAUUAUAAUUUCUAGCACAAUUGUGGUUUCUUCUUCCUCUACUUUGCCGCACAUGACGAUUGGUUCUAGUUGCAUGUUCUUCUUCUGAUAUUUGUACAUGAAUAUCCAACACUCAUUAUAAGAAUUUCCUUUGUAACUAAUAAUAUAUGUUUUAUAUAUAGAUAGAAUUAUAUACUAAGCUCACCAUUAUGGGGAAGAGUUGAGAGCAUCCCAUCAUAUAUUUGUGACCUAUUCGAAUGUGUCAAUGAUCCUAUAUGAGUACGCAUUGUAGCAGAAGUUUGGUCAUCACGAUUUGUGAUAUCUGACAAAACCCUUGAACUCGCGCUUUCAUGCUCAAUUUGUUCUAAUAAAUACACCACAUUAUAAUAUGAUUAGGUAAAAAUUUAAUGUUUAAUAUUUAAUAUAUUUAGUUGUGGUCUAAUAUUUUGUAAGACUACCAAUAAAAAUAACUACAACAUUGAGAUCAAUAUGAGAGUACGAACAAAAGAAUAAAAUGAGAUUUCAAUGCACAAAAUAGUGUUCUAAAAAUUACCUAAUUUUUAAAGUGUGAAACAAAUACAAAUAAAGAAAUUUAAAUAAAUACCUGGAAUUUGUUGUUGUAUAUUACUGGGGUUGACCUCAACAUCAUAGUUAGCCAAAUCAACUCGUUCUUGUAUAUUACUGGGACCUACUUGUUGCAUAGUUUAAAAAAAAUAGAAAUUAGAUUUUUAAAUUUUUUUUAAUUAUGAGUUUAAGAAAAAAGAAUAUGAAAUAAAUACCAGGAAUUUCUUGCUGUAUGUUACUGGGGGAUGUCAUAGUAUGAUCAUCACUUGGAGUUGGAAUUUGUUGUCUUUUUUCUUGUGCUAUUAGACGUCGUCGAGCUAGAUAUCUUUGAUGUUCUUCAGGACUCAAUGAUUGACGCCACUGUCUUGUACGACUUUGAGCACACUCCAUGGAAAAAUUUAUCUAAAAAAUUAAUAAACAUAAUGAACCUAAAUAGAAUACAAAUUUUGUGACAUUCCACAAAUACGAAAAGGUGUAUACAGAUGCCUACGAACAGAUGAAAACAAAAGCUUUAUGUACACAACACUAUAAUACAAAAGAACAAAAUAAAAUGAUGACAAAAUAUUUUUGAAGUGUAAUAAUUAUCCGUGCAAGGAAAUGAUGGGCCUAUAUACACUUGCCGGUUGAUGUUAAGACUUGAAUGGAAAUGUGAAAGACGUGAUGCUUUAAUUAUUUCAUUUUUUGGGGUUAGGAUUUGUUUGGAUUUGAUUAAGCAUGUGACUUGGGGAGGUCAAUGUUGGUAAUUUGGGAGGUACUGAUUGUGUUAAAUUUGUGCCAAAAUAUUUACGGUUGGUUUUUACAUAUCUUAACGCAAAACAUCUUAAAUUCCUAAAACAUGGUACGUGUUAAGAUAAAUUAACGCAAAAAUGGUUUCCGUACCAAAUUUUUACACAAAACAUCUUAAAAAUAUCUUAAAGAUGGUUUCCAUACCAAAUUUUUGCGUUAAGAUAUUUUGGGAUCUUAUCUAUUGUUAAGAUGUUUGGUACGCGCCCCUAAAAAUGGUUUUGCUUUAAGAUGUUUUGCAUUUGUAAAAACACGGGGUAUCUCUUAAAAAUUAGGCCAAAGUAGGUUAUUGAAGCCAAGUACAAAUGCUGAAUUUGUGCCAGUUUAAGUCGUGUACAAAUUUUGGUUUUUAAUUUAAUACAAAUUCAUUUAAGGUCAGGCCAUGAAAACAGCUUUUUUUUUUUUUUUUUUUUUUUCAAUUAAUGGUUGUUCACAAAUUUGUCACUUGAGGUGGAAAGAAAAAAAGAAGUUGUGUGUUUUCUUACACCUAACGCUAGAGUGCAAUAAAACACAAAAUAGGCUAGGAAAUCAUUCAUCGUAUAAGAAAGAACUUGGUACAUAAGCAGGAGCAUCCAAAUAAGAUUUCAAGCAAAGAGAAUGGUGAUACACGAAAUACAUAGUUAUUCUGAUUGUAUAUAGGAAUAAUGAAUAUGUAUUCGUCCAUAAAAAAAAAUAAAAAACAAAAAAAAUAGGAGAAAAGUACCAACUAACAGUACCGAAGGGAACUAAUGUAUUUACCCUCUAUUCUUUAUUUGUCCUUCUUCUUUCUGUUGCAUUUAUGUUCGCGUCUUCAAGCGCAUCAUACAAUCUCAGUUUCCUGUUGACAACAACGGAGGCAUAUAUAUCAUCUUAUCCUCACAAUACCACAAAAUACAGCUCAAUACAUAUUGGAUUCUCUUUGAACACUUUAUUUUACCAAAAUCUGUUAAAGAUGAGUUGAUUUAAACUAUAAUUUGCUCUAUUUUUGUAGACCUGUAUGUUGAGUUGGUUAGUGUAAAAGAAUAUACUAUAAUCAAACGAAGAACAUAGAAUUGACCAAGUUGCUUCAAGUCAUGAAGCCUGAAAUGCAAUGAAAUCAAUUCAUUUGCAGCAAACAACAUAUACAUAUUUUUUUCGGCACAGAGGUAUACAAAAACCAACCUACCUGUAAAACUCCUACGUAUCAAUAAAUCAUAACUAACAACCAAUCAUGACGAACAAACCCCAUCAAGCCCAAGCUCAAAUACAAACGCCACUAACAUAAUCACCCACAAUUCAUUACAGUAAACACAAAACCUGCCAAGAAAUUACGUUCAGAAAACUUUUAAUUCAAAACCACUUGCAGAAAACUUUUAAUCCAAAACCAAGAAAUUAACCACCAAGGAAUCGCUGUAAAACCACUCACACUAAACUUUAAUCCGAUAAAUCAUCUGAAACCAGGGCUCGGCUCAAAAUAUAAAAAACUUCAAAAUUAACCAAAAAAUAUUUGUUAGACUAUCCGAAAACACAAUUCAGACCAAACAGGAAAGAAGAAGAAAACAAAACAGUUGGAACCAAACGGCAUCAAACAUGGAAACCAGAUAGUCAUUUAGCAGAAACUUCUGGUCCGUCAAGAACUUGAAUAGACCCACAAAAACCAAGAAAAAUACAAAAAAAUUGACAUAGAGUAGCGGGAAAAAUGCUUACCAAAUGGUUCUUCAAGGUUAACGAUUUCAGAGUUUUUGUUCUAAAUACAAAAAAUUUGACAGAGUGUGUGCGAGUUCUUCCUCAUUCACCCAUUUGAGAGAGAGAGAGAGAGAGAGAGAGAGAGAGAGAGAGAGAGAGAGAUGGAAGGUACCUAAUGACAGAGAAGUAAAUAGUUGAAGAAAUACUCGAGGAUUUGUGUAAAUCCUAACGUUUAUUUUUCGGAUUGCAAGUUUCAGAUGAAGAAAUCAUACAGUUAUGAAACCAGGGCUCGGCUCAAAAUAUAAAAAACUUCAAAAUUAACCAAAAAAUAUUUGUUAGACUAUCCGAAAACACAAUUCAGACCAAACAGGAAAGAAGAAGAAAACAAAACAGUCGGAACCAAACGGCAUCAAACAUGGAAACCAGAUAGUCAUUUAGCAGAAACUUCUGGUCCGUCAAGAACUUGAAUAGACCCACAAAAACCAAGAAAAAUACAAAAAAAUUGACAUAGAGUAGCGGGAAAAAUGCUUACCAAAUGGUUCUUCAAGGUUAACGAUUUCAGAGUUUUUGUUCUAAAUACAAAAAAUUUGACAGAGUGUGUGCGAGUUCUUCCUCAUUCACCCAUUUGAGAGAGAGAGAGAGAGAGAGAGAGAGAGAGAGAGAUGGAAGGUACCUAAUGACAGAGAAGUAAAUAGUUGAAGAAAUACUCGAGGAUUUGUGUAAAUCCUAACGUUUAUUUUUCGGAUUGCAAGUUUCAGAUGAAGAAAUCAUACAGAAGCGGGGUCUGUACACAACACAAAAGUAAUGAACACAUAUUAGUUUAAAUAACAGAAUUUAAUUCACACAUUACCCUAAAGCAUUAGUAAAACAGAAACAACAAUUGGUAAUUCAGUAACUGCUUAAAUGUCUUUGGCAUUCCACAAAAGCAAAAAUUAAGCCAGAAACUAAAUAACCAAUACGCAAAACAGAGAGCUUUCUACAAUUGGUCCAAAACCCAUUUAAAAAAUCUGGUAAAUCUAAAUAAUUUCGAAUGGUUCAAAUGACAAUCGAGUUCAAUACUCCAAAUUAGUAUAUAUGAAACUAAGGUCGUGAUGAACAAUUUAAUUAAGCAUAGAGUACCUAGAUUGAAGUAGAAAGUGAAAUUGUCUAGCGAAAACCCAUCUCAAGAAUCUGGUCAGGAUAAGGAUAAUAUUGUUCGAGAAAAUUAUCCAAUUUAUCUAAUGUUUUCAAAGCUACCUGGCAAUGACAAACACAAAAAUAAUACAAAGUUUAACAGGAAUCAGAACAUAUGUGUACAUAUACAUAAGCAUAUCAGUUCUUCCAACCUUCCAGUAGAUAGAAUAUAAUUAAAUUUAUUUCCUGCAACUACUCAAAAACCACAAAACAAUCAAAUUUAUUUGCUACUCAGUAACCCAAUUUCCCAGUAUAUACAAUAUCCAAAAAUUACGUUUUGGAAAAAGAGAAUAAUAAAGAAUAACUCACAUUUUUUCCCUUUACUUUCGCUCCAUUUUUCUUCACCGAUCUCCUCCUCUGCUUCUUACUCUUCAAUUUUCCGACUCCACAAAACCCGAAAUUGACUACAAUAAACUUAAAACCCAUCAAAAACUUGAACAAACGCAAAAACCCAAGGAAAGCACAGAAAAUAUGAGAGUGAGUAUUAGAGAAAAUUCUUACCGGAUCGUCCUUGAAAGUUAGGAUUUCUGGGUUUUUAGUCUAAAAGAAUGAGGGCGCAUUCUUCCUCAGCGCAUCGUCUGCACAUUUAUUUUCAGGAUUGCCAGUUUCAGAUGAAGAAAUCAUCCAAUUUUCCCUUUUGUAUGCUUUGUGGGGAUCGAGAACGUGCGAUACAUGGCUGUUCCAUGUCGGGUCCAUCAACCGCUGCAGUUGUUGCUCUGAUCGUGCGAUAGAUGGUUUCCGUCUUACCUUUGAGUGCUUCUUCAGACAGGAUGUGAUCCAAAGGCUGAGAAUGAACUUAAAGUGUGAGUAUCUUAUCCACUGGUUGUGAAUUAAUGUUGUUGAGAAUUCAGUUUUAUUACGUUUUUAACCCUAUUUUCAAGACAGUUAUUUUUUGGUUUUUUGGGUACUAAGUGAGGGCAUUUUAGGCAUUUUGGAAUGUUUCACCAAACUGGGGCUCUCACUUUAUAUAUAUAGAUAAGUAUUGGUUAAUGUGGUUAUUUAUUAUUAUUGAAAGUUGGUCCAGCUAACAUGCUUUUAGGGUAAAAUGGGAUAGAGGACAAACUUUUUUUGAUGGGGAUAGUAACAUUGAUGGGUGCUUUUACCUUUUUACCACAACGAAACCUCUCCACAGUCCCACGCCAUUUUCCUCACACUGUUACAGUCUCACAGACACUCUGUCAAGCAGCGCCACUCCAAAUGGCGACAACAGCCACCGUCCCGCGGCCACAAUCGCCACAAGAAGCAAACAUUCCCUUAGACUCCUUAACCCACAUAGACAUCAGCACACUCUCUCAAUCGGAGCUCCAAGCGCUCUCCCUCUUCUCCUCUUCCUCCUCCUCGGCCUUAAACCUCUGCCGCACCCAAGACCUCAUCGUCCCCAAAAUUGACCGAUCUGUCUUCAACGAGAGCGCUGGUUCCCGCCGCCAAACGUACUCUCGUCCCCGCCGUCAACAGUCUGAUACCUCCACUGCCGCCGCCGCCACUGGCCACCGUCGUCGCGUUGCCGGCCUGCUUGCCACCCCUCCUAAGCUCACUCCAGUGCCACCGGAUGACCCCGAACGCAACGAGAACCAUGCGAUCAUCGCUCACCUCAAGAACCUCAUUUCCCAGGACCCCAAAUUCGGCCAAAUCGACUUCGAGCCCGCCCAGACGGCGUUGUUUUCCAGGGUGCUCAGCCCUAAUCCCAACAUGGGGAGUGGAAUCGUAGGUUUGGAGGGGAGAGGUGAAAUGGGGGUGAAGAAAAGGAAGCGAGGGAGGAAGCCCAAAGUGAAAGUCUUGGGUUUGGAGAAUGAGGGAUAUGCGGGUAUGGGGAUGGUGAAUAAGGAGGGCGCCGCGGUGGACAUUUCGGGUUUGGAGAAUGCAGAAGAGCCUUUUGGGGAGGAAUUGAGGCGGAGGACGGUGGGUUUGGAAACGGAGGAGCAGUUGUUGGGGUUUAUGAGGGACUUGGGUGGGCAGUGGGGGAGUAGGAGGAAGAAGAGGAAGAUUGUUGAUGCCAGUGAGUUCGGGGAUGCCUUGCCGGUCGGUUGGAAGCUCUUGCUGGGCCUUAAGAGGAAGGAAGGACGUGCUUGGAUUUACUGCCGCCGAUACAUAAGGUUUUACUUGCUUGGAAGCUCUUUUUUUCUUCAGUUCAGUCACUUGUAUUUGGCUUUGCAUCAUUGAGGUCUAAUUAGUUAUUAUUUGAAGAUAGUUUAAUAUUCUAUUGCUCGACAUUUACUUUGCCAUGACAUUUCUGUUGAUCAUUGAACUCCCGAUUGUUAGAACUUUGUAUGCAUGCAUCGUUAGGGGUGCCCGGAAUUCAAAGUUUAUUUACUUAUUUUUUUUUUGUAUCAUUUCCAUGAGAAUGCUUCUUUUGUAUGGUAACAUAGAUUAUCUUAGCAGAUCAUCCUUGAGUAAUGAUGAUCAAAUUAGGAUUCUGUACUGGUUUUCACCCCUCUUACAAACGAAUUACUGGAGACACAAACACAGUUAUUGCUAUAGUUUGGUAAUGAUGAAAAUAGUAUAACCUGAACAAAAUGUAUAACUAGUUAACUCGUGCCUUGUGGUUAUUUAUAUUUUCAUUUCAGUAUUCCUCUACUUUGUAUCCUGUAUUUUGGAGUCACCUCUCUCGCUUGUGUUUCUCAUCAUUACAAGUUGCUUGAUACUUUCCAGCCCUACUGGAGAACAAUUUCUGACCUGCAAGGAAGUUUCUUCAUUUCUGCACUCCUUCUCUGAUCACAAUAAUGCACGACAGCCAGAUGGUGGUCAUGGGCGUGAGAAUGUUCUGGAAGGGUGCAUAGUGGCUACUGAAAAUGUAAGUUAUAUAUUAUUGCAGCUGUUUGGUUUAUUGUACCUUCGAUAAUAAAUCCUUUUCAAAUUUUGUUUGGGGUGCAGCAGCAUGCUGAUAAGGAUGGAGACCGUAGGCAAGACGUGAAUUCCAGCGCUGCUCUAGUUGUGUCUUCUAUAUCUAAUGGGCGUGAAAAGGAAGUUACCUUAUUGGGAGUAGACAAUCUUGCUGAGGUUCAGAUACAUGACCUUUUUGAAUGUCACAAAUGCAAUAUGACUUUUAAUGAGAAGGAUUCAUAUUUGCAGCAUCUAUUGUCUUUUCACCAGAGGACUACAAGGAGGUAUAGACUUGGUUCUACUGUUGGUGAUGGUGUGAUAAUUAAAGAUGGGAAAUAUGAAUGCCAGUUUUGCCAUAAGGUAUUUUUGGAAAGGCGUCGCUACAAUGGUCAUGUAGGGAUUCAUGUUCGAAAUUAUGUCAGGAGGGUGGAAGAAUCGCCUGGUCCAUCAACACUUCAAAAGAGAAUAGAGUCUCCAAACAGCGAAGGUUUGCCAUCAAGGAUCUCAAAAAUGGAUGCUCUGAUUGAAAUUGCUCAAAACUCUAUCAUAGAAACCUCAACUGCUGAACCUAAUGAUCAAUCCAAAGGUGAUGCUGCACCUGAUAAACCAUACAUGGGAUUUAGUUCAGAAAUUCCUGCUUCCGAUUCUCAUCAAGAAAUGAACAUAGAUUCACCUCUUAGUGAACAGGACCUGGAGGGUCGCUUGUUUGACAUAAUUGAUUCAGAUCAACAUGAUAGUGAACAUACAAUAACUGAUGGAAGUGUGGAAGGAACUGAUGAUCCUAUGGAAGUUGUAGAUAUUAAGGACUCUUUUAUGAAAACAGCUGAGUUAUCAGCUACGGAGAUGAACGGUAAACCAUCUGAAUGUCCUUGGAAAAAAGAUGGCUUGGCAUCCACCUCUGACGAAUUAGAGAAGUCUGGUACUAAUCAGGAUGGAGCUACUCACUGCAAGAUAGAUGCUUCUUCGGAUGACAAAUAUAUUUGUGAUGCAGUAGGGAAUGCAAUUUUGAAUUGCACAAGUGCAUCAGAGCAGCCCAAUGCCAUUGAACACAGCACUAACAAUAGUGAACAAGCAAUUUACUUUGGUAGCAGCAUUGAUCACGAACCAUCUAAAUCUAAUGAUACUUUGAUAGAAUCUGUAUGCCAAGUUUAUGAAGGAAAUGAACUGCAAAUCGGGAUUUCUGACUCCUCAGUACCACUGGUGCAAUCAUUGGUCUGCUUUCCCAAAUCUACUGCAAUAUUGGAUAAGGUACUAUCAAGCAUUGCUGCCAUAUUUUGUUUCUUUCUGGUUUCCAGAUAUACUGAUACACCUGAGUCGCGUUCAAAGUGUUUUCUUCAAAACUAAAACGGAAAUUAUUGUUGAAGAACUGGCAUUGAAAAAAUAUAUAUCAUGUUUCUUUUUCCCACAUCUACUGCUAUAUAGGAUAAGGUACCAUCAAGCAUUGCUGCCAUAUUUUGUUUCUUUCUGGUGUCCAGAUACACUGAUACACCUGAGUCUCAUUCAAACUUUUUUCUUCAAAAUUAAAACCGAAAUUAUUGUUGAAGAACUGACAUUGAAAAAAUAUAUAUCAUGUUUCUUUUUCCAAGAUUGGAACCCUGCCCGAAAUAUAGCAAUAUAAGAAGUCUAUAAUUUUGUUUAUAUGGUUUUUGUUGAUUGAAUUUGUUUAUAAGUUGUCAGUGUGUUGGCUGUGGAACUAUUAGUCUAUUGUCUUUUUGUACGGUGUUCUAGUUUUAUUUUGGUAAGAAUCUCUUUUCCUACUAAAGGGAAGAAGCUAAUGUUUACUGAUCAAAUAAUUGUCUACUUUGUCUGUUUAAAUUAUUUGAUUCAAAUACUAUUACUUCUAUUGUCGCAUCAAAUUAUUUGAUUCAAUACUAUUGCUUCUUUUGUCGCAUUAAUGAGUUAACAAAAGAAAUAGGUGCUAUGUGCUUAACACGCAAAUACACUUCGUUAAAGGAAAAAGGACUACAUUGUGGGACCUGUAAGAAGGUCUCAUAAUCAGAAGAUUCCGAUCCAACUAAUUGUUUAGUGGCCUUCAAGGAUUAUCCAUGCAAGGAGAGUCCAGUGGACUCUUUAGUCGUCUAAUUGUCAUGAAAUAAAUAGAGGGACAAAGUGUUGCCGAUAAACUUAUUAAGUGAUCAUGUGGGUAACUAAAUAAGUAGAUUUUGAUUUGAGAACUUAUAGUGAUGCUUGGAGGAGAAUUAAAAGAUAGACGGAGCUGAUACUGAGACCAUAUUUUUGCAUGGGCCCCACAAAUUUGUUAGUGUUUGAUAUUUCUGAUUAGCAAAGGAGGAAGGAAGAUGAAUGCACAGAGACGAUGAGAAAAGAAUGGUUGCUCUUCCUCUCUGCAAAAUUCAGAGGGAUAUUCUAUUUCAUUAAUGCUUCUCUCACUCACUCACACAACGUGCAGGGAGAGAUAUUACAGCUAACAAGAGCUGAGCUGGAUCAACUCAUCAGAAAAAUUGAUCUCAGCCAUUCAUUACCUAACAACUAGGAUUAUCACACAUGGCACUCAUGGCCUUACAUCUUUUGACUUUACACUUGGGUAGAUAUGCUCAAGUGAAUACACAAAUAAACUCAUCUUAUUUCAUUAAUACUAAUCAGCUAUAGACUUAUAAUUCAACACUCCCCUUUAAGUCUUGAUCUGAUUUUACUCCAAGCAUAUUUCUGAGAUAGUUGAACCGAUCCUUAGCCAAAGGUUUUGUGAAAAUAUCUGCUAACUGCUCUUCAGUGGGACAGUACACUAAAUCAAUGAUUCCUUCCUGCAUUGCAUCUUUAAUGAAGUGAUACCUUCUAUCUAUGUGUUUAGUCUUCUGGUGAAACACAGAAUUCUUGGUGAUUGCAAUUGCAGAGGUGUUGUCACAUUGCAAUGGAGUUGCUUCAGUUUGAAGUUCUUCAAAAUCUUCCAAUACAAAUCUGAGCCAGAUUGCUUGUGCAGUGGCAUUUGAUGCACUUAUGUACUCUGCUUCUGCAGUGGAUAAUGCCACGCAGCUUUGUUUAACUGAAGCCUAAGAAAAAACUCCACUUCCAAAAGAAAAUGCAUAACCGGAUGUACUUUUGCUAUCAUCUGGUGAUCCACCCCAGACACUGUCGCAAUAGCCAAUCAACAUUGCCUUCUUGCCUUUUGUAUACUCCAAACCAUAGUCUAGAAUCCCUUUGAUGUAUCUGAGCACACGUUUGGCAGUUCCAAAAUGCUUGCUAGUAGGACAAUGCAUAAAUAUAGCAAGUAGACUAGAUGCAUACAUAAUGUCCGGCCUAGUAGCAGUAAGAUAUAGAAGACUUCCCACAAUGCUUCUGUAUAAUUCUUCACUUACUGCUCCACUUCCAUCAUCUUUGGUUAAUUUCUCAGUCGCCACAAGUGGUGUGAUCACAGAUUUGCACUCAUUUAGACCGAACUUGUUUAGUAAAGAACUUGCAUAUUUCUUUUGGUGAAUGAAAAUGCUAAAGUUGGUCUGAAUUAUCCCCAUUCCAAGAAAAUGAUUGAGAAGACCCAAAUCUGUCAUUUCAUAUUUUCUUUUCAUGUCUUCUUUGAAUUCUUCAAGCAUCUGUCUAUUACUACCAGUAUAGACUAUGUCAUCCACGUAGAUAGAAACAAUCAGAACGUCUUGCCCCCUUGCUUUGGUGUACAGUGUUGGUUCACUCAAACUUUUCUCAAAACCACAUUGAAAGAAGUAUGUAUCAAUUUCUCCAUACCAAGCCCUUGAAGCCUGUUUUAACCCGUACAGAGCUUUAUGCAGUUUGUAGACUUUAUCUUCCUUUCCCUUGACUACGUAUCCUUCGGGCUGAUCUACAUAAACUUCUACCAAUACACCAUUUAGAAAUGCUAAUUUUACAUCAAGCUGAUAGAAUUUCCAGCUCUUAUGUGCUGCCAAAGCUACAAGUGUCUUGAUAGUAUCCAAUCUAGCCACUGGAGCAUAAGUUUCAUUGUAGUCUAGCUCUGGCUUUUGAGCAUAACCCUUUGCAACUAGCCUGGCUUUGUUUUUUAAAACUGAACCAUCAAGAUUUAACUUGGUUUUGUAGACCCAUUUAACUCCAAUAAUCGGCUUUUCUGGUGGUCUAUCCACAAGCUUCCAGGUGCCAUUCUUCUUAAUCAUGGCUAAUUCAUCUUCCAUUGCCUUUAACCAUGAUUCAUCUUGAGCUGCAUCUGCAUAUCUUUUUGGUUCCAGAAUGCAUGAGUUGCAUUGGGCAAGAACAUCAUUCAAAUUUCUCCAUUUCAGAGGUGAGUGAUCAUAAGUCUCUGAAAUCUUUGCAGAUUCAGGGGUACAAAUUUCUUGUUCUUCUGUAUAAGAGGGAAAACUAGAGCUGGGGGAGCUUUCUUCAAUUUCACUCAACUCAUGAAUUCACACCAACUACAUUUUCAGGUUGAUCCUGAAUGUAGGUUGCAGCAACUGAAUUUUGUGAAUUUUCUUUCCAAUUCCAAGUCAUAGAUUCAUCAAAAACUACAUCUCUUGACAAGAUUAGGUUCUUAGUGUGAGGAUCAAAUAUUCUGUAUCCUUUCUCACAUGUAGCAUAUCCCACAAACACACCUUUGACACUCUUAGCAUCUAGCUUUUGUCUUGUCUCAGUAGGCACAUGUACAUAGCACAGGGAACCAAAAAUCUUGAGAUGGGCUAUACCUGGUUUUCUACCACUAUAAGCUUCAAAAGGAGUUGUAUUUCCAAGUGCCUUUGUAGGACACCUAUUUAGAAUAUACACAGCUGUGUGUAUAGCUUCGGCCCAAAGAAAGUAUGUCAUAUCUCUAUCAUGAAGCAUAACUUUUGCCAUUUCAACCACAGUCGGUUUUUCCUUUCCACUACUCCAUUCUGUUGAGGAGUAUAAGCCAUUGUAAGUUGUCUUUGAAUGCCUUCAGCAUCACAGAACUUAGUGAACUCAGAUGAUAAGAAUUCUCCACCUCUGUCACUCCUUAGGCAUUUAAGUUUGAAACCACUCUGCAACUCCACCAUAGACUUAAAUUUUUUGAAAUAAUUGAAUGCAUCAGAUUUGUAUCUGAGAAAAUACACCCAAAUCAUCCUUGUACAGUCAUCAAUGAAUAGCAUGAAAUACUUGUUUUCAGCCAAGGAUGCAUUUUGCAUAGGACCACACAGAUCAACAUGAAUAAGUUCUAGAUGACAGUUUGCUCUCCAGGCUUGUUCUUUUGGAAACCAGUCUCUAUGUUGUUUUCCAAAUUGACAUCCUUGACAUACAUCUUUGAUUGCUUCUAGAUAUGGAAGACCAUGCACCAUAUUCUUCUCAUUGAGUUACUGAAGCCCCCUGAAGUUCAAGUGACCUAGUCUUGUGUGCCAAAUCUGAGUGAGUGCUCUAUGCUAGCCUUCAGAACCAACUGAUUGUUUUUCAACAGAGAAAGAGGGUAGCAUCUAUUUUCCUUCUUCUUGACCUUCAUGACAAGAUUGUCAAGUGAAGGUCCAUCAAAUAUACUACACAAGCCUCUUCCAAAUACUAGAUAAUAUCCAUGCUCAUCCAUUUGUCCAACACUCAGUAAGUUCUCUUUUAACCCUGGCAAGUGCAUGACUUCUCUGAUAUACUUUUUACCUCUAUUUGUAUCUAUCUGCAAUGAACCCAUUCCAACAACAUUCACUAACACACUAGUAGGCAUUUGCACUUUUCCAGCAACAUUUGUUUUUAUGUCAACAAGAAGAUCAUCAUUCCCUGUCAUGUGGUUACUACAACCACUGUCAACAUACCAAUUUCCAUUGACAUUUGUCUCUGAGAUUGCACUAUUAGCAUAGAACAAAUUCCCUGUCACUUCCACUUGAUUUGCAGAGUUUGCCUUUUGCACAUUCUUCCCUACAGUGCAUUCUUUAGCCCAAUGACCAAACUUAUCGCAUGUAUAACAUUUGGGCUUCCCCUUAUACCUACAUUCACCAAAAUGAAACUUAGAGCACACUCUACACUGGUUUGAUACUCUAUUGACCCAAUGACUGAUUGAUAUGAAUUUGAUGCAGGACUAUUGAAAGAUUUCUGUUGGAAUCAAGGUUUUGAAUCCCAUUUCUUUCCCUUAGAGUUCCAAUUCUUCUGGAAUUUUGAUGAACUAGAUUGAAUUCCACUUCUAUUUUGCCCUUUGGGACUCACUGAGAAUGAUGCAAAUGCCUUCUCAGUGGUAUCAACAUUAUGCAAAUCAAACCGUUGUUCUUGACUCUUCAAGAUUGCAACAACUUCCUGCAAUUCUACAGUCUCUAGACACUUUGUAUUUUCUAUAACCAAACAGAUCGAAUCAUAAGGUUUACUUAGACUUAUCAGAACCUUCUGCACAAGUCUCUCAUUAGAAAGAGAUUCACCAAAUGUUCUCAUCUGAUUAAUUAAGUCAUUCAGCCUUGUGAGAUAACUAGAUAAGGAUUCAUCAUCUCGCAUUCUAGCAUACUCAAAUUCUCUUCUAAGAUUUUGAAGUUCUACAGAUCUAACCUGAUCACCACUGUGGUAUUCACCGUACAGUAGAUCCCAUGCCAUCUUGGCUGAGUCGGCGUUGGCAAUCCGAGGAAAGAUCUGAUCAGAAACAGCAUUUUGUAUAAUACCUAGAGCCUUUGCAUCCCUCAUGAGCACAGCAACCAUUUCAUCACCGUCGUCUUCCGACGACCCUUCAGCUUCCUUCUUCUUCUUCUUUGAAUCGGGUGUUGGCAAUCCCUUUUCUACCAGAUUCCAUAACCCAAUGGAUUUGAAGAUUGUUACCAUUUUAAUUCUCCAAAACUCAUAGUUCUCACCGGAGAAGAUUGGAGUUCUCACUUCCGAGCUUCCAGAUCCAGACAUCUUGCAAACCUUUCGUGAGCUUCGAUUGAGUCGGUGACCUCACAGAUUUACGCCUAGAUUUUAAAUGACGCAACCUGGCUUUGAGGCCAUGUUAGUGUUUGAUAUUUCUGAUUAGCAAAGGAGAAGGAAGGAAGAUGAAUGCACAAAGACGAUGAGAAAAGAAUGGUUGCUCUUCCUCUCUGCAAAAUUCACAGAGGGAUAUUCUAUUUCAUUAAUGCUUCUCUCACUCACUCACACAACGUGCAGGGAGAGAUAUUACAGCUAACAAGAGCUGAGCUGGAUCAACACAUCAGAAAAAUUGAUCUCAGCCAUUCAUUACCUAACAACUAGGAUUAUCACACAUGGCACUCAUGGCCUUACAUCUUUUGACUUUACACUUGGUAGAUAUGCUCAAGUGAAUACACAAAUAAACUCAUCUUAUUUCACUAAUACUAAUCAGCUAUAGACUUAUAAUUCAACAAAAUUGGUCCUUGUCAUAAAAUGAGGACAUUGAGAUGGUGGAAUUAUAUGUAUGUAUAUAUCAGAAAUUUGAUCGUUGAUUGUAGUUUUUUUAUCAAAAUUUUCCAUGGUAGACCUUGUAACUAAUUGGUUACAUGUUAAGUGACAGUUAAUUUUUCAUUAGGACUACAAUAACGAAAGACAUGGUGCAAACUGAGUGCACUGGCGUUUUAGGAUUCAUACAGCUGACCCCACUAAGUGGGAGAAGGCUUGGUGGUUGUUGUACUAUAAUAACGAAUCUUAGACGUGAUUAUAUUUCUUUGUUCUGUGCAAUAUGUUGUCUGCUUAAGAAAAUUAAUUUUAUUGUCCGUUCUCCGUGUUGAAAGGGAGACGAGCAUCUUAGUAGUGCUUCCCAGAGACAUGAUGAAACAGGGUUGAGGAGCUGAGGUUGGAGGAAAUAGAACCUCUGAAGUAUGGAUUUCCUAGUGGGCACGAAUCUCUUACACUGCACGAGGUACCCAUGGAUUUGACAAACAACGCGGGGAUGGAAAAGGCAUUUGGUUCCGCUGUCCAGUUUGAAUCAGAAGAAGCCAUCUUAAGCAUGGCUGGCAGACAUCAGAUAACAACAGCGUGUGUAUGGUGCGGAGUAGAGUUCAACCAUGAGGCUGUUGAUUCCGAAAUACAACCAGAUUCCGUUGGUUUUAUGUGUCCAACUUGCAAAACAAAAAUCUCUGGGCAGCUCAAUGUGGUUGGGUAACGACAUGCCAGGGAAUGCUAAUCCUCUCUAAAUGGCAGUCUAUCAUUUCAUGUGAUUAGUUUCUAGUGAUGUCUGUAAAUUUUAUUUUACUAACCUGACCAUUUUGGAAUGUUUCCAUUUCGCCUUUUUGUAAUAUUUAGUCAUAAUUCCCGAAAUAUUGUUUUCCCCCCUCUCCUCCUCCUCCCUCUGUUUUCGGGUCAAUUUGAACCUAUAUUGGCUAGCAUUCACUUUGGAGAAAUGAAUUCCACGCUCUUUUCCACCUUCUGCACUCCCCCUCUUAAUUAUGGCCCAUGAUUCUCUUUGAUUUAUUUAAGAGAAAUGCAGCUAAUGCAACGCUUAUCACAUUUUUCAUACUACAACCAUCUCUCUUACAAAAUAGGGCUAUGUGGGUUUGAUCUUUAUUAGAGAGGUGGUAUGAGUGUAGUAAAAAUAUGGUAAGAGUGACAUUUUUUUUAUUUAAGAGAAUUGUAAUAAUGGUUUUUUAACUUUAAUCUAAUUGAAGUAAUCGUCUCUCAACUAAAAAUUUAUGACCGUUGGUCUCUUAAUUUCUUAAAACAUGCAACUAUGAUCAUUUUCUUCAAUUCUGUUAGAACUUUCAUUAAAAUGAGUCAUGUGCCACGCAUAUGAGGUUGAAUCGAGGGGCAAAUAAGAAAAACCAAACGAGAAAAAUUGUAACAAUAAUUCCUUAACUUUAACCCAACUGGAGCAAUAAUCCCUCAAUUUUUACCCAAUUGGAGCAAUGGUUCCUUAACUCUAAUCCAAUUGGAGCAAUUGUCAUUUCAACAUAACUUAUUUUGACGGGAUUUUGAUGGAGUUAACGAAAGAGGCUAUAGUUGCACGUUUUGAUGAGUUAAGUAACUAAUGAUCAUGCGUUUUUAGUUGAAGGACCAUCACUCUAAUUAAAUUAAAAUUGAAGGACCAUUGUUAUAAUUUCCCUUUAUUUAAUUAUAUAGCUAAAAAAGAGAUGUACUUGAAGUGAAAAAUGAUGUGCAUAAAUCAUUUCCCUCCCCUUGCUAUGAUUAUGCUGCGUGAAUUCGUAUCCUUCCCUCCCUCAGUUUUCUCCUGUCAGCGGUUAACUGAGAAUCUAAGAGAGAUCAGAAUUAAAGGGUGUCACUUGCAUUGAAUAAAAGCAAAGGCAUCUAGUUCUUGUUGGUUAUGUUGUACAAACACGCUUUCUUUAUGACCUUGUUUUCGACAAUUAAUAAAGCACAAAGAAUAAACAACCAACCAAAACACAACACACAAAAGAAAACGCACGCCAUGAUCACAAAGAAUUAUAGUGGUUCGGCCGAAACUGGCAUACAUUCAUUUCGGUGAUUACCGUUCACUAGUAUGAAAGCCCUUUUGGUUUACAAGAAAAGCCCCAUUUCUUGUCGCAAACCCUAGGUCUUAGGCCAUCUCCAACCGAAGGGUCCAGAGGGCUAGAGGGCCGAAAAUAGCCCUAAAACCGUCUCCAACCGAGGGCUAGGCCAGAGGGCUCUGGAAUCUGGGAGGGUCCCACGGGAUCGGAGAGGGCUGGAGGGCUGGCUGCUUUCGGCCAGCCAGCCAGCCCCGGGCUGGCUAUUUUUUUUUUAAUGAUUUCCUAUUGCUGUCGGUUAUAGCCGACAACAUUAAAGAUCUUCUUUUUUUUUUAAAUAGUUCUACUAUUAGUGUCGGUUAUAACCGACACUAAUAGUUUGAAAUGUUUUUUAAUAUAACGGCUAGCAGCCGUUGUAUUAUUAGGCCUCUUUUUUUUUUUUUUUUUUUUUUAAUGAAUUUAAACUUUUUAAAUUUUUUUUUUUUUAAUGAAUGUAAACUUCUUUUUUUCCCUUUUUUUUCCUUUUCAUAUGAAUCAAAUUUUGUUUCAUAUUUUUUUUCCUAUAACUUUUAUUUCACAAAAUUUGUUUCAUAUUUUUUUUCAAUUCUAUUUUUUUCGUAUAACUUCCUAGGCCAUUUAUACAACAUUAAAUUGUAGUUUUUAAAUAAUAAAUUAUGUUUGGCCCUAUGGCCCUUUGGCCCUCGGUUGGAGACGGUUUUUUGUGACAGGGCUAAAACGAGCCCUUUGGCCCUCUGGCCCUCGGUUGGAGACGGAGGCAAAUAUGGCCCUGUACUAUUCAUUAAAAUAUUAAUAUCUUGGGGAAUCUUGGAGGGCUAGAGGGCUCAAACGAGCCCUCUGGCCAGCCUUUGGUUGGAGAUGGCCUUAGUAUCUCUCAUUCCUCACUCUCUCAAAGUGUUUCACUCUAUUGUUCGUGUGAAUAAUCAGCCCCCAACAAGUCUAUUUAUAGUACAUAGACCAAUUGUUAUUUUUUUUAUUAAGGUUCCUAUUCUAAAUGGAAUAGACACUUUUUUUCUAUUCUAAUUAGGCUUCUAGGAUUCCUAAUCUGAAUUAUACAAGGAAACUUAAUUAUUUCCUAAUUCUUUUAAGACAACAAUCUAUGCACCUUUAGUUUUCGUAAUACAAUCCUAAACAAAAUAGGACACUAGCAUUGACAAGCCAAAUCCCUAAUAGGUUCUAGAACCUGCUUUAGCACAAUUUUGCCUAUUUAGUUUAGCAGAUAACUCGACCUCAGUUUUGUUUGAAACUUACGUUUGGCAUGCAUGUCCUAUGUAAUUUCUUAACUUUGCCAAGUAAAAUUUAAAUUGAGGUAAAUUAAAAAGUGAGUGACGUCAACACCUUAUUUCAAACGAUGAAAAGAAAAACACAGAUCCACAGACAAGCAAACCAUGGGCGAAUAUGUUGAGUGCUAUCCAGAGAUUGGUUUUUAUCCGCCAUUCCCCCUAAAAUAUAAAGUAUGAAUUAAAGUAAAUCGAAUCCCAUGAUAGUGGCUCGUCUUUGCCAUGUUACUUUUGCCUUUCGUAGGGCAUCUAAUUCUUACUUUUAUUACAUGACUUGGAAUAAAAAACAGAAGCAUGGUCCAUGCAUACACUGCUAUUUGAUUGGACAUAUGAAUUAACGUACACUGUACCUUUAAAUUAAAAUGUAUGAAUUUUCGCGAUAAAUAGUGGAUUGAUUUGGUGGUUAGAGCUUUUCUCUUCAACGCUUGCGUCUUAGAUUUUCUAGGUAUCAAAUUGUAUCCAAAGUUUCUUUGAUCGGUCGAUCUCCCACAUUUUAAUAAGGCUAGGAAUAUAUAUGAUACAAUGAAGAUGCUCAACUCGGCGGACUAAAACGUCUCUACCGUUGUUGGUUUUGACAAUUAAUUAUUAAAAAUCCCAGAUGAUAUGAAAGCCCGACGUAUUAUGCUUCCCUAUAUGGCUACGCUUCUAUAUAUAGAUAUUACUUAACUGGCCUUGUAGCCUCUGAUAUUUAUUUUACAUGGACAAUUAUGGCAAGCAAAAAAAUCGCUUGCCCUAGUUGCAAGCAAUGGGUUCAAAUGACGCUGUAUGGCACACAGCACCGAUGCGUCUGCGGUCAUGUAAUCACGACUCGCAGUGCUGCUGCAGAAACACAACGAGAAACUAGUAUUCAUGGUCAUGGAGAUCACAAGCGUGAGCGUCAUAGCUUGCGGAGAUGGCUUGCCAGGUGUUUUCAAACCAAGGAAGCAUCAUCAAACAAUUCUUCUAGUAGUUGUAGUUCAAGUCGUAAUAGUUUCAAGCAAUCUUAUACAGGGACGGGGACGCUGAUGUCGUUGCCCUCCUCCCGCUCGGAGCAGCCAGUACCCAGUGGAUCACGACCAAACAAGCGUGCACUUCUUUGCGGGGUGACAUACAAGCAACAUAAAUACAAGCUCAAAGGCACUUAUAAUGAUGUAAAAAACAUGGAAAACUUGCUGACUAAGACCUUCGGUUUUCCUGCCAACUGCAUACGCAUACUUUCAGGUAAUUAUUAAUUAAUUAGCUUUUCUUUAUUUGUCGAUCGUAAUUCUAUAACCAUUCGCAAAUUACAUGUAUAAUUAUUUCUCAAUUAGAAAACAUUGGUCUCCAAUACUAUGUAUAAAGGUUAAAAGAGAAGCCAAUCAUAAAAAAUGAAUCGAGAAAGAAAAAGGGGGAAAAGAUAAAGGAAGUGGUUAUUUGUGGUGACCCUGCGUUGGCAUCAAACUUUCACAUCGAUUGGGCGAGGAAAUGUAGUGUAGUUUAUAUACGCACAUCUGAUCUCUCGUAGCAAGAUGUUUUUUGGGUAUGGAGACCCACGAACAAAACCGUUGCGUUUAGGCCUUGCCCAAAGCGGAUAUAUUAUCUUGCUGGAGAGUGAGUGGGCUCUGACAUUAUUUGUGCUUUAUAAGAUAAUAUGUUUACGUUUUCAAUUUACCAAUGAAUGCAGAAGAUGAUCCGCAAGACCUAGAGCGGAUUCCUACAAAGAAAAAUAUAGAAAAUUCCUUGAAAUGGCUUGUGGAGGGAUGCCAGCGGGGAGACUCGUUGGUGUUUUACUUCUCAGGGCAUGGCUUACGACAGCCUGAUUUCAAAGACGAUGAGCUUGAUGGGUUCGACGAGACCAUUUGCCCUGUUGAUUUUAUGAAAGAGGGAAUGAUCCUUGACAAUGAUAUUAAUGAAACCAUUGUUUGGCCACUCGAGGAGGGUGUCACACUUCACGCUAUUGUUGAUGCUUGUCACAGCGGAACGAUUCUUGAUCUGGAGCACGUGUAUGACCGUAAACUGUGAGUAUAUUUACGUAGUCUUUAACUUCAAAUUUAUAUGAUUACAUACGUUCAAUCUGUGACAUCAAAUUUAUAUAUUAUGAGAAUAUAAUACCACGUAUUAUAAAUGUGAUUAAAGUUUCCCAAUUUAGAUAUCAUGGGCAUCAAGUCCAUAGUUUAAGGUUAAUACUGUCCAUGCCAUAGCAGCAUGCAAUGUAAUCUCACCAUAACUCUAAAAAUUCUCCUUUAUAAUAGACUGUGAAAAUACGUUUUCUUUUUACAUGUUAAUUUGCAGGAAUAUUUGGAAAGAUAAUAGUCCUCCAUCUCGUGCUAGAAAAAGUACAAGGGGUGGGUUAGCGAUUUCUCUUAGUGCUUGCGAAGAUGAUAAAAUGGCAGCUGAUACUACUGUAAGUGAUCCCUCUAUUAUUGUGUUUAAGGAAAAUAUGAUGAAAAGCCAACUUCUGAAUGUUUCCAAGUUGAAGCUAGAUGUUAGUUGGUAAGGAGGGAAAGAAAACCUAUCCCUUCUUAUCUCCACAAAAUGAUGGGAUUGGAAGGCAUACGUUUUCUUUAAUAAGGCCUUUCUAAACCGUUCAAUAAUACAAUAACAACAAAAAAGUUUUAUCCCACUAAGUGGGGUCAGUUAUUUGAAUCUUAGAACCCCAUUGUGCUCGGUUUUGACCUAGUCUCCGUUAUCUCUAAGUACUCCACGUCUUUUCUUAAAGUCUAUGUCCAAGUCUUCCUCUUAACCUUUUUCCCCUGAGCUUUUGUCUCAUAAUCGCAUUUUCUAACCGGAGCAUAUGUAGGUCUGCAUUUAACAUAUCCAAACCACCUUCACCGAUUUUCUUUCAUCUUAUCUUCAGUUGUGGUCCCUCCUACUUUACCUCAGAUAUCUUCGUUCAUAAUCUUGACCUUUCUUUUGUGUUCACACAUCUAACAAAGCAUUCUCAUCUCCACUACACUCAUUUUUGCACGUGUUGAUGUUUGACCGUUCAACAUUCCUUGUCAUAAAGCCUUGCUGGCCUUGGACAUUCUCUAAACCGUUCAACGGGUGACCAAAAAAAAAAAAAAUUUCCGUCGAACCCCCCUUUUAUCAUACUUCUGAACUUUUUCUUUUUUUUUUUACUUCAUUUUCAUGUGAGCCAAUAUAGUAUUAAUCACAAAUGCAGGCUUUUGCUGGAAAAUCAAUGAAUGGUGCAAUGACAUACAUUCUCACUGAAACUGUUAGGAAGAAGACCGACAUAACAUAUGGAAUUUUGCUCGACGAGAUGGUAAAUUACAUUAAAAAGAUUAACAGCGAAAGAUGGACUAACUCAAGAUUCCUGAGGACUGUACUUCGACACAAAACCAUACAGGUUUGCUUUCACUUCAUGCAACAUGUUAAAUCAAAUGGGUUCGAUCUUCACUUUUUUUUUCCUUACAUACAUAUAUAUAUAUAUAUAUGUACCAUAUGUGACAUGCAUGUUGACUACAAAGCUCAUUCAGUUCUUAUCAAAGUUGAUAUACCAAACAGUUACAGCCAGGCUCCGAAUCACGAGUGCACAUUGUAAUAACACUAGUUUUGUUUUGUCGAGAGUAUUCUAUGCCGAAGGAUGAAAAAUUAGCAUAAGUUCUUCUCUCCACACAAUGCCAAUUGGAUUGGAUGCUCAAAUGCAGACAUCGUACUUUGGUUAAAAAAAAAAAAAAAAAUUGCAUACAUCUUACUAGUGUCAAACCAAGAAAUUGUAAGUUGCUAAAUUUACUUAAUGUGGAUGUGUGCAGGAACCUAUGUUGUCAUCUUCUGAAACGUUUGAUGUUAAUUUGAAGAAAUUUGUCUUGUAAUGAUAAUUUUUUUUUGGUGGAGUUCUUGUUGGGAGUUGUGUUCUAAAAGUAAAUUUGGUAAUAUUGAAUAUUAUGUAACAAUUUCAUUUUAAAUAAUUAAUAAUAGGGCAAUAUUAAUUCAUUCUUGGGUUUAUGCUUUUACAUUGUAGGGAUAACAUGCUAUGAAUGAGUUCAUAUGAUUUAAGGUAUGGAAACAAUGUCCUAAACGAGGAUAGGGCAGAGAGACUUGUAUUCUAUAGUCACUUUGUCCUUAAACAAAUUUCAUAGUUUAGUGAACCGUGACCACCCAAGAAGUUUAAACGGUAUGGAUGGUUACCACAUGUUAAUAGCUACAAAGUUUCAGGUUGUGGUAUGCAAAUAGUUCUUACAUCGGAUAUCUUGUGCUUAUAGAUAUGAACUUUGAUUUCACCUUAAUGCCCUCAUUAUUGCGCAGGGCCUGACAUUGUGUUGCUCAGGUUCAUAUAUAUGAUUAUGGAGAUAUAUGAAUGCGCAAUAAGGGAUCUAUCACCUUCUAGUAAUUGUUUAAUAGAAAGAGAUAUCCCUUGAUGUCACAUGAUCAGAUCUAUCUCAGAAUUCUUUAGUCGAAUUACUUGUUGAUCAAGCUAUGUUUAUAAGAAUUGCUUCAACAUGAGAUGCAUCAUGGUGAUCAAAUAUAUUUACAUAUGUUUUGACAUUAUUCCAUAUCACAUAAAUUUUGAUUGGGAUAUGAAUGAUAGAAAAAUUGAAUUGCACUGUAACUACAAUCAAGGUUCAAAAAAGGCCUACCCAGCCGCCGACGGUUCCACACUACACACUUCAUUAGUCUAAAUCUUCCACGUACCCACUAGGUGUUCGUGGUGGAAAUUCCCGUGGGGGAUGCUUCCUGUCCGACGAGCACACAGCUCCCCGAGAGGUUUGGCGCCGGUUGAUGCUUUUCUGUCGGGCUCCUGCUUUAUUGGCGGGCUUGUUAGGCAAGGCUGAAAGAGAAGGACAGAGUUAACUUUGAGAGGUGCCUUUGUGAGGCCUUAGAUGUAGGCCUUGAGGCUCACCAUCAAGAUUAACUUUGAAGUGUUUAGGUGUGCCACUACCAUCUUCAGUAUGGCAGAUGUAGAACGGAUGUUUGAGUUUAAUUAUAUAUUCGAAAGACUAUGUUAGUUAUUGACAGGUGCCUUUGUGGGGCCUUAGGUAUAGGCCUUGAGGCUUCCCAUAAAUAACUAACUUAGUACUCGAACAUAUAAGGUUCCUUUUCUUGGUUAUGUAGGUCUUAUAACCAUCAUACUUCUGAUUACCUGAACUCAAAGAGCAGAAUGAAUCCAAAUAGGUGCCUUUGUGGGGCCUUGAAUAGGCCUUGAGGCUUCCCAUUAGAACCCCUUCCAUUCUCAAUGUUCUUGCCCAAAAAACAGGGUGAAUCCAAAUAGGUGCCUUUGUAGGGCCUUAGGUGUAGGCCUUGAGGCUUCCCAUCAGAACUCAUCCCAUCCCCGAACGUUUACAUGGUAAUCAUAAUAUAACAUUAAUAAAACUAAGUGACAGGUCGAUUACUUGCGCCCCAAGUAACUUCGGACUUCUUGUUAUCAAAGCUUGUAGUGGAUGGGUUAAGUCCACAUCAGGUUCUUUUUUAUGCCUUGAGGCCAAUGACUUUUAGGGUGAUCAAAUCUUAUAUGCCCGAGGGCUUAGAACUUAGAUCUAACUUGAACUGUGGAGACAUAUUCAAAUCGGAUCUAAGCACUGAGAGAAUAUUUUAAUAGCCAUAUUAAUAGAAAUAACUUGGAUAUAACUUGUAGUAUACAACAUAUUGCUAGGCUAAUGAAUAAACAGACAAAAACAAAGAGGGUCGGGCAAGGUUUAACCUUGUCGGGCAAGGCUUGUCGUCUUGUAAGAGGUUUGAAAGCUUAGAAAAAGGGUAGGGAGGUGAGUUUACAGAAGAAAUCGAUACUACAGCAAGAGUUGAGCAGGGUAGCAGAGCUAUUACAAAAGGUUUAUCCCGAAAGGGAUGAAAGCUUGGGCUGACUACAGCUUCGUUUUGAAGGCAAAUCUGGCUUUGAGCAGAGUUUGUGCUUGUAUUUGUUUUGAGUGUCCUUGAUUCUGACCUCUCUUUCCCCUUUUAUAAACACCUUGGCUUGGCCUCUUGUAGCAACAACCUUGCCCGAAUGCAAUUUGAAGGGUAGUGACUCAUCAGCUAUUUUACUUGUACUGCCAUCUAAAAGUACUUUUUGGGCUGUAUAGCUGGCUGGUCUAUACCACUUGACCUGCACCUAGUCUGAAAAAAGCCUUCCCUGUAUUCUAGGUUUGGGCUAAGCUUCGGGCUUUUCCUUCUCUUUUUGGGCCAACUCCCUUCUAAGCCCAAAGUUUAAGUUUUAACCCAAACAGUGCCCUCUUCAAUCAAUAUUUAGCUUGGAAUUUCAGGCGCCAAUAUUGAUUGAAUAUGUCUCUAUUAAUACCCACGUCUUUCGUUCUCGGGAUUUGCACACUCUUCAAAAGCAACCACCGCCUUUCUUCGGUUAAGCUCAUCAUUCCCGAAUCUCCUGCAUUCCUCUCAUCUCCGGAGUCGAAAACUUCCUAAUCCUUCAACCGCUUCUUCCUUGUCGUUCCAUUUCUAGAUUUCAUCAAAAUGGCCUCGGGAUCCAGCCAAAUCCAUCUAUCAUAUGAAUCUGGCGAAGGUAUCGCCACUUUGCGCCGUUUACUCAACGGCCUGCAUCGCCCUCGAGCAGGUUUGUAUUCUGAGCUUUUCUUUGAAGUUCAUGGAGUACAAUCGUUGGGUCCUGCAUGGAUUUCUCGAGUCCCUGCAGUGAUAGAGGACAACAUGCCCAAGGAUAACUAGUUCUCUCCAAAUCCUUAUUUGGCUAAGUCGGGCAUUUCCUCAUCUAAGUGGUCGUUAUAUCGCCGAGGUUUUCCAUUGAUGAAUGAUCUGGCUUGGGCCCAAUGGAUUGAUGAACUAGAGCCAACAUUUAAGACGAAAUGGAUGAAUAAUGGUAUUUAUGAGUUGAUAAUGCUCUAAAAAACCACCAUUAUUCCCAAGCCCGAACUGCUUGCUUCCUCUCUUAUUUUCUGGAAUUCGGGCACAAAUACUUUUGACUUUCGCAUGGGUCCCAUGUCUCCGACUAUUCUAGAUAUGGCUCAAGUCUUCAGGCUAAGGCCAUCGGGCAGGAUAGUAGACGUUACCCAAGACUGGGCUCUCCCAUCGAUUGCUGAAAGCUCAGGUUCAUCCACAUCCUUCCUCUCCCUGGAAUAUAACUCCGCAACCUUCAAGAGCUACGAAACCUUGUUCAAGGGAUUUAUCCCUUUUGUAAAAGAAAACUUUAGAGCAGGUUCCUCCCGUGCCGAUAGAGAUCAAGAGCACAUGUAUUUCCUUUUAUACUGGCUUAACAAACAUAUCUUCCCCAACAAAUCUAAAGGGGUGAAGGUUGAAUGGAUCCCCUUGGUGGAAGCUCUUCACAAUUUUGACGAUGUGGCAACAGGUCCAUUCAUUCUUUCUCAUCUUUACCACCUUCUCUUCGAAAUGACUCAAGGUGAACCAUUUGAGACUAACCUGAAUGGACCCAUAUGGAUGAUACAAACAUGGCUCCAAUGGUAUUUCCCAGAGUUUCGGGCUACCAAUUUAGAGUUCCCUAAAGGUGUAGCCCCUGCCCGAAUCCUAGCUGAAGCUGCUCUUACUGACCACUUCACCUUUGCCUGCUUUUAUUUCUUCAAGGUUUGUAGGACUUGAUCAGACCUGGAAUGGUGUGCAUCAGUCUUGAGAAGAUAUCCUUGGUUCUCUAACCAAGCCUUUCAAGAUGCUUAUGGGGAAGAUGCCACUUCUUCUUGCAGGGAAAAAUUUAUUAGUUGCAUUCAAUCAAGAGAUAUGGCCUGGGGAGUUCGGGGCAAUCGGUAUGAUCGAGGGUUGGAGGUGUAUCAUCCCAACUUUUGCAGCAGGCAAUUAGGCUUUAGGCAAGCCAUCCUUAUCCCCCUCUUUGACUCCGUUCAUUGUGGCACUUCCUUUCGUUUAGUAUCUCCCUCUGAGGUGACCUUUAGGGUUGCCCGACGCAGUCUCGAAGUCAUGAGUCAGGCUACCCGAAAGUCCAUAAUCCUCAAUUUUGAAUGCACUUCACUCUUCUCUUCUUGGUGGGAGGACAAAUGGACCAAGAAAUAUAGAGGAGACUUGAGAGAGACCCAUGAUCGUCUGUUCGGUCAACUUUCUCUUAAAUCAUACCCUAGUUCGGGCGAACUUGAAAAUUGGAAGGAGAUGAUUCAAGAGAAGAAUCAAGUUCUUCUGAUAGGUAUCCCCUUUCUCCUUAUCUUGAUUCCAUAAUCCUUCCCUUAAACCUUUUAACUUUUUCCUUUCUUAACCCUGCAACCCAAGUGGAUGUUGAAUCAGUUCCUGCUGAGUCCGAGGAUGACUCAGCUGAUGCAGCAGUUCUUCAUGGAGCUGCGGCAGAGGCUGAGAGGUGAGAAGCUGGAGGAAGUGGGGACGUUUCAGAAGAUUCAGGGGUUGAAAAAGAAACGCCUGAAGCUAUUAUCCAAGUGUCUAAGCGAAGGAAAGCAGUCGUGAUUGAGAAUUCAGAUUCUGAUCCUACAUCCCCCCCAAGAUUAAACCACGAAUUCCUACUCCUACUAGAAAGAGUAAGAGGUCCAGAACCGUCCAAACUAUCAAGUCUUCAGACCCACCUGCUCCAGUUGUUGAGGCGGGCAGAAAGAAACAAAAAUCUUCAAGUGAGUUGUGUUCUUUCUGGUUAAACUGCUACCUUGAUUUUUUAUAUAGUUACCUAUGUUUGAACACAGGACCUCAAACAUCAAAGAAACCAACCAUCGCCUCCAAGGAUGAACCUUUAGGAGCUGCAAUGUACAAAAAUGCUGAAGAAUUGAGAAACUUAACCCUUGAAGAACUUGAGGUAUACUCUACUUGCAUGUCUACAUAAUCUUCCCUGUUUUCACAAAAACCCUGAGUAUGGUUUAAUUGAGUUAGGCUACAAGAAACAAACAGCUCCAUCCGCCCGAGGUCUCUCCGCCACUUGCUCAAGAGACAAACCUCUCCCCCCUCGGGUUGACCCUUCGAAGGUAUACUCCCUUGCUCAAACCUUAGAUAGCUUUAUGAUUUCUGGGGGUAAUGCUUGAUCUUUCCUUUCCUCUAACUUCAUUCAGGUCGGGGUAUCUGCCCCUUUGCCUAGCCAAGGUUCCCAUUUGAUUUCUCCUUCUGUCUUGGAGGCAACUCCUUCUUCUCAAUUUGAUCCAUCCACAUGGGUAAUGUUGCAAUUCGUGGAUGAGGACAGUAAUUUGGUGAGUAACCAUCCUUACAAUGAUUUCUCGUUCAUUGUUUUGAUAUUGAUUUCUAUUUACCUCUUCCUCAGCCUUCUUCAAUACAAAAUCCAUCAGUGGCAACAAGAACAAGUGACGAACCCAUAGUUCCUGAGAUUCCUGUGACUUCAGAAGCAACUACUUUGCAGGUGUUUGCCUGCCCGACAGUUACCCUUGAUAAACCUCCUUCAUCCCCUCAGGGUUGAACUUUGGUAAGGAGAUAUUUCCUUCCUGUAACUCUUACCAUCUACUUACUAACCAUCACUGCCCUUCCUGUGUGCUUCCAGGGUAUUGGUGAAGGUGUAGGCGCAAUUUCUUCUUCCUCUCAAGCAGGAAUUAGUACUCUUCCUUAUGAGACUCCAAGCAUUAGUCGGGUACAUUUCUUCCUCCCCAAACUUUCCUUCAUUCCAAAUUGUCUAUUUAACAAUAUGAUUUUCUUUUGGUCUCUGCAGCAUGUGCCUGAAGAAACUUCUCCUCCUCAUUUGGUUCGUAAACCAAGGCUCCCCCGACCUCAUUUGGCUAUUGGGAGUGCUGAGAUGAUUCAUCCUGGUAUGGAGAAGGCCGGAGAGCUAAAAACUGCCCCAUCAGUAGGUGCUGCUUCAUUAGAGAAAACUGGAGUGCAAAGUCCCCCUCUUGCUUCUCUGGCUUCAAAAACUGCUAAGUUGCCCGAACUGUUUGAAAAAUUCGGGCAGCUCGAGACAAGGCUGAAAUCCUCGAAGCAUUCUUCACCUUCAGGUUUCCCAGAGCAGAAGCGAGUUUUCCAAGAAUGGGCAAGGAAGGAUUUCUCCGCUUCAUUUAGCCUUAAGGACCUUUUGUUGGAAGUAUGCCCACAAAGCCACUUAUUUGAUGUAAUAGCUUUUGGAAUACUUAUUGUAUUAAACUUUUAUAUGUUUAAUGAAGGGCAAAGCUUAUUGUUAAUCACUAUUUAUUGUAUCAUGUGUUUAAGCAAUAAAGGAAUCCAAGGAAUGUAUUUGUUCUAAGAGAUAAGUGAUCUAAUGAGUUAGAUUAUCGAGACCUUUCUCUUAUGUUCAUUCCUAAAACGUUCCUAGCCAUAGGAUUGCCAAUUGGGCAUUGACAAUCCGCUAAGGUUAGUAUGUGUUAUGUAGACUCAAACGUGAGUAUGAACUAGUCUCAAGUCAUUUGGUGUUGGACACUGAGACAAACACAUAGGUGCUCGAAAAGGUAAUCGAGUACACUGAACGUCGAUCAAAAGAGAGUUCGAACAUACAUGUCAUGUAUGAACUCUAAAGUUGCAAUAUGCAAAGUAGUCCUUUGACCUGAGGCAUCAUAGAUGUCUAAUGGUUAGGUCCUUGAUCUUUGAUCAUGUCAACGGCAUUCCUUCGGAUUGUCCACGGCAUUGUUGGGGUCAAGCUAUCUAGUCAUGUAGGCAUAUGAAUGCACAACAAGGGAUCUCUAACCUUCCAUGGUGGAAGGAGAAUACUCUAAGAUAUGAUUCUAAAGUCUUUGGCCAAAGCAUAUGAAUAUGACUUAGGAAGUUUGUUCCAAAUCAUAUUCAAAGGAAUCAUAUAGGAAAGUAUCACAUUGGAUAGUAGACAUGAAACAAACUAUCACUUAAACAAUGUGAUUAAGAGUAUUGUAUUAGAGAAGGACCGUAUUGCAUUGUAGUUGUAACUGGAUAGGUUCUCCAACCAAUUCUACUUAGCUUGGGUAACCAUGAUAUGCUGCUAGGUGUCACUCAUGGUUUGUGGAAGCCCUGAAGAUUAGCAAACUCUAAUCUUAAGGGAGAAUUGAAAUGUGGUUUCAAUUCACAAUCGAUCGUUAAGAGUAACAUCGCCCACUGCCUCGCUAAUUGGAACCUAAUGGAUCGCACACCACAUAAGGAUGUUAGUGAAGAAAUUAUAUGAAAUGGAUAAGCAAUUAAAUGGUUUAAUUGAAGAAUGGUCAAGAUUAAUUAAUUAGUUAAUUAAUUAUACGAAAAGUUCGUAUUGGGCUUAUAUGUUGGUUUUGGGUUUCGGGGCCCAAAAGUGUUUUGGUCCACAAGGCCCAUUAUGUUUAAGUUGUAUGACAACUAAAACAAAAUGGGCACAUUAGCCCAAUAACAAGGAGAGGCCUGCCAUUAGGGUGAAUGGGCAAGCUUGCUUAAUUACAAGUUUGCCACUCACCAAAGAAAAUGUUAUAAAAGCAACUUUAUAGCAAUUUUCUCAUUAAGGGUUUUUCUAAUAGAAAUUGGGUGAAACAUUUUCUCUCAUUUUCUACAUAGAGGCCGGCCACUUAGAGGAUUUUUACUAGCAUCUAAAAUCUCUCUAAGUCAUCCAUAUCAUCUUCACAAUAUACACCUUGGUGAAGAGACUUAGAGACAUCAAGCUUUUGAUGUUUUUGGAGAACAAAUCCUUAUUUCCUCAAAUCAUCAAAGGAGCACUAAAGGGAGGAAAACACAAGGAGGAUUCAAAGAGCUUGGAGGUGACUUGAAGGCCCUCCACUUGGGUGAAUCCCUUGUGUAAUCAAGGAUGAGCUUCAAGGGUAAAGAAUCACUAAAUCUUUACUUCUCUUUAAUGUUGUUAAAGAGUUUAUUUUGGUUCACCAUAUACUAGGCUUUGAAAGUCAUGGGUUUUAUGAAUUGUUUUUGGAUGCAUGCCUACUUUAAAGUGUUAAUAGCUUGCAUGUGUAUUCAAAUGUUCAUACUUGUUCUUAGCUAGGACAAAAUUUUUCCUUCACCUUUAUGAUCUGGAAAAGGUUACAAGUGAGUUUUUCAAAGCCGGCCAACUGUCAAAACCCAACAUGAUUCAUUCUUCUCCUUCUUUGAAAAUCUGAGGGUUCUUCGGGAUCAAUAUAAGAGGGCAGAAAGAUAAGCCAAUCGAGUAAGAUGCUUUCAGGAGAAGGAAUAAAGCACUUCUGCUCAGGUAGACAAGUUGAUGAAUGAUGGUUCAUUAACGAAAGAAAGAAUUGGAGUGGUGACUGCUGAAAUCCAAAAACUAGAAGAACAACUGGUUGCUCUCAAGGCUGAGCAAGCAACUCUUCUAGACACCCUCGAAAAUCAAAUCGAAGAAGUGAAGAAGACAAACUCGGAGUUGGAGCAUUCUAGAUCUCAGCUUGCAAUUAGCCACACCAUCCUGGCCGAACCUAAUCGGAUUUUUACAAUUAUGCAGACAUAUCACUCCUGAAUAAUCACCCUGAGUGAAGAUGUAAAAUUAUUAGAUUAGGAUGAUUACUUGUAACUCUUUUUGCUUUGGAAUGAAUAUUUACUUGUCUUUUGGCCCUUAUCCAAACUUCUUUCGGGCAACUCUUUGCCCCCUUGUUUACUUUCUUCUUUAUUUGAGCGAGAAUGUUGUGAUGACCCGAGAUCCAUCUUUCCUCUUUGUUGUACCCCCCGAUGACACUGGUUUCUUUAUCUAAAUCAGAUGGAUCGUGUUGAUAGGAGCUUACGGGAAAGGAUUUGUAUCAACCAUCAUACUGGCUUGUGGCUUGUCAAGUAACAACUUUCCCUUCACUAUAAGGUCUUGUACCUAGUCUCUGAACUGGACAUAGUUAGUUAUAGAAUGGUUGAAAGUAUAAUGUAACUUGCAAUACUUUUUUCCCCUCAACUCUUCUCGUUUGGGCAUCUUCUUUGUACUGUCGGGCACAAUCACUCUUGCCCGCACUAGCUAUUCAUAGAUCUCAGGAGCUUUGGCCAGAUCGAAUGAAUAGCUCUGAUAUUUGGGAGGUUUCAUCGGGAUAAAGCCCCCAUCGUUCAUCACGAUCUUCUGGUCCUUGACGGGCUGAACUAAUCCUUUUACCGUCAGGGGUUUGAAAGGCGUAGUCAUCUCAGCAGCACACACCUCGAUCUCCUCUCUAUCAUGAUCGUCCUCCCGCUCUGGCCCAAUUUCUCCCACCUCCACAUGAUGAAUUGUAGCUUUGUUUUUGUAGAAGGGAGGAGUUUUGGACGUAUGCUUCACUUGUUGUUCUUCUAGCAACAGCUUUUCAUAUCUUGUGGCAGCAAUGACUAACUCCUGUAACUCAUUAAAUUGUGUGUCAUAAAAGCUCUUUCUCAAAGGUAAUUUCAGAGCUCUUUGAGCAAUCGAUAUGAGCUAAGCUUGGUUAACAGGGAAUUGGCACCUCAUCCUUGUUUUCUUGAACCUCAUCAUGAAGUCUUCUGUGGACUCAUGCUCGUACUGUUUGACUUCAACCAGAUCAUUAAUAGUUAUUUCUGGUUCUAUUCUGUAAAAUUGUUCAUGGAAAGCCAUCUCCAUUUGCCGCCAGUUGGCAAUAGAGUUAGGGGGUAAUAGAGAAUACCACUGGGAUGCAAGUCCUGCCAAUGAAUUCCCAAACAACCUUAACUUGUAGUUUGGGUUGUCUUCAUAUGCCACACAGUGAUUAGAGAACUUGAAAAUGUGAUCUCUGGAAGACACACUGCUGUCUUCACCCGUGAAUGUUGGGAAUGCGGGCAUCUUGAAGUUGAGAGGAAAUGGAUUCUGUUCAUCAAUGUAUUCAGGAUAAGGCUUUUGAUAAGUAAUCCUGAAUACUGGACGAGCUCGUGGUUGAGCAUUUUGAACUACUGCCCUCCUUAACUCGGCCAACUCAUCCCUUAGUUGUUGAGUAGCUAUAUUAUUCUGGAAAAGAAGGGCGGACUCAUCCUUCGGGCUUCUGUCAUUGCCAAUGAAUGCUUCCUUCUUCGGUUCAGGCUUUCUCCAGUUGGUUCCCCCUUCCUUAUGAGCCAACGGGGGUGGCCUAUAAGGAAGAGGUUUGUCCGGGGCUGCAGAGCUUUCUUUUUGGCUGGAUUCUCCCGUUAUUAUGGGCAUCCCAUACUUUUUCCUCUCCUGUUUGCUCUGCUUCCUGUUAUUAAAUGUUAACAACGGGAAGCUAGGAAACUCUUUCCCGAGGACCGGCUCUAUCGCGGGUUGACUCCCUUCAAGAACUGCUUUCUUCUUUCCCCUAUUCGCUUAUUCUUCUAAUAGUGGAAAUAGGGGGAUGACUGGCUCACUUCUGAUGGUAACCUGGCUCACCCCACUUCCUUACGCGCCUUUUGGAGUGGAGAACUCCAGAUCGAGCCUUCUCUGUAAAUUACCUGUCAAGGUACAUAGUCUACUGACCUCCCCCUUUGUCUCCAAAGAGAUCUUUUCCAUGCUCCUCAACACUUGUAUCAUAGUGGCCUGUAAUUCCUCAUGGGUUCCUUUUCCUUUUGACUUUCCGGAUGAGGAUAGGCUUUCUAGGACCACCCGUCCUGAUGGGGAAGAAGGAUUGCCUGAUUGAUCUGUCAUUGGUGGCAAAGUUGAGAAGAAUCGCUCUUCGUUUUCUUUUCACAAAGUGUAUGGCUUUUCUUACUGGGCAUGCAAGAGUUACACAAAAGAGUGAUCCCACUAGGCGUACCAAAACUAUUUCCGUGGUGGAAAUUCCCGUGGGGGAUGCUUCCUGUCCGACGAGCACACAGCUCCCCGAGAGGUUUGGCGCCGGUUGAUGCUUUUCUGUCGGGCUCCUGCUUUACUGGCGGGCUUGUCGGGCAAGGCUGAAAGAGAAGGACAGAGUUAACUUUGGGAGGUGCCUUUGUGAGGCCUUAGAUGUAGGCCUUGAGGCUCACCAUCAAGAUUAACUUUGAAUUGUUCAGGUGUGCCACUGCCAUCUUCAGUAUGGCAGAUGUAGAACGGAUGUUUGAGUUUAAUUAUAUAUUUGAAAGACUAUGUUAGUUAUUGACAGGUGCCUUUGUGGGGCCUUAGGUAUAGGCCUUAAGGCUUCCCAUAAAUAACUAACUUAGUACUCGAACAUAUAAGGUUCCUUUUCUUGGUUAUGUAGGUCUUAUAACCAUCAUACUUCUGAUUACCUGAACUCAAAGAGCAGAAUGAAUCUAAAUAGGUGCCUUUGUGGGGCCUUGAAUAGGCCUUGAGGCUUCCCAUUAGAACCCCUUCCAUUCUCAAUGUUCUUGCCCGAAAAACAGGGUGAAUCCAAAUAGGUGCCUUUGUAGGGCCUUAGGUGUAGACCUUGAGGCUUCCCAUCAGAACUCAUCCCGUCCCCGAACGUUUACAUGGUAAUCAUAAUAUAACAGCAAUAAAACUAAGUGACAGGUCGAUUACUUGCGCCCCAAUUAACUUCGGACUUCUUGUUAUCAAAGCUUGUAGUGGAUGGGUUAAGUCCACAUCAGGUUCUUUUUUAUGCCUUGAGGCCAAGGACUUUUAGGGUGAUCAAAUCUUAUAUGCCCGAGGGCUUAGAACUUAGAUCUAACUUGAACUGUGGAGACAUAUUCAAAUCGGAUCUAAGCACUGAGAGAAUCUUUUAAUAGCCAUAUUAAUAGAAAUAACUUGGAUAUAACUUGUAGUAUACAACAUAUUGCUAGGCUAAUGAAUAAAUAGACAAAAACAAAGAGGGUCGGGCAAGGCUUGUCGUCUUGUAAGAGGUUUGAAAGCUUAGAAAAAGGGUAGGGAGGUGAGUUUACAGAAGAAAUUGAUACUACAGCAAGAGUUGAGCAGGGUAGCAGAGCUAUUACAAAAGGUUUAUCCCGAAAGGGAUGAAAGCUUGGGCUGACUAUAGCUUCGUUUUGAAGGCAAAUCUGGCUUUGAGCAGAGUUUGUGCUUGUAUUUGUUUGUUUGUGAUGCGUAAAAUAACUAAACACACAAAUUAACCCUCUUGUUGACAAUUGUAGUAUGGAUAAGUAGGGAUCGUUCUUAAACCGGGGAUUAGGAGGGAUUGCUAAAACACUCUAAACUGACUCAAAUUCGUAAAACAAAGUUUAAAACACUAAACUAGACUCAAAGAAUGCAAAACUAAACUCUAAAACACUAAAACAAACCAAAAGACUCAAAACAGCAAACAAACACUCAAAACUGCCUAAAAACCACUUUCUGGGCAGUUUUGGGACUCUAACACAACUUGGACGAAUUUUGGUUUCCUAAUGACCUAAAACACCUAAAAACUUAUUCUAAGACAAGUUCUAAGUAAUAUGACUUAAAGGAAUAAGGUGGGGUUGAUUUUGGACGAAAUUAAUUAAAACAAAGCAAGAACAAAGUAAACAGAUUUUAAGACAAAGUUAAGUAAAUUGAUGGGUGAUAGAUCAACUAGAGGGUUCUUCUCCACACAUGAUACACUUGCAUUCAACUUUGAUUUCCAAUUGUUUCUUUCAAUGAAUUAUGAAUCUCAACGCCCUAGGUUAACUGUGAUAGCACUUUUUUAACCUUCAAGUUUUCCUAAAGUUAGUGAAUUGGAUGGGAAUGCACAUGCAACAACUCAAAAUAUUCUCUAAAAGUUCCUUACGUGAAAAGCACAAUAAAGAUACAAUCAUAGAUCAUUAAGCUUCAUGAAAACUAUAAGUAUUGACGAGGCAAUUGUUACUAUGAAAAGCAUGAAACGUUUGCCAAGAAUUCACUUAACGUGAUCGUUUAUAAGCGACCUCCACUACUUGCAAACAUAAAGUUGUAACUAUUAGGUGAAACUUCCUUAUGUUUUAGCUUCAAAUUCCUGCAUGAAAACUAAGUUGGCCAUCUUAAUUAACACACAAAAAUAAGUCAUCAAUCAAACGGUUAAGCAAAUUGCAUUCACAAUUCAUGAAAUAACAAUUAGACGUAAUCAAUUCAUCUUGCAAGCAUAAUCAUGGUAUUGAAUAACCCCCUAGCCAAAAGGCUUAGUUCCUCAUGUUCACAAAACAAAGGAAAACAGAUUCAUACAUUCUAAAUUUAAGAAAGAGAACACCUAAAUAUUCCAACGAUUCGAUGUUGAACGGCUAGAAUCUUCAAGUACUUCUUCUUCCUCUCCUUUGCUGCGGCACAGGGACUAUGCGCAGGUUCUUGGGUUAUUGAAUGAUGUAGAAUGGAUGGGGGACGUAUGGAAGUGUUUAGGGUUGAUGGGUGGUGCGGCUAGGGUGGUUUUGGGUCAGAAAAUAUGGUGAAUGGUGAAGGAAUGGGGCUGUUGAAGAUGAAGUUCAGUUUCUAGUGUGAAUGGUGAGUUUCUGGAUGAAUGGUGAUCUUUGUGGCUGCACAAGGAUGUUUAUUUAAAGGGAUUAGGAAAUUAAAAACCCUAGACUAUUUUGGUAAACAGAAAUUAAGUCAAAAGCUUCUAGAAAUAGGAAAUCAAAUCAGAAACUUAAGGGAAAGUCAAGGGAUAUGCGGCAACACCUUGAAACACAUUAGGAAUGUGUUUUAAUGCAUAAAAUCAGGAAAGAACCAUCUCCCUUGCACGGCAAGGAAGAGGAAAGGGCAAGGAACCUUCACAAGGUGCGGCAAAGGUUUUAGGAAAGGUCUAAGUGUCCUAAAACUAAUGGAAAAAGGGAUCCCUUGCACGGCAAAGGGAUGGGGGAUUGGGAAAGGUGCGGCAAAGGUCCCUAAGAGUUCUAGGGCCUUUGUUUUGUGUCCUCAAAUGCAUAUGUAGUCCUCAAGUGGCUGGAACAUGAGUACUUUUAGAAUUAGGAAAGGUCAAACCAAAAUAGGAAACCUUGGCUUAACUUUCCUACUUUAAGUAGGAAUCCUUGUUCUUCUAGGAAUCCUCAUGUGAUUAGGAAUCCAUCUUCAAUUAGGAAUCCUUCAUUGAUUAGGAAUCCUUCGUUGAUUAGGAAUCAUUCGUUGAUUAGGAAUCCUAAUUUCUUCAAGUCUUCAAUUCAUUAAUUCCUUUUGCUCCAAGCAUGUGAUAAUCAUUCCAAGCUCCAUUUUGCUCCAAAAGGCUCCAAAAUGCAUACUUUGACUUUGGAAUCUGAAAACACACAAAAGUGACUUUAAACACUAAAAUAACUAAGGAAACAUAACUUAAAUGCACGAGAACAAGCCAAUUAAGUCGCAUAAAUAUGCUCCUAUCAGUUUGAGUGUCCUUGAUUCUGACCUCUCUUUCCCCUUUUAUAGACACCUUGACUUGGCCUCCUGUAGCAACAACCUUGCCCGAAUGCAUUUUGAAGGGUAGUGACUCAUCAACUAUUUUACUUGAACUGCCAUCUAAAAGUACUUUUUGGGCUGUAUAGCUGGCUGGUCUAUACCACUUGACCUGCACCUAGUAAAAAAAAAGCCUUCCCUGUAUUCUGGGUUUGGGCUAAGCUUCGGGCUUUUCCUUCUCUUUUUGGGCCAACUCCCUUCUAAGCCCAAAGUUUAAGUUUUAACCCAAACACUAGGACCCGCCUCUUCAGCAAUCUCCUCACAGAGCCUCUUCCUUGGACUCAUUCUUGGACUCAAUUGUCCAACUUUUGGCCUUGUACAUAGUACUAGAAUCCCCUUCUGUAGCCAACAACACAGUAACUAAAUUCCUAGAACUUCCACCAGCUUCAACUACAUCCUUCCUCACACUUGACAUAUUGACCUCCUGGUGUUAAAUAUGCUUAUCCAUUUCAAGGGUUUAAGUAAUAAUUAUUAUCUUAUGUUAAUAUGUAUUUUACGUAUUGUAUUGUGCUUAUUAUUUUUAGUUGUUGUCCAUUUAAGUUAUGUUAUUUAGUAUUUUAAUUAAUAAAGAGAUGAUGUAUUACUCAACUAAUACUUUUAUACCAUAUAAUUGACAUUUAUUUAUAUGAUAUUGUUUAGGCCUAAGCUUAGAGUUGUUCUCGGCCUAGUAUAAAGGUGAGGUAGUCGAACCCUAGUGCAACGAGGAGUCUUAAAGCUGAAUAUGCUUAGAAUUAGGGGAUGAAUCUGGUUCGUUAAUGAGCUUGGUUCAAAGUCCUAUAGGGGUUAGGAUUCGUCGAAACUUGAUCAGAAUGGGUUGAGGAGUUCUAAUCCGAGUACAUUUCUAGUUCGACCAUGAAGGGGGUUCGCUGCUAUAAAUAGAGAAGGGAGUGCAUCAUUUAAGGCCCCUUCAAGUCAACACACAAAUUACCCUGCGCAAAGCUUCUUAACAACCUUGAGAAUUUUUCCUCUCCCAUUUCUUCUCGCCAACACAUCUUUAGUUUGGAUAAACAGCACUAUGAAGGCAACUGGUGACAUCUUUAGUUUGGAUAAACAACACUGGAGAUGUAGAAUCAACCAGCCAAGGUGCACUUCAAUUUUGAUAAACAACAUUGCUUCAAGACCGACUGGUUAUUAUCUAAGUCUCGGUCGACAAGGAUUUUCAAGUCCUUGUUGGUAGAUGUCAUCUCAUUAGCCUUCUUGGCGAAUUGAGGUGUUAUAGGUUACUAGGCUCGGCACAUUGAAAGCCAAGUGUUAUUUUAUGAUCGGAUAUUCGCAAGUACAUUUCAGAGUUCGGCAUUCCAAUGGCCGAACCACAUUUACAAUCAAGACAUUUAUCUCUUUCGAGUAUUUGUGUCCGUAUAGUCUGGUACUAGUUCAGCGUACGUAUACUCUCAUGAAUAUAAUUACCGAGACCGAACCCAAUGCCGACGAUUUGUGAACUUUAAAGAAACUAACAGCCUUGUCUUCAGGCUCUAGAACCCGAAGGCUGAGACAUGUUCCUUCCUCAGCCCCAGUCGCAAAACCAAGAAGUCAGCAUCGCACCCUACGCCAUAUCAACACAUUUUACUCCCCGACUGAACUUGGCAGACAAGUUGGCACGCCCCGCACACAACCGAACGACGUAGUUAACAUAUUAAUUACUCGGGCUGCGUGUCACGUAGGCUUGGUAGUUUUUUGGUUCAACAUUUUGGCACUCCUGGUGGGAUACAGUGCUAAAACUAUAAAGUUCAUGACCAUUGAAACACGGUCAGUAAAAAAGAAAACAGUUAUGGGUAAGUCAAUGACUAAUCAUCCACAUACAGUCCAAAGCCAAGGACACGAUGGCUUGUCAUAGGCACAAAAGUCUCUUGCUGCCAUGACACCUGAAGCCAUAAGUACAACAUGCCGAGAAAAGGAAAUUAAUGUCGGCGGUCAAACUCGUGAUGCAGAAAUCCCCACCAAAAUGACAAAAGGCAUUUUUGUUGAAGGACUAGUGGAGGAUUACGAAGAGGAUGGUGAUGAGGCCUCUGAUCCACCAUCUAGAUCUUUUCUCUAGCGAUGAUUUAAAGAGCAAUCUUGGUAGUUUGAGCAAAUGUUCAGCCGAGAGGCAAAAAGCAUACUUGAAGAGAUGUGUGAUAAUAACGCUGUGCACAACAGAUUGCUUGAAGUUCUGGUUAGUAAAGUCCACGCUAUUGGACUUGCCGAUCGACCUAGGCAACCUUUUCUAAAGAAUAAUUCCCUACCAACAUUACAGGUCGAGACAGGAUCUGCUCGGCUUAAAAUGAUUGACUUAGAGAAAAGUGGUGGAUCAAGCACCAUAUCGGACAAAAUUAACCAAGGAGCAGAAGCGGUACCAGUUGACAUAGUCGAGGUUCAGAGAAUGAUUAAUUCGGCCUUAAAAAAAAGGCUGAAGUUCCCAAAAUUCAUUCACUUAUAUCCAGCCUUCGUGGAAAGAUUCGAGUAUCCUAAGGGAUUCAAGAUUCUAAACUUUAGCCUUUUUGCUGGAGAGUCAUCCUUGUCCUCAUUAUAACACGUGGCUUGAUUCACUGCUCAAUGUGGAGAUGUUAACAGUGAUUUUCAUAAACUACGACUAUUCAAUUUCUCAUUAACCGGCUCAAUGUUUGCAUGGUACAUCAACCUCCCACCCAACUCCAUCCAAAGCUAGGAAGAAUUGGUCUAAAAAUUCCAUGAGCAAUUCUAUCGGCUAGGGAUGGAAAUGUCAAUUUCUUAUUUGGCCAGGAUGGCUCAAUCAUCUGACGAGUCACCAAUGGAAUAUCUUACUAGGUUUAAAUCGGCCAGAAACUGAUGUUGAGUACUCUUCACUGAAGUUGAGUUUGUCAGGCUUGCCUUGAAUGGCUUGGACGUGGAAUACAAGAAGAAAUUCCUAGGGGCAAACUUUUGAGAUAUGUAUGAAUUGGCUCAAUAGAUCCAGCAAUAUGAUUAUUUGAUUCAAGAAGAGAAAAUCUUGAAAUCCCCAACCCGAGGGACAAUCUACAAGAACACGACGCUAAGUUAUGCAUCGGCCGAAGGCGAAGAGUCUCAAUAUGCCAAUAUAGAUGGUAAUUGACAAACCAUACGUAUGCAAAGUGUUGGCUCACGCUAAUUCCAAAGAUGUCAAAACCCACUUGGCCUCUGUGGAGGCCACUGUCAAAAUGUCAAAGGUCUACACUUUCGACAUCACUAAGGUCGAUGCCAUCUUCGACCAGUUGUUACUUGCAAAGAUUGUUAAACUUUGGCCAGGGCAUAAUAUUCCCAAGGCCGAAGAUUUGAAAGGAAAGAUGUUUUGUAAAUACCAUAAUUCAAACAAGCAUACGACAAAUAAUUGUGUCAUAUUUCACGACGCCAUCCAAAACUGGAUCGACAAUGGCAAACCUAAGUUUCUCGAGAAACCCCCAAUGACUGUUGAUGCUGAUCCUUUCCCUUGGGCGACAAUAAGUAUGGUACAUGCUCAUCUACCCAAGGACAAGGGAAAAGGAAAAGCCGAGUUCGUCAACGCAGUUUGUCCUUAAGUGGAACUCUCGGCCACGAUUGAAAAUUGAUCUAUCUUUGAACGAGCCACCCAAAUACUUUUCAAACCCAUCUUAUGUCGAGUCAAUGUCAGACUCCAGUAUAGAGGAAACUGACAGGCCGAUAGUUUUAUAUAGUCGGUGCAAAUCAAACGUCAUCUUAACUGAGCUAAAUGAACAACCACUUCAGGCUAAAGCACCGCAACUUACGCCUGCAACCAUGGCAACAUCUCAAAAAAUCCUCGGUGCAGGCAAUCUCCGGCAAUCAUGGCCGAGCUGCUUUAAGGAAAAAAGGUGAUCGAUCGCGAUUUUGAAACCACGAUUGAAGAAUAUGAGAAGCAAAUCAAACUUCUUCUUCAGCCUGAGAAGAUGAAAGCUCGCCUCGAGCACUUUUGGAAGAAAGCCGAAAGCAAACUUCAUUCACUACCCCCAUAAGAGCCAUUAAUUAAAGUCCGACGAAAUCUCCACCCACUGUUUCUCGAUGAAGCUUUGGAAUGCAUGCGGGAGUUGCACAAGAAACAUUCGGCUAAUGACUUGUAUGGUUUGCCAAAAGCAUGGCAAGAGUCUCUUGAUCUGACGUUAACUUGCCUCGAUGCCGAACAGAUUAUCCAAAAGACCAUGGAUAUGAGAAUGAAGGCUAGGUUCCAACAUAUACGCAAGGCUUGAGUUCUCAGCUUUGAGGUAGAACCUUACACUGAUAUUGAUACUGCCGAGUUUCAUUUCUCUCUCUAGGACCUCCAAUAUCUGCGGUACCAUUUUGAAGUUUUCUCAGCCAUUUCCCUUUUCGGCCUUACGACUGAUGAAAAAGAGCGCGUUGCACGUUUAGAUGCUUACCUGGACACAAGAGACACCCGCAUCGCAUAUCAGGAGUAGACUCACAAGGCUGUACAAGCGUAAAACCAAGUCUCAAUGAUGAGCAAGACAGUGGACGAAAUUCAAAACAAAACAGCUCCGAUAGACAUGUCGCAUGAACGUGUUGUCACUACAACUGAAGAUGGCCAAACGAGUGAUGCCCAUAAGAAAGACAUCUCUCCCUAAAAUCUAGAGGACGAAGAUCACAACCCGAUAGGCCCUUUGGUCUUAGACAACAUGGAAAUUAGCAUGGUCCAUGUCUUACCCGUAGAAUUCUGGCCAACCACAUCCCAACCAAAUUUCCUGGACGGUGACGUGAUGGCUGAGGAUGCCACGCAGGUCGAUUUUGUGGUCACCGAAGAAGUUGAGCAAAUAAGCAAAGAGGAUAAACUUAAAGCAGUUUUCGUCGAACUAUUUCCCCAUUCUUCAUUCGUUGAUCUUCAUCACUUGAAGCCUUUGUAUAUCAUGGCCUAUAUUGAAGGAUACCCGAUUUCUAAAAUUUUUGUUGACUGUGGAGCAACAGUCAACAUCAUGCUCGUUUCUAUCAUGAAAACACUACAUCGUUCCAAUGACGAACUCAUUCCAUCAGGGGUAACCAUGAGCAGCUUUGUCGGUGACAAAUCUCAGACUGAAGGAAUGCUUCCUUUAGAGGUGAAUAUCGCAGGUCGAAAUCACAUGACCGCAUUUUUUAUAAUUGAUUCCAAGACUGAGUAUAAUGCAUUGCUUGGUCGUGACUGGAUCCACCAUACUAGCUGUAUCCCUUCAUCAUUAUAUCAAGUCCUCAUCUUUUGGGAUGGCAAAUCAGUCGUAGUUCAUCUGGUCGAUAAUCAGCCGUUCGAAGCUAAUAUGAUUCAAGCUCGCUAUUACGAUGAUCAUGUCAGCUACAUCACCCUGCAAGGUUUCAACGAAGAAGGAUGACAGAAUCAGAUCUUAGUUCAGAAAGCCAUCGAGAUUGGUACCAAGACUGUUCAGCAGGAAUCAGUGAGACUGGGGUUGGAUAACUUAAUUGAUGUUUCAUUUAUCAUGGAACGCUUGCUGGCCAUUGGUAUAUUAUUUCCAAGCAACCGAAUUUUGGUGUGAACUUAGUAGAGUUCCUUGCCGAAUGAAACAACGGUCCAGUCCUGUCACUUGAUAAAGUCCAAGUUGCCCCAGCUGAGCUCGAAGACACUCGACCCCAAGUCAAAGAUCCAUUAGAUGAAAUAAACGUUGGCACAACCGAUGACCCUCGACCUUUAUUUAUUAGUUCAUUGUUGCCUCAACCUAUGAAAGUUGAGCUUUGUAAAUUGCUUGAAGAAUUUAAAGACUGUUUCGCUUGGAGUUACUAUGAGAUGCCUGGCCUGGAUCAAAAGGUUGGUUGUAAACCUUUCCACCAACCCCUUUGACGAUUCUUGACCGAAGUUCAGCUUAGCAUAAAAGAUGAACUCGUUCAAUUUUUAAAAGUUGGUUUUAUUCGGAAAGCUCGAUACGUCGAAUGGUUGGCGAAUAUUGUCCCUGUUUUAAAGAAAAGUGGUGCUCUACGUAUUUGCAUUGAUUUUCGUAAUUUGAACAUUGAAAUCCCUAAAGAUGAAUAUACGAUGCCAUUUUCAAACUUGUUAAUCGACGCUGUAGCAAAGCACGAGCUGUUAUGUUUCAUGGACGAUUAUGCUGGUUAGAACCAGAUUUUCAUUGUUGAGGUCGAUGUCCACAAAAUAGCUUUUCGUUGCCUCGGGGCACUCGGGACCUACGAAUGGGUCAUUAUGCUGUUCAACUUUAAAAACGCUGGUGCCAUAUACCAACGCGCUAUGAAUACUAUUUUUCACGACCUGAUUGGCACAAUCGUAGAGGUAUAUAUCGAUGAUGUGGUGGUCAAAUCGAAGCGCCGCUGAACACAUUUAGAUGAUCUUCAGCAAGCUUUCCUUCAUAUGCACCAACAUAACCUCAAAAUGAACCUUGCUAAAUGUGCAUUUGGUGUUUCGACUAGCAACUUCUUGGGUUUCCUUGUACAUCAUCGUGGCAUCGAGGUGGAUGAGAAUAAAGCUUAAGGAAUCAUUGAUACUCCACCCCCAACAACCAAGAAGCUUUAACAAUCCUUACUUGGCAAAAUCAAUUUCCUCCGCCGUUUCAUUUCUAAUUUGACGGGGAAAAUGAAGGCUUUCUUCACUCUCUUGAAACUUAAGGAUUUUGACAAACUAGAAUGGCGCGAAGAGCAUUGGGAUGCUUUCGCACAAACCAAGGUCUCCCUCACUACCUUGACGUGGUAAACCUCUUAAGUUGCAUAUCUUGCCGGCCUAGAAAUCCAUUGGUUAUCUUCUUGCAGAAGACAACGGCACUGAGUGGGAGCAAGCCAUUUUUUAUCUUAGCCGGAAUCUUAACUCAGCUGAGAUUAAUUAUUCAGCUAUCGAGAAACUUUGUUUGGCUUUGUUAUUCGUUGCGUCUAAGCUCAGACAUUACAUGUUCCCUUUUGUGACUCAGGUUAUCGCCCAAACAAAUUUAUUCGCUAUAUGCUCACUAGGUUGAUAAUAAAAGGCCGAAUUGGGAAUUGGACAAUGGCACUGUCCGAAUUUAGUUUUCAAUACAUGCCCCAAAAAGCUGUCAAAUGACAGACGUUGGCUGAUUUCUUAGCUUAACAUCUUUCCCCAUACGGUUUUAGGGGCAACGACGUUGAAAUUGGCUUGGUGGAAACACGUGACAAUUAUUGGACGGUGUAUUUUAAUGGCUCUAGUACCUCGACCUCGCUAGCGUUGGUAUCGUCAUCCAAUCCCCUGAUCACUACAUAUGGUAUUUUUCCCUUAAGUUAGAUUUUGACUGUACAAACAAUCAGGCCGAAUAUGAAGCCCUUGUCAUCAGCCUUAACGUCCUUCAUGACUUAAGGGUAGCCCGCGUGCUUGUCCUUGGCGAUUCAGAACUUGUGAUUAACCAACUUAAUGAGACUUUUCAUUGCAUGAGUUGUACUCUGGCACCCUAUCAUAUGGUUGCCAGCUAUUUAGCCGAAUCACUUACAGACAUUACAUUCAAGUCCAUUUCAUGAGUUUGAAAUACUGACGUAGACAAAUUGGCUCAAAUAGCCUAUGGUACAUAACUUUUGGGGGCAAACUGGGCCCGGUCAUACCAGUGGUGCUAUGUCCGCACCCGGCCUUGGUUAAUCAACAAGUUCUCCAAUACGACCACGUGAUCCGUAAACGAGUUAUGUCCUUACCUUCGUUAUUGGAAUGAGAGGAUCCUAUAGAUAUUUGCACGGUCGAGAUAUUACCAGAUGACUGGAGAAGGCUAAUUAUACAGUAUCUUGAUAAUCCCAGUGGCAAACACGAUCGCAAGACAAGGGUACAUGCCACGAAUUACGUAAUGUACAAGAAUGAACUAUAUCGAAAAUGUGAAGACGGUCUGUUGUUAUUGUGCCUCAGCCUGGAAGAGGUUGCACAUGAAGGAAUAUACGGGGCUCAUCAAUCUAGAUGUAAAACAUGUUGGUUGCUCUGCCGACACAAUUUUUUUUGCUGAGUAUGUUAAACGAUUACAUUGAAUACGUGUGAGGUUGUGUACAAUGUCAAAUCCAUGGGCCCAUACAGAGGGUCCCAGCCAAAUUACUUCACUUGGUCACCAAACCAUGGUUGUUCAGAGGAUGGGCCAUGGAUGUAAUCGGAAAAUUACGUCGUCUUCCGGACUAGCAAAGCAUGCAUGGAUACUUAUGGCGACUGACUACUUCACCAAGUGGGUUGAAGAAAAAUCAUACAUCGAGUUAACAUCCAAAGAGGUAUGUAAUUUUGUAGAAGAAAACAUCAUGUCAAGAUUUAGCGUACCAGAAACAAUUAUAACGGACAAUAACACGAUUUUUACAGCUGAUAAAUUUAAAGAAUACAUAGCAAGUUUGAAAAUUCGGCUUGAUCAAUCUACGCCAUAUUACCCAUAGGCAAACGGAUAAGCCGAAACAAGUAAGAAAGUUUUGAUCGGUAUCCUUGAGAAAAUGAUAAAAGAAAAGGCUAGUAUGUGGCAUUUGAAGUUAAAUGAGGCAUUAUGGGCAUAUCGAACUUCACUUCGAUCAGCAACAGAGAAUACCCAUAUGCAUUAACUUACGGACACGACGUGAUGCUACUAGUCGAGCUAAGCUUAAACUCGUUACAAAUUAUCGAACAAAGCAGUUUGUUCAGUGUCGAGUAUAAUCAGGCCAUGAGGUAAGAGUUAGAGGAUUUGGAGGAAGCUCGGCUUGAUGCCUAUAAUUUGCUAGUGGCGCAGAAAAAGAUUAGCGAACGAGGUUAUAAUCGACGAGUCAGGCAAAAGACGUUUCGGGAAGGUGAAUUAGUGUGGCAAACUGUGUUACCAGUAAGGAUUAAAGACCCCAGAUUCAGGAAAUGGUUGCCGAAUUGGGAAUGACCAUUUAUCGUUCACAAAGUUCUCGACAAGAGGUCAUACCACCUCAAGGAUCGAACUUGUUUGAUUCAUAAAUUACCAAUCAAUGGGAAAUUCUUAAAGAAAUAUUAUCCGGUCACUUGGGAGAUGCAAGAAUAAAGGAUUUAUUUCAUUAAUCUUCAAAUGGCUUACAUACAAAAUUACAAAAAGAAAUCGACCAUCCUACAACUAAAGGCACAAAAAUCAUAAGGAGUUAACGGAAGAAAAGCUUCAAGAGUGGCUUUCAGCUUUAACCAUUUCACUUCGCGUAUCGUGACCUCGGCCUAUUGUGUUCUUUUGUCAGCCUUUAGUUAUCCACUUCGCAUUAGCAGCAUAUUCUGCCAGUCGGGGUUUGUUUGACUCAAAAUCUUUUUCAAGCAUAGAAGCAACGACCAACCUCUGAUGUUGAAGAUCAGUGAUCUGACUGUCAAGGUCGGCCAAUCUUUACUUCUUUACCUUUAUUGCCUCAAGCUCUGGUCAGAUAGCUUCGUGAACGACCGUUACAGCCUUGAGGUCAUCCUCUACCCGAAGAGCUUUCUCGAAAACAGUGAAAUAUUGUCAAGUUCUUUUUAAGACAAUUGACAGAUGAACAACACUUUCAUUGCUCGGUAGGUCGUUAGCUGCAAGGUUGUUCAAUCACUCUCUAACAGAGUCGAGGCCUUUGCGUUGGAGGAUUUGUGAGGCGGAGAAAGACAAAAGUUCCUGCAGCUUGGCAAGGGCCCUAGACUCUACUGGGGUUGCAGAAAGCCCAACUGUCCUCGAGGUGUUAAAGAGAAGGGCAUCAAGCUCGACUUCCCACAAAGGCUGCAUAGAAAAUAGUUGUUAGAGAAAAGAGGAUUCAAAAGAAUUGCAGAGAAAUGAGUUGUUUUAGACAUGCCAAGAAGUGACUUCGGCCAUGUCUGUUGGUUCGUUGGUCGAACCUAGAGAGCUUAAUGGUCAAGCCUAGUGUUUAAAGCAUUUUCAAUUCAUACGGCCGAUGAAGGUUAUCCACGUUUGAUGGCUAUGUGGUGGCCAGGAAAUAUAAAUAACACCAUUCGGUGCAUAGAAUUUUCAAUGAAAUGAACGAUUGGGCACCUAGCACUUAAUUUUUUUUGUUGGUUUAGAGUUCUAAGGCAGGAAAUUAAUAAAAGAAAAUGUUGAUGUCUUACAAAAGUCGAAGAGAACUCCUGAGGAGGGAUGCCAAGGUUUUAGUCUUGGGGAUGAACCUGCAUCUCUGUUGUUGCUUUUGGUUCAACAAAAGGUGCCGCUUCAUGUCCUAAACCUACUUCGGCCGCUUGUGGGUCGACCAGGCUAGCCACCUCGACCUCCAGUUGGAGAUCACUCGGAAAGGAUGCGACACCUUUACCUUUGUCCAGAGGUAAGGGAUUUGUAGUAGGUGGUUCAACCAGUCGAGGGUGCCUCACCAGUGCGGGUACUUUGCUUUCGUUCUUUUGGUCAUAAAAGAUGAUUUUUCAUUAGUCGGGAGAUCUAGUUAAAAUGAAAGAUUAUUAAAGGAAAUUUUCGUACCUUGCGAUCACUUGAUUCUUCUUUGGAUUAGGGGGAGGGUUUUUUUUGGCCGUGGUUGCCGCUUUCUCUAGAGUAGCAGCUGUUGGGCCGACAUCAGCAGGAGCAACGAUUGGCUCUAGGGUUGCAAGUUUUUCAACUAUUGGGGUGACGACCAUUUCAACUUUAAAAGCGGCUUACGUGGGGGUUUGAACCACGGUCGCUUGGCCCAUAUUUGGGGUCGAAGGGUCUUGCAGUCCCUUUGCCGAGACUUGAAUAACCGGAGAAAUGAGAAAGAACUAAAAGUGGUUGUUCCUGUGGUUUUACUUGAAUUGACAUGUAUCUCCUACUCUUAUUUCUUUGCCUUCUUGAUAUAUUUGAGGGGUUGGGCAACAUUAUCAGUCGUCUCGACCUCCGGGCGAGGCCGUUUGCUUGAUACAAUCGGUGCAGUAGUUGCAGCCUUCUUUAGAGGAGGGGCAAGUUUCUUCUUGGCUACAACCAUCACAACGACAUCGGUCCGUCUUAUUGCACGACCACCUGGAAAAGCUAAACCUGAGUCAGAAUGAAGUUUGAAUUAAAUAGAUGAACAGAGAAGUAAAAGAUAAAUACCUUGGGCCAUUUCUUUGGAUUUUGGAGCAAGAGUCUUCUUUGGUCGAUCGCCAAAAAGUUUCUUUGAAACUUCCUCUGCCGAAGUACCAAAGAAAUCCUUGAUGUAGGCAUCCACCAAUUGGCGAAGGUGCUGGUACAAUGGGUUUCUGGAGUACUUGACCAAAGGUGGAAUUUGGUACAUCACUUUUGGAAUUCUUUCUGGGCUUCCUCAAAUUCCCUCUCUGAGGAGCCGGAGAGGUAUUCUCGACUCAAGAGUGAGUGAGAAGUGAGGAGUGGCAUAGGAUAACCCUGAAGAUAGCCCAAUUAAGGGGCCAAAAAGUGAGAAUGGUAGACCUCCCAGUUGGCUCGUCGAGCAUCACAACCAAAGGGAACUGGCAACACACAAAUUGCAAUUCAAGGCCCUUUCAAAUCAACACACAAAUUGCCCUGCGCAAAGCUUCUCAACAACCUUGAGAUUUUUUCCUUUCCCCUUUCUUCUCGCCAACACAUCUUCAGUUUGGAUAAACAACAUUGUGAAGGCAACUGGCAACAUCUUCAAUUUAGAUAAAAAAACACUAAAACAGUAGAAUCAGCCAACCGAUGAGCAAUUUUAGUUCGGAUAAACAACACUGUUUCGAGACCGAAUGGUUAUUAUCCAAGUCUCGGUUGACAAGGAUUUUCGAGUCCUUAUUGGUAGAGGUCAUCUCAUUAGCCUUCUAGGCGAAGUGAGGUGUUACAGGUUACUAGGCUCGGCACAUUGAAAGUUGAGUGUUAUUUUAUGAUCUGAUAUUCGCAAGUACAUUUCAGAGUUCGACAUUCCGAUGGCCGAAUCACAUUUACAAUCAAGAAAUUAAUCUUUUUUGAGUUUUUGUGUCCGUACAGUUUGGUACCAGUUCGGCGUACUUAUACUUUCACGAAUAUAAUUAUCGAGACUGAACCCAGUACCGAUGAUUUGUGAACUUCGAAGAAACUAGUAGCCUUGUCUUUAGGCUCUAGGACCCGAAUGCCGAGAUGUGUUCCUUCCUCAGUCGCAAUUGCAAGACCAAGAAGUUAGCAGUGCGCCUAACGCCACAUCAACACAUUUUACUCCCCUGCCGAACUCGGCUGACGAGUUGGCCCGCCCUGCACACAACCGAAUGAUGUAGUUAGCUUAUUAAUUACUUGGCUUGCGUGCCACGUAGGCUUGGUAGUUUUUAGGGUCAAUAGAUAUGUAAUAAAUUAACUUAAAUUUGCAUAAUCCAUCUAAACGUUAAGCCCUAUCCCAUCGCCUGACUAAUGUCUUUUAGAACCAUAGAAUAUCAACAUCCUAGCUAGUUGAUGACAAUUAUCGCCAAUAAACAAGCUGUAUCAGAUGAUGCCAAUUUGACCAAACUAUAUACCCACAUAACAUGUAGAUGCAAUCCAUCCAUCUUGUAAUAUUAUUGAUUUUUCGCGUUGAUCAACAAAUACUAUUUAAUUAAAUUGGUAAGGAUCAUUAAUCACAAUGGGACAAGUAGCCUACUGCUGGCCUAUCUCCUUUUAUCUCUUUUGCAUGUCUAUUGUUUCUAGGAUUGUUUAUGCUCGCAAGGUUAUUUUGAAUACUCAUACGAUUUGGACCUUCGUAUUAUUUCUUAUAUGAGUAUUCAACCUAUCUAUCAGAAGGUCCUAAUCAUUCGUUUGUACUUAGGUCUCCUCCUUAGUUUCCCUGAGUUAAGCUUUAACACUAAUGAUUUGGCUAAAGAAAAUUAUGGUCUUAUUGCUUGUUGAAGAGAUUUUUUAAGAAGAAAUGGUAGUGGUUUUAUUCAUAACAUUAAGAAAGCAUACAAUUUUCGAGGAGGAUGUCGUGUAUCAACUUUGGAGGCUCAAACCAACAACUAGCAAAAUUGAAAAUUGAGGCCAACACUACAACAAAAUCAUUUAUUAGUGCUGCUAUGAUAACCGACAAAAAACAUAUAUUACUGUUGAAAAUUAAGCAAAAUCCGACAAAAAAUGGAUGUAGUGGCGGAUAUACUAAGCGAUAGAAUUGCCAGCGUCAAGAAAUUAAUUUUCUCCUGAACCCAUAUAACAUCCUUUAGAGUAAAAAAUUGAUAACCCACCAGAUACUCCACGUCCAAUACCAUCUUCAUUUCGACCUUUACGAGUGCGACGCAGCUCGACAUCUCUAAGAUACAUGGAACAAAAGGAUAAGCAAUCAUCCACCAAAUAUGCUUCAGCAAUAGAACCUUGAGGAUGACCCUUAUUACAAACAUAGCGCUUCAGUGUUUACAAAUACCUAUAAUUAUAAUACAAAACACAAAUUAUUAUAAUUACUAACAAAAUUUAUCAUUAUAAAUUAACAAAUUUUAUAAAGAUUUGUUAAUUACAGUUCAAUUGGAUACAUCCAUCUAUAUUGAACAGGUCAUGCAAUAGCUGCUUCAUCUGCCAAGUGUACUGGGAGGUGCAUCAUUACAUCAAAAAAUGCAGGUGGGAAUAUCUUCUCCAAUUGACAUAAUGUCAAGGCAAUUCUUGAAUUCAAUUACUUGAAACCUUCCUUGGACUCCUUCUUGCUAUACAAUUGUCUGAAAAUUGUACUCAACUCUAAUAAUAUCAUAGUAACAGAUUUAGGCAAAACCGCACGUAUUGCAAGCGGGAGUAACUGCUGCAUUAAAACAUGGCAAUUGUGGCUUUUCAAUCCAAGUAUUUUUCGUUCAUUCACAUGCACACAUUGCGACAAAUUUGAUGAAUAUCCAUCUGGAACCCGAAUAGUAGACAACACUUCACAAAAUGCAGUUUUUUCUUCUCUUUUCAAUGUGAACAAUGCUGGAGGUCGAAAUGUUCUAUUUCCUUCCCUACGUGGAUGUUGUCCAUGUCUUAUGUUCAAGAUUUCAAUAUCUGCACAUGCAGCCAAUCCAUUCUUAGAAUUUUUAUUUAUAUCUAACAAUGUUCCCAUUAUAUUGUCACAUAUAUUUUUUUCAAUAUGCAUAACAUCAAGAUUUUGUCUAAUCAACAGAUGCCUCCAAUAAAGUAGUUCAUAAAAAAUAGAUUUCUUUUUCCACUGACUCUUACUACUUGUACUGCUCUCAGUUCGUUUUUUGCGUUGCCCAACCGAAGCAUCUUUCUUUGGUUUUCCAAAAGUAAAUCUCAAAGUACAAAGUUCUUCAAGACAUUGUAAACCAGUCCACUGCCUUAGUGCACUACGAUGCUCUCGCUGACCAUUAAAAGAUGUGGUUUUCCUUCGAAACCUUUGAUCAACAGGAAGAAAUCGUCGAUGCCCCAAAUAGCAAAUCUUACGACUCGCCAGCAAGUAAAUAGAUUAUUUAUCAUGCAUGCAAUGUGGACAUGCUUUAUAUCCAUGUGUACUCUAUCCUGAUAACAUUCCAUAUGCUGGAAAAUCACUUAUAGUCCAUAAGACGGCAGCCUUCAUCGUAAAAUUUUGGUUGGAAUACGCAUCAUAAGUAGGAGUGCCCACCUCCUAUAACUCAUUCAACUCAUCAAUCAAUGGACGCAUGUACACAUCAAUCUCUUUACCGGGACUGCGUGGUCCUGGUAUUAACAAAGACAACAACAAAUUCGGUUGCUUCAUGCAUAUCCAGGGCGGUAAAUUGUAAUCUGAAAGCACCACAGACCAUGUGCUAUGGUCUUGCCUCAUUUUUCCAAAAGGAUUAAAUUCAUCAUUGGCCAACCCUAAUCAGACAUUUCGAAUUUCUGAUCCAAACUGCGGAUAUAAAUUAUCUAAAUGCUUCCAUGCUGGAGAAUCUGAAGGAUGUCUCAUAAACCCAUCCUUAGGACAUUCAGUUGUGUGCCACCUUAUAUGUUCAGCCAUAUGCUUCGACGUAUACAACCGCUGCAAUCGUGGUAUUAAAGGAAAAUACCACAUAACCUUAGCUGUGAUUUUUUUUUCUAAAGCCAUCCUCUUCAUUGACAUUUUUAUAUUUUGGUUCACCAUAAACUGGGCAUGUGGUCAACUUUGCAGUGUCUUUUCAAUAGAUCAUGCAAUUAUUGGGACACGCAUCAAUCUUCACAUAUGUCAGACCCAAGUCAUUUAUAAGUUUUUUUUGCCUUAUAACAAGAUUCAGGCAAACAAUCUCCAUCAUGCAACAUUUUUGUAAUUAACUCGAGUAACAUGGUGAAGAUCCCGUCCGACAUUCUUGCUAAACACUUGAUCUGAUACAAUCUUAUAACUGCCUCAAAUUUUUUAAAUUCCUUACAACUUGGCCACAAAUCUUGAUCUGCCCCUUCAUGCAACUUAAAAGAAGUCUCGACUUCUUCCAGACGCCCUUCACCAGAAAGAGGUUCAGUAGACGGCCCAACACCUUCUUCCGUUAAUAGUUGGAGAAAUACAUCAUUAAGAACAUCAUGAAUACCAGUCAACUGAUCUCUUGUUUCAGUAGAUGGCCCAACACCUUCUUCUCCAAUCCCCAUAUUUUGCUCUCCAAUGAAAGGUUCCCCAUGAGGUCGCCACGAAGCAUUUUUGUAAUCUUUAUCCAUAUUAUACAACACAAGAUGUUCGACAAUAGUUUUUCUAACAAAAAUAUAUCGAUUACAACAUCUUUUGCAAGGACAUCUAAACUUAUUGGGGCCAGCACCAUUUGCAACUGCUUGAUCCAAAAAUAAAUUAAUUCCAUCUAUAUAUGCUUCCAAAUUUCGCGAUAUUGUCAACCAACUCUUUUCCAUGUUUUACCACUGUAUGAGAGCAAAUAUUACAUUGAAACUAAGAUGCCUACAAUCUUUCAAUCCCUAUCAUGUAGGCAUAACUAUUAGAAAUUUCAAUCCCUAUCUUCAACCUCGAACUAUCACAAUCGCAAUUUAAUUUCCAACACCUAUCACAGUAAAACAAAUUAAAAAAACAAUAAAAGGUUAACAAAAAUAUGUUUAUCUACACUCUUGGUUAUUUAUUAAAUUUAAGUUUUGUAUAUCCUCAUAGCAAUUAGAGUGAAAUAUUUAAUUUAUUAACAAAAGAUAUACCUAUAUUACUAAAUAUUACCAAUUUAUGGUAUAUUAAAUAUUGUCAAUUUAACAUAAAUAUUUACAAAUAAUAUUUAUCUCAAUUUCUUCAUAACAAUUUAAGUAAAUAAAAUAAACUAAUGGAACACAUACAUUCCUAAUUUAUCUGACUAAUUAAAUUAAAAUCUCUAAAUAAAUUAUCUUGUGUGUCAAACAAACAAUUUAAACAUUAAGAAGUUCAGUAAUAAAACUUGAACUAUUGAAGAAUUUUGUCGUCGAUCUACUCUUUACGUAAUCAGCCAACUAAAUAAAGCUCUUGCAAAAUCAAAUCAGAAAAUAAAAAUAAGCUACAAAGUGCUUGAUGAAGAAAGAAAUAGAAGAUGAAAAAGUAUGGAAGCAAAAGAAAUGAAAAACUUACUGUGAAAUGAAGAGAACAAAAAGAUUGAAGAUGAAGAGAAGAAAAGGAUUGAAGAUUGAGGAUUGAAGAUUGAAGAUUGAAGAUGAAGAAGAGAAAGAAUCUGAAUGAAUAACAAACUGAAAAAUUUUUGGCAUAAAAAUAAUAAAAUAGUCAAUUUAUGUCGGUUAUAACUGCCAGAAUACAAAAAAAAUAACCACCAGAAUACUAAAAUAAUAAAAUAGUCAAUUUCUGUCGGUUAUAACUGCCACCAUUAACUUCAAAACCACCAUAAUAUAUAAAAAAAUAUUUUAAAAAGAAUUCACAAAAAAUGGCGGUUAUAAUAAUUUUAUGUCGGUUUAAUCCGAUAGUAAUUAUCCGCUAGGAAAUCCUGUCUAUUAUAUCCGACACUAACUAAAUGAUAUGUCGGAUAUCUUUUAUCCGACAUAAUGGCUUAUUAACCGCCACCAUCAUCCGACAGUUAAAGCUAAUAUUGUUGUAGUGUAACUUGCCAAUUCUAUGUGCCACUACAUUGGCGGAUAUAUGACAUGACAAAUUCUUGAGGCAACAAAACCCCGCAGGCUAGUUUUAAUAUCAUCAAUCAACAAACCAAUAGCGGAGGAGCCACCAUGCAAACUUCCAACAACUCAGACCACACGUAGUGCAUCAUACUCCAAAAUAAUUUGUUGCCAACAAACAUCAUCGCGUGCAGCUAAAACCUCAACCAUCUUGAGAUUAGUCACAUGAGAUAUUUUACGAACAAAACCUCCAGCAUAACUACAGACUGUGUUGCGAAAGAUCACACUGACAUCCCUAGAAUUUGUAGCAGCACAGAAAGCACCGUCAACCUUAAUCUUGAUCCAAUACGAUGGAUGAGAAAGCCAACGAAAAGAAGACUGAGUGGCCUAGAUUGAGGGGCUAGCUGAGCUUUAAUAAAAUUAGAAAGGCAUUCAAGUUGACUCACAGUGUAGGGCUCGACAUUGGCUCCUCGCCGAGGAGUUUCAGAGAUUGACAUGAUCGAUUCCUUGGUGGAUUAUGUCAAGUUAUUGGUCAUUACAAUUCUUUUCGCAGAUUUAUUGACGUAGAAUUGGCUUAUAAAUGAGGUUGACAUUUUUUUUUCGUGAAAAGUGAUUUUAUUAGUGCUCUUGUUUGUCUUCGUUCAAAAGACUUUGUUCCUCUUUGGCCUUUUUGGGCUCAAUGGCUUACUUGCUUAAACCGAAUUCAUGAGAUGACUUUUUGGUGUUCACAUAUUUAUCUAGAAGGGAAUGUGGUUGCCGAAAUUUUUUCUAACAUGGUCUUGUGUUCUUCAUAAUGUUUCAUUUUUUUUUCUAACCUAUUUGUUUUGGUGUUUUGAAACUUGUUAUGUAGGUUUAGACCUUUUAGCUUUUUCUUUAAAGGGGUUUAGGCUUGACCUCCAAAUCACCCCCCCCACCCCUUGUAGUUUUUUUUUGUUUUUUAAAGGGGGUUAGGUUUAUGUCUCUCCCUUUUCUUGUACAUUUUACUUUAUUAUUUCUUCUUAUAUUACGACCCUAAUUAAGUGUAGCUUCUCUUUCUGAUUUAAUUUAAUUUCUCUCGUAUCGUCGAGAUUCUUCUAAAUUUUUUUUAUAAAAAAAAUAGAAAAAGAAAGAAAGUAGCUUACUCCAUACAAAUACGAGGUUAGUCUGUGAGUUAUAGGGCAAAUAUAUUCCAAAAAGGGUCGAUUUUAUACAAUUGCAGUUUAUUUAGGAUUUAAUUAUUGGGCAUUAUUGUUUUCAUGCACGGAAAACUGGAUGUAAAAUUGAGAUGAGCUAAACUUUGAAGCCAUCUUUUAUUAAUAAAAAUGAUUUUAUUUGUCUAUUCGGUUUUUAUUAUAUUCCCCAAAUUUUUCACAUGUAUUAAUGACUUCCAAGUAUAACAUAUAUAAAUACAACUCUACAAACAAAACUAGACCGUAGAGAGUAUACAUCUAAUCAAUAUAUAUGUCAGAGUCAAAUAUUAAAGUCCAACCUAAUUGGUUUUCAUAACCUAAUUGGUUUACAUAGUUGUAACCAGAUUGAACUAGUGUUAAGAGUUUUAAUUAAUUAGCUAUUUCUUGAGCCUCAAGGAAGAGUGAAAUACAGACUAAUUCUUAUUGGUUAAGAGGUUCCUGCGUGGAAGACAAUUCUAUGGGUUUUAGUAUUCUAGUAAUAGGCUCACUAGGGUUUUUAGAAUCCGUUAGUGAGUAGGAUUUUAGGGCCUGUUGACCGUAUAAGUUUGAGGUCUCUAUGCACGCUGCUAACACACCACAACUUUAGAACUCCCCGUCAAUGUUCAUUAUAUAAGGAGCAGCAGUGCAUAGAAGUGCUUCAAUCUAUUUCGUCCUGAAUUCCCCACAAAAUUUAUUACAAGAAAUAAAGUUAUCUUGAAGGUAAUAUAUACUAGAGAAUUUUGAGAGUCAUAAAAUUAGUGUGAUGAGUGUUAAUCAGUCUAAAAUUAUUGUGAAAACCUAAAAAAUGGAAUUGGAGAAAAACUUAUCCAUUUAUAACACUUACACGAAACGCCACAAUACCAACACACUUUUGUCAUACAUAUCCUUCACUGAAAAUUGACGUCCUCCCUUGCGUUAUCUGGAAAAUAAACAAACCAAAGGGGUGCAUUAGUUUUUAGCUUACGUGUAGAAUCUAGAAACAACAAUCCUGCUACAAAACAGACGAACAAUGUCCACGUUCAUGCUUUAGCACUCAGCACCAACAGCCGUCUCCCCACUAUAAAACAUUACAAAUAAAAUAUAUAAUCCUUAAAUGCAUGGAUCCCUAGUAAUCAUCAUAACUUUAAGUAAACUAGAAACCCACUGGAGAUAUUAGAGCAGUUCCCAGUUAGUGAGAGAUUUGAGAGAGUAGAAUGGGUUGGCGUGGAAUAUUGGGUUUUGAGUACGGAAUAGUUCAAGCACCGCUGGGAGCUGAUAUUUCAGGACCGGAGCUUGUUACUGCUGUUGCGAAUGCUGGUGGACUCGGUUUCCUCAGAGCUCCUGAUUGGGUAAGCCACCCUUCUUUCCUUUUUUCUUUUUUGUUUCCAUUUUUUCUUCUUAAAUUCCAGUUGGAAAAUGAUUUUUAUUGAUAGUUUUCUUACAAACAAGAGGGAGCCUUCACAAAGGUUGCUUAGGAGAAGUCUCAGCAGUCGGUAGAGCCCCAGAAAGAGAAGGCACUGGAGGGGGAUCAUUCGGAGCCUCAGUACUAGACAGAACCCUAGAAGGAGGAGGCAUAAGAGGUUGAUCAUUUGGAGUUUCAUUACUCAGUACAGCCCCAGAAGACGAAGGUAAUAAAUGCCUUUGGAACAAACCCACAAACCUCUGAUGAUCAAGUAAAAUCUGAUCAUCAGAUUCCUUCAUCUGGUCAAGCUUCCUCUUCAUGUUUGUAGCAUAGUCAUGUGCGAGCCGGUGCAACUGUUUAUUCUCAUGCUUGAGCCAUCUAAUCUCCUGUUUGAGACUCAUCACUUCAGCCGCCAAUGAUUCAACUUGGCGGGUUCGAGCAAAUAGGCGUUGGGCCAUAUUAGACACAUAACAUGCACACUGAACACUGAGAGCCAGAGAAUCCUUAACAGCUAACUCAUUAGACUGUUUGGAAAGUAGUCUGUUAUCUCGGGGAGUGAGAAGGUUUAUGGCCACCACCGCAGCGGUCAUAUCAUUCUUCAUCACGGAAUCCCCAACGAUAAGAGGACCAGUAGGGGAUAAGAAGGAUGGGCGCCAUAUGUUGUUUGGAGAAGGCAUGGCUGCCUCUUCAACAAGGUUCAAGUCAAAAUGACGGUCGAAGGGGCCAGACAUUUUCGGAGGGGCCAGACAUCUUAGAAGUGUAAGAAGGGAGCUUCUACUGGUGGAGAUUCAAGUGCGCUUUGGAACUUAAUGCCAGCCUCUAUAAAAAUCUGCACUCGACGGAGCUUCAGAAAUCGAAGAGGCGCCUGCUCAGAAAUCGAAGAGGCGUUUGCUUUCUCAAAAGCUGGACUGCUCAGAGACUACGAGAGGUGAUCUCAGAAAUCGAAGAGGCGUUUGCUUUCUUAAAAGAUGGGCUGCUCAAAGACCACGAAGACCGAUCUCAGAAAUCGAAGAGGCGCUUGCUUUCUCAAAAGCUGGGCUGCUUAGAGACCAUGAGGGCCGAUCUCAGAAAUCGAAGAGGAACCUGCUUUUUCAGCCUUGUCAGCACCUGUCACAUGCACACUCAGCUUUGCGGAAAUUACGGGCAUUCUGUCGAAGAUUUCUGGUGAAGUGGAAAGCACGUGAAUCUUACUGUUUAAUCAUCCACUUUCCACAUGCAACAUCAGCUCAUGGGUACCACAGAUAACUUUGCCAAAGAUCUCUGACAAAGUUUAGACACGUGAAGCUUGCAGCUCCCACUACAUCGCUAUGACCAAAAAGGGUAAAAGAAUAGCAAAGAAACAGCACUAACAAAGUUUAGACACAUAAAUUUUGAAGGUCUAGCUACCUAUUAAUACCCACAAGGGUAAAGGAAUAGCACCACUGAUGGAUAAUUGGAAAGUCCCUGUGUGUCAACCUCUGUGCUCCGUGGCAAGGUAGACUAGCAAACAUGCCCAACCUUUACUCACAUUCGAGAAAACACUCCCAACAAGAUUGCUUGCUCCAAAAUCGAAGAGGCACCGCCUUUCGAAUCUCGAGAGCCAGACUCCCAAUAUGAUUACUUUCUUAAAAAUCGAAGAGACACCGCUCUCUGAAUCUCGAGAGCCAGACUCCCAGCAGGAUUGCUUUCUCAAAAAUCGAAGAGGCACCAUUCUCCGAAUCUCGAGAGCCAGAUCCCCGACAAGAUUGCUUGUUCGAAAACCGAAGAGGCACCGCUUUCUCAACUUCGAGAGCCAGAUCUCCUUGGAUAAAGCUUGUCUGUAAUCUUCACACGCAACAUCAGCUUUCCAGAUACCACAGACCACCUUUUCAAAGUGCUUUGACAGAGUUAAAACACGUGAAGCUGGCAGCUCCCACUACCGUGCUAUGACCAAGUAGGGUAAAGGAAUAACAUUACUACUUGUUAGGGAGACUCCUAUAUAUGUCGACCUCCAUCCUCAAUGGACAGGCAGACCUGUAAAAAUGCUUAACCCUUCCUCAUAUCUGAGAGGGCACUCCCAACGAAGCCUCUCAAAAUACUCAGCUUUUUUCCCCCCGAUAAUACCUCUGCAAACAAGCUACACCAGAGCAAGAAUAUCUCAUAUCAUCAGGGUUAAAAGCAAGAGUAUCCCAUAUCAUGCUUUUUCCCUGUCCUUUCCUUUGGCCUUGUUCUUACCUGUAAGACAAGGAGAAAGAGAGCAAUAAGUCAGCACUUAGAAUCAAGCUUCCAGUCAGGAACUGACUGCCUGGAACCCCUUACCUAAUUACUUACCUGGCAUUACUCUCGAGUACUCAUCUUCAACAUCUUAUGCUUCCAGAGAAGAUACCACAUCUGCCUGAAGAAUAGAUAGGGCAAGUGAGAAGGAUACAAGGAAGCAUGUGGAGACAAGCAUAACGGAACACGUGCCGAUACAUCCACUACUUUGUCAACAGCAAAAGUAUCCCAUAUCAGCAGGGUCGAACGUACUCUAGAUUUGAUGGACUUGUUUUGACCCUCAAAUUCUUCAGUCGGCCUUAUACUCUGGAGGAAACCAGAAAACCCUCCAGUCCAGUUCAAGAAUAAGCCUGUGGAAAGUUACUUCUUCAAAAGCAAAAGUAUCUCAUAUCAUCUCUUCUCCUUUUUCUUCUCUUUAUCCUUCAUGCUGCCUGCAAGAUAGGGAGAAUGAGAACAAUCAGCCGGAACUCGAAAUCAAACUUCUGAUCUGGGACUGAUUGCUUGGAGCUCUGAUUACUUACCUUGUCUGUCACAUCUUUCAGCAGAUCCCCUAACUCGGCGACUUGGGGGACUAUUACUACAUGGUUUGUAUCGCGCUUGACCAAGCCUGAAACUACAAGUAAGCUUCAAGUGAAAUUGAUACAUUACCUUGUGCAUCUCCACCAGUUAAAGAUACCACCCCUGGAUGGAGGAAGAGUACUUCCAGAGAAGAUGCCACAUCUACCUAUGAGACAGAUAAGGCAAGUGAAAACGAUACCACACUUUGGUACUUAGAAGUUUCGUGAUUACGAGAUCAUUCUCCCACAAUAUUUCCUAAUGUCAUUUGUACUAAAUCUUUCACUUGUACUCACUAAAUGAGAGCUUGAACCUAUGUACGUGUGUAAACCCUUCACAAUUAAUAAGAACUCCUCUACUCUGUGGACGUAGCCAAUCUGGGUGAACCACGUACAUCUUGUGUUUGCUUUCCUGUCUCUAUCCAUUUACAUACUUAUCCACACUAAUGACCGGAGCAAUCUAGCGAAGAUCACAAACUUAAUACUCUGUUGUACCAAAGUCCUCAUUGAUUUUGUGCAUCAACAAUCCUUAAGUCCUUACCUUUUUGCGUUGGUAAUGGAUGAGUUAACAUGACAUAUUCAAGAUGAUAUUCCGUGGUGUAUGCUUUUCACAAACGAUAUAGUGUUGAUAGAUGAAACUCAGGAAGGGGUAAAUGCGAAGCUUAACCUUUGGAGAGAAGUGUUGGAAUCUAAAGGUCUUCACCUAAGCCGAUCAAAGACAGAAUAUAUGGAGUGCAAGUUCAGUGCAAAUGGAGGCCAAAAUGAGUUAGGGGUGAGGAUCGGAGAUCAGGAAAUACCAAAGAGUGACCGUUUUCGCUACUUAGGAUCUAUCUUGCAAAAGAACGGAGAAUUAGAUGGAGAUCUCAACCAUAGAAUACAAGCUGGAUGGAUGAAGUGGAAUAGUGCAUCCGGCGUGUUGUGUGACCGUCGUAGGCCACUGAAGCUCAAGGGAAAAUUUUAUAGGACGGCAAUAAGGCCGACGAUGCUGUAUGGCACAUAAUGUUGGGCAGUGAAGCAUCAUCACGUACACAAAAUGGGUGUAGCGGAGAUAAGGAUGCUUCGUUGGAUGUGUGGGCACAAGAGAAAGGAUAAGAUUAGGAAUGAGGAUAUUCGAGGUAAAGUAAGAGUAGUCGAAAUUGAAGGAAAGAUGAGAGAAAAUCGGUUACGGUGGUUUGGACAUGUGCAAAGAAGGCCUACUGACGCUCCGGUUCGAAGAUGUGACUACGGGACAGAGGUUCAGGGCCGAAGGGGUAGAGGAAGACCUAGGAAAACUUUGGAAGAGACCCUAAGAAAAGAUUUAGAGUACUUUGAUCUAACGGAGGACAUGACACAAAACCGAGCGCAAUGGCGUUCUAGGAUUCAUAUAGCCGACCCCACUUAGUGGGAAAAGGCUUUGUUGUUGUUGUUGUUGGAUAAUAUAUGAUUGUUAUAUAUUAUAAGUUCCCAGAGAAUUCAUUAGAGGAAUGUUUCCAAUAAAAAUUUGUUUGUUCUUGCAUAUCCCUACUGUUUUUCCAAGUGAAUCCCUCACUAAGAUUUCAAAUAGCUAUCCCGAAUUCAAGUUGAUUAUGUUUCUCCUCUUCCUUGGAGAAAAGGAUCAAACAAUUCCCAAUCAUGGUUCUUAACUUUCACUUCACCUUCUGGAGAUCAAUUUGAUAACCUUGCUGAUGAGUGAUUAUUUCAUGGAUCUGUAACACCAACCGAUAUACGAGGUGUGGAAAUACAAGUGGAAAAAAAGGAUAUACUUUUAGUGUCUCCUCCAAUUUUAUUAUGACACUUGGUGCACCAGCUUAUGUUCUGGAUACAAUAAAAAAUUUCUCCCUGUUGAGCUCUUACCUGACAAUUGUAAUAUCAACCAAGUUUGUAUUUCUAUCAAUUAGGUCUGCACUCCAUUAACUUUUUACACUUUCAUAUUGUUAAUAAGAGCAAUGCUUGGGUCAUCAGUCCCCCACGCUAGAGAUGGGAGUCUCCCACUCACACGUUGGCGGGUGGUCCUUGAAAAAUCCUUCUUCGUAAUUGUCCUCUGUGCAUCACCAAAUUGAAUUGAUCCACAUGUUUAGCUUGUUCAACUACAAGAGAGGGGAUUUUGUUGGUGUUGAGUUCUCAUGUAAUGCAUAUAUUGGAAAAAUUGGGUCUAAUUGCUAUAAUAAAUCACAUAGAAAAUCAAGAAAUAAUUCAUGAAAUUAUAUAUCACAAUCAUGCAUGCACACGAGUAACCAAUGUUAAAUGAACAUGAUAUAAUGGAUUAGAAAAAUCUAGAAAAUAUGGUCGAGGCAAGUGUUUGACACUUUGUCCUUAAGACAAGUUUAUGCCUCACUAUGGUGCUCAUGGUUUAUCAGUGCAUGUUUCCCAGGAUACAACGACCACGUCCUUGUAAAAGUAGCACUCCAAAUUACAAGGCUCCAUGAACCCCGAUUAUGUUGAAAACUCUCUCAUAUGAACUCAAUGAGACUCUCUAAUAUUUAAUGCACUAUAUAUAUGUAUGAUGAAAAGUUAUUUAGUGAUUAUAGGGGCUUCCCUAUUUAUAGAAUGUGAGAUACCUCUUUGGAAAGCAUGUGACUAUUCAUGAAGAGUCAAAAGUUGCAACACUUCAUUUAAGUAGACAUAUCUUUCUACCUAAAGGCUCCACUUCUAAUUUCCAUUCAAUUCAUAAAUUUAAUAUAAUAAUAUUAUUAUUAAAUUUUCCAACAAUCCCCCAGAUGAAUGGAAAUUGACUCAAUACCAUGCAAAUGACAAUGCAGACACUAGAGAGAAUUCAGUAGGAAAAGUACUGUGUCAGGAUAUGUGGCUUUUGGAUUUGAACCUUCUGCAGUGAAUUACUACGGAUUUACUUGGCUAAUAAGUGAACGCGAUGUCUUGAAUUGCUCAACCGUUUGUGUAAACCAAGACAAUAGUAAUCACACAAUUCCCUUCCAGACACCCCGUGGUUGCUCGGUUGUGUUCAUUUUGGCCCUGAACAAUUCUUGGUUCCUUAUGAGUGCUUUUAGAGAACUAAGCCUUUAAAAAAUUCUCACAGAAACGGCCCCAUUCCUCACUCAAGAUAGGUGACUUUCCAUUAAGAGUAUCCUGCAAUACCCCACUUGUUAUUUCCAAGUAUAAGAAUCAUUAAAAGCAAAGCGUAUCCUAAAUACGUUGUAGAUAACACUGUUGGAAAAAGAUAGCAUUGGUGAUACAAGGCGACACCAAGCCAUUCACCGAAUCCAAAUCACACUUCGUGGACACCAAGUUCUAUAAAGAUACGAUGCCUGAAGCUUGUCCAAAAAAGAUCAAGUCCACAGGCAAAGCCAUACUUAAAAAUAAGGAGUGGCAAGCCGUGCCCAAAGAGAAGAAAAAGGAAGCCAUGCCAUCUUCAAGAAAAAAUGACGAUGAGCCUACUAAGCCUACAACAUCUAAAGGGAAUAUGACGCCCUUAAAAGGAUCAAACACACCUGUCUUCCGAUACAGCUUGAUGUCAAGAAGAAAGAGUGGGCAAUCCCCAUUCGAAACAAGCAAAGCCAACACAUAACUGCACAAGGACGGCAUAAAGCUGCUCAAGGCAAAUGUGGUUUUACCUCUGACACAGCUAGGCGAUUAUAAAAUCUCAAAGCCACCGUAAGGCUUCGUACAACCCCUGCCAAAAGGGAUGGAACCAAGCUUUCUUCCAACCAAGAGGACCGAAGAAGGCUUCGACCCAAACGCCUACAAACUCAUGUCAAAAGUUGGGUACAAUUUCACUUCCUCUUCAAAUCUUGGAAAGAAGAAUGCAAACAUUGUCAACGACAAAGAACGUGAACUCACCGAGACUCAAAAGAGAUUGAAAGAGCAUGGUUACAGAGUUGACAACAACAAAGCUGGACUUGGCUUCACACUAAAUACACACAUGAAGAUUUCAAGAAAAGCGAAAAACGCUAGCGCUCAACACAUCAGCUUAAGCAUUGAACAAAAUCAAGAGGAGCUUAAACCUGCCCCUCGAACAUCAGUCUUCGAUAGGUUGAAUCGUUCAAAACCUAGAAUUUCGGCACUUGAUCACAUUGGAGGUCAAGAAUGAACUUCCGCCUUCAAAUGGCUUAACAUGCCAACACCCUAAAGCUUUGUCUUCGAAAGGUUGUCAAAACCUAAGAAACAACGCAACAAGGCUGUCUCUCAUCUGCGACGGUCUGCCUUGGAAAGACUUGUAGAUAUGAAGAAGAUUUCUGGGAAGAGGCAGAAAAUGCCAAAGGAAGAAAAUCUCGACGGUCUAGCAGAAAGAUAAGACAUUCGCAGCUCGAUUCCUUCAAGGAUGAAGCGCCAAACAACCUUAGAAGUGGACACAAAAGGACAACUAAAGGUAAAGAAGCGCAUCAUCAUCCACACUGGUCAAUCUUCACGCUAACAAGCCCAAGUGGACGACACUGAAGAGGAGAUCCAAGAUGUUUUCCACAUCACGAUCCAAGAAGACAAGGAAGACGAAGUUCCUAAGAAGGAUGUCAUUGUUGUGCCAUCAUAACUCGAAGACAGGGGGUAAGCCACGGUUGAUGAUCUCAAGAAGCUCAACCUAGGCAUAAGCGAUGAGUUAAAACCUAUCUUCAUAAGUGCACUACUAAGCGCAGAUGAGAUCGAGGAGUACUACCAACUGCUCUUGGAAUACAAAGAAGUCUUUGCUUGGAACUACAAGGCAAUGCCUAGCCUUAACCCUACCAUUGUUGUGCAUCGUCUGACAAUCAAGCUUGGAAUGCGAUCGAUAAAUCAAACUCAAAGACAUUAUCAAUCUGAGCUCAUCCCAUAAAUUGAGGUCGAGAUUGACAAGUUGAUCGAAGCAGGCUUCAUUCGAGAGGUGCAAUAUCAUAAAUGGAUCUCCAACAUCAUCAUUGGCCUUAAGAAAUUUGGACAAAUACGUGUUUGCAUAGAUUUCUGCGAACUCAACGAUGUUUUCCCAAAGGACAACUUUCCUUUGCCAAUCAUCGAAAUUAUGGUGGACACAACCACUAGCCACAAGACCCUAUCAUUCAUGGACGGCUACUCUAGGUACAAUCAAAUUUGCAUGGCUUUCGAAGACGAGCAAUUAACGGCCUUCUGCACUCUGAAAGGUAUCUACUGCUACAAGGUAAUGCCCUUUGGUCUGAAGAAUGCUGGAGCUACGUAAAAAUACACCAUGCAGAAGAUCUUCAACGGCAGGCUACACAAAAACAUAGAGAGUUACAUAGACAAUGUAGUUGUCAUGACCAAGAAAAAAUCCGAUGACUUGAAGGAUUUACAAAUGGUAUUCGACAAACUACGACACUACAACCUCAAAUGAAACCGUUGAAGUGUGCAUUUGGUGUCACCUCUGGGAAGUUCCUCGGCUUCAUUGUCAAGCACCAUGGCAUUAAAGUACACCAAUCAAAGAUUAAGGCCAUUCAAAGCAUGCCUGAGCCAAGGAAUUUACAUGAGCUAAAAAGUUUAGAAGGAUGGCUCGCCUUCAUCAGAUGCUUCAUCUUUAACCUCGUUGGAUGUUGUUAACCCUUCAGUCGACUCAUGAAGAAGGACAUUCCAUUUGUACGGGAUGAUGCCUGCCACAAUGCCUUCGAAAGCAUAAAAAGGUACCUAGCAAGCCCACAUGUCUUAAGAGCUCCCAUGCCUGGAAAGCCGUUUAUCUUGUACAUUCUUGCACAAGAAGGUUCCAUUGUAGCACUCUUAGUGCAAGAAAAUGAAGACCAAAAGGAAAGAGCACUCUACUACCUAAGUAGAACCCUCACUAGGGUCAAGCUCAACUACACCCUAAUCGAGAAGAUGUGCCUUGCCUUAGUCUUUAUUGUCCAAAAGCUCAGACACAACAUGUAUGCUUACACCAUCCACUUGGUUGCCAAAGCUAACCCAGUCAAAUACGUCAUGUCCAAGCCAGUUUUGACGAGGCGACUAGCAAAAUAGGCAUUGCUUCUCAAUCAAUACGAGAUCAUCUAUGUUCCAACUAAAGCCAUCAAGGAACAAGUGCUAGCAAACUUCCUUGCCGAUCAUCCAAUCUCAGCCGAUUGGAAAAUCUCAGAUGACUUGCCUGACGAGGAGGUGUUCUACAUCGACAUCUUCCCGACAUGGACAAUGUUCUUUGACGGAUCCACACGAGCAAACGGAGGAUGGGUAGCAGUAGUAUUCAUGUCACCACAAAGACAAAUACUACCCUAUUCCUUCCGACUAAGCGAGCUAUGCUUCAACAACGUCGCUGAAUACCAAGCACUAAUUAUCGGACUCCAAAUGGCAGUCAACAUGGAAAUCACAACGCUAGAAGUGUAUAUCAACUCCAAGCUCAUAAUCAAUCAACUCAUGAUUGAAUAUGAAGUGAGGAAAUAUGAUCUCGUCCCAUACUUCUGGCUAGUAACUUGAUGUGAAAAUUAACUCGACACACAAAUUAAACCCAAUUGAUGAAAAUUGUAGUAAAGAUGUAAGUAGGGAUCAUUCUAGACUGGGGAUUAACUAGGGAUGUUAAUCAACACAAAUAAGACUAAAAAACACUAAACUAGACUCUAUAGACCCAAAACUGACUCAAAACACUCAAAACAACAACAAACAAUAAAACAGACUCAAUUCUAGACCUAACAAGUGAUUUGGACGAAAAUAAAACUUAACUUGACUCAAAAGAUUAAAAGAAAACAAAUUAUGACUCAACUAACUGAAAACACACUAAAAAGACUCUAAACAGCACAAUACUAGCAAAUAGACUCAAAAUAGACUCUAAGGAGUUAUUUGGACGAAUUUAAGACUAGUAAGACUCAAAACACUAAAUUGGACAUAUUUAAACACUUUUCUAACUAAUCUAAGACACUUAAUUAAAAUGGGGAUUGUUUUUGAUGAAUUUAAAACUUAAAACAGAAACUUUGCAUAAAACACUUUAUAAAAACAAAUUUGGUGAAUUGAAAAGGGUAAAAGGCUAGUUAGAGGGCCAUUCUCCACACAUGACAUAUGCAAACAAACCAAUUUCCAGUUAUUAUUCCUUUAGACUAUGAAUGACAGCACCCCAAGUUAACCGUGACAGCAUAAAUUAACCAUCAGAUUUUCCUUAUUUCAUUGAAUUGGACGGGUUAAGCAUCACAACCAAAUUAUCCUUCUCAAGUCCCUUAACUAUGAAAAGCAUGAUAGAAAACAUAUUAAAGGUCAUUAAGUUCUUUGAAAAUCAUAAGUGUUGACGAGGCAUUCGUAACUAUGAAAAGCAUGAUACUCCUGCCAAAGAUUUACUUAACACAAUCGUGACUAGCAACCUUCACUACUUGUGAAUAUAAGUUCAUAACGAUUAGGUGAAACUCCCUUAUACUCUAGCAUCAAAUUCAUGCAUGCAAACUAAGUGUCGACCCUCAAUUAACACACAUAAACAAGUUUUGAUAACUCAGAUAAGGCAACCACAUUCAAGACUCAAGAAACAAUAGCUGGAUGUAAUCAAUUCAUAUAAAGCAUAUAAUCAUGGCUUCGAAUUCACCUCCAACUAUAAAGAAAUUAGUUCCAUAUGUCUUUAAAAACUGAAGAUAACAUUAAAUUAAACAUUGAAAAUAAAAGAUAGAAAACACCUAAGAACGCUCCAGCAAUCCAAUGUGAAUGACAAGGCACGGCAAAGGGCUCAUUCUCUUUUCUCUUUGCAAAGCUGCGGCACAAUAAGGUGUGUGUGGUGAAUGGUGUAGAAAAAUAUGGUAGAGGGUGGUGUUUUGAUAUAUGGCAGAGAGGAUGUAUUUAUAGUGCAAAAACCCAUGGCACAAGGUAGCACAGGAAUGGGAUUGUGUAACCAAAACCCAAGUGGAAUGGAUUAAAUCAAUCAGAAACCAAAGCUAACAAGGAUAAGGGAUACACGGCUUCUAGAAAGAACACUAAAGGAAUUAGGCGCCAGGUUUUAAGGACAAGGAGUAGGGCAUUCUAGAAAACUUAAGAAAAAGGUCUUCUAGAAAUAAUAGGUGCGGCACUAAAGUAGGAUAGGGAUAAGGCUUCUAGAAACCAAUUUUGAUGCGUUUUAAUUGUAUAAUUAUCCCUUAGAAAUAGCUGGAAUUAAGGCACAAACUGAUUUAGAUAAGAUAAGAUAGGAUAAGACCAAAUUAGGGGAGGAUAAGAUAAGAUAAGGUUAGUUUGGAUAAGAUAAGUUUGGAUAAGGUUUUGGAUAAUAUCUCAUUCUUUUGAGCUGAUUCCUUAUCUUCUUUGUCUUGGAUUUAUUUUCUUCAUCUUUUGAGCACAUUCCUAGCCUCUUGAACUUCAAAUUUGUCUAUCCAUCUUGCUCCAUUCAUAAGCUAUCCAAUUGGUGCCCAAAACUGCUUCAAAAUGCUCCAAAUUGCACUUUCUUGCCAACUUUGUCAUAUGGACCUACAAACACACAAAAAUAGCUUAAAACACUAUAAUAAGUAGAAACUAGCUAUGAAAAUGCAAGAAAACAAGCUAACUAGGUCGCAUAAAUAUGCUCCUAUCAUAAUUCAACUUCUCCGAAAGUUCAAAGCUGUGACGCUAGAACAUGUGCCAAGAAAAGAAAUCAAAUGGCAGACACUCUCGCUAACUUAGCCUCAAGUAUGGUGCUAGGAGAAAACGAAGUUGCAGAUGUGCCAGUUUGCCAAAUAUGGGUGAUCUCGCCAGUCACUGAAAUGCUACUAGAUGAUACAAACAUCGUUUCAGUAAUUCCAGUCGACAUUGAAAAGUGGAGACAGCCGUUGAUCGACUACUUGGAGCAUGCAAAGCUUUCGAAUGAUCCUAGACACCUCUCUAAAAUACAUCGAUGAGCACCUCGCUUCCUCUACUACAAAAGAACACUCUACCAAUGCUCUUUUGAAUGAGUACUUCGAAGAUGCUUAGGUUAGGAAGAAGUUCAUCAAGCCAUGGAAGAAGCACACUCAGGCUUGAUAUGGUAGAAACUAACACAAACAUUAAACCCUAUAAAUUAUGCAAUCGUAGUACGAGUAAGUAGGGAUCAUUCUAUUCCGGGGAUUAGAAAGGAUGCUAAUCAACACAAAUUAAACUUAUAAAAUUGAAAACUAAACUAAACUAACAUUAAAACAAUGAGAGGGGAGAUUUUGGACGAAUUUAAUGAAAACAAAAGUAAAGGGUAGCAAGUAAAUUAAGUUGUGAAUGAAAUAUGGAUGAAAGGAUAGCUAAAGGAUUCUUCUCCACACAUGAAACACAUGCAUACAAAUUGAUUUCCAGCUAUUCUUCCUAUAAACCAUGAAUGACAAUGCCCUAAAUUAACUAUGAACAACACUAAUUAACUCUCAAAUUUGCCUAAGUUCAUUGAAUUAGACUCAGCGACGCAACCAAAUUAUUCUUCUCAAGUUUCGUAACUAUGAAAAGCAUGAUAGAGAUACAUCUCAAAGAUCAUUAAGUUAUGUGAAAAUCAUAAGCAUUGACAAAGCAUUCGUAACUAAGAAAAGCAUGAUACUCCUGCCAAUAAUUUACUUAACUCAAUCAUGACUAGUGACUUUUACUACUUGCAAAUAUAAGUUCAUAACGAUUAGGUGAAAUUCCCUUAUAUUCUAGCAUAAAAUCCCUGCAUGCAAACUAAGUGUGCACCCUUAAUAAACAUACAAGAAUAAGUUUUCUAUAAAGCAGAUUAGUAAAUCGAAUUCAUGUUUUAUGAAACAAUAACUGGAUGUAAUCAAUUUAUAUAAAACAUAUGAUCAUGGCUUCGAAUUCACCUCUAGCUAAAAAGAAACUUAGUUACACAUAGUCAUCAUAACUGAAAAACAAUCUAAAAUAAACAUUGAAACUUAAAACAAAGAUAGAAAGAACUCUAAAAAUUCCAACAACUUAAAUGGAUGAAGGGUAGGCAUGGCACCCUAAAUCUCUACAGGAAUUUCAUAUAUAUAGGGGGAAUGGCUGAAUCCAAGGAGGAAAGGGUUUUGGCGUUUUUGAGUUAUUUUAGGACUCUAAAAAUCAGGUAGAAAGUGUUGGAAUGUGAUUAGGAUUCCUUCUUGCAGCUGAAGAUAAGAUAAGAUAAGAUAAGAUAAGAUAAGAUAAUGUUGGAUAAGAUAGGAUAAGAUAAGAUAAGAUAUGAUAAGAUAAGAUAAGAUAAGAUAAGAUAGGAUAGGAUAAGAUAAUGUUCCUCUCCAAUUAGGAUUCCUCUUUCUUAUGUAAUUCCUUGCCUUCCAAGCCUCAACUUUAAUUUCUCCAGAUUUUAGCACAUGUCUAACACCUUUUAAACACCAAAAACGUCCAGCUCAUAUGCUAUCCACCCUUGCUAUCCAAUCCAAGUCCAAAACUGCUCCAAAUUGCUCUAUUUUGCUAUUUAUUGUCAUCUUUACCAACUGGACCUACAAUAAUACGAAAAUAACUUAACUUACCAAAAUAAAUGGAAAUUAACUAAGUAAAUGUAAAGAAAUAAGAUAACAAAGUCGCAUAAAUAUGCUCCUAUCAAAUUCCCCCACACUUAGCUUUUGCUAGUCCCCAAGCAAAAAAAAAGAAAACAAAACAAAACCUAAACCUUCCAACAAUUGCCUCAGAGAUUUCCAAUGAAACAUGACAUGUUAAAAAUCACUACUCACAUAGAUUUUAGCCAUCCUUACUCUUGAGCUUCUACUUAACCGCAGUAACCACUCACUAGCUCGCAUUCACUCAAUUCCUCACCCGAUAUAUUCUCUAUUUUCACAUAGAUUUUUUGGCUACGCUCCCUAUACUAAGUAUAUGUGAGAAGAUUGAUGUAAACAUGUGGACUAGCACUCACAUAUGUUAUAACAAAGAAGGCACUUUCUGAAUUUUAUUAAUACAAACAUGUAUAUGAUCUCAUGAACAGAAUGCCACUACUUAGAAGCGAGAACCAGGGAUUCCAUAUGCUAAGUAUACGUGAGAAGAUUGAUGUAAACAUGUAGACUAGCAAUCACAUAUGUUAUAACAAAGAAGGCACUUUCUGAAUUUUAUUAAUACAAACAUGUAUAUGAUCUCAUGAACAGAAUGCCACUACUUAGAAGCGAGAACCAGGGAUUCCAUAUGCCCGUACCAAUUUCAAACUCCACAUAUUGAAUCACAUAACAAUCAAGAUAAAAGUCUAAGGGUUAUAAUGGGGCUAAGGUUUUGGUUAACAAAGAAAGGUUAAGGAUAAACAAAGGUUCUUAAAGUAAUAGUAAGCAAAGUAAUGAAAUCAACACUUAGAAUUCAACUUUUGAUUGCAGCACCCAACUAUAAACACAAAAGGGAGAUUCGUACAACUUUAAGGUCAGAUUCACAUUUUUGGACCCUUCUUCAACAACCAACACUUAUGAACUCAUUCUCACUUCUUUUUAACCUCUUUUUUUUAUUCUUUUUCUUUUCUCCUUUUUUCAACGUUUUUCUUCUUCUUUUUUUCUUUUUCUUUUUCUUUUUUUAUUUGGAAACAUAAAAGAUAAGCACUACUUCACCGGAUUAAAAAGAACAAAUUCUUCCCCCACACUUGUUUUUCUGCUAAUCAUUGAUCAAAAGGAAUUCCCAACAAGUCAUGCUCCACUAUUCUUUAAGAACUAGGGUAUGGAUAUUCCUAUACCAGGCUAGGUAGGGAUAAUGCAGGCUAACAAAGAAAAUAGGCUAAAUAAGGCUCAAAGGGGUUAAACCUACAAUACAUGUGCAAGGGAUAAGGCUUUUUGGCUAUGGUGGUAACUAAACAACUUCAUCUUGUUAUUUGUUAUGCAAUCAAUUUUAUGCCUUGAAUGAAACAAGCAUGAGUGCUAGUAUUUGGAACUAAAAUGAUGAAAAAGCAUUCUAAGUAGAAUCAAGCAAAGAAAUAAUGAGAUCAUGCAACAACUUUAGAAAACAAGAAUAUCAUAGAUUAUUAACUCUCCAAACAAGGAAUAGGCUCAAGUCUUACAGGGUUGUAGUGUUAGUUUGAGUUUCUUCCUUCAAGCAUGUUACAAAAACUGAUUUUUUUUUCUUUGUGAUUACAUGUGAAUUCGUAAAUGGCAACAACAACUAAGUAUUAACCAAAGAGCAUAUCAAACUUCCACCCAUGUUUGUAACCUUCUUUAACAGUCAUGCAAUUAAAAACCAAAUCCUCAUCAUUGUGUUGGAAGGUACCCUAAGAUACAAACAAGCAACAAAAACGACUCUUUUUGGUUAUUUCUCAAGCUUUUUUUAUUUUAUUUUUUUUCAAAUUUUGUAUAUGACACACAAUAAAACACUUUAAAAUAGUGAAUAACAACAUUAGUAGUGAUAGGUGGUGAAAUUCGAAGAUAAGUCAUGAAAAGCAUUCUGUUUACCCCACCCCACCCACACUUAAACCAAACAUUGUCCUCAAUGUUUCAAAAAUAAACUUAAACAAGAAAGCAAUAAAAGACAACUAGCAAGCAAGACAAUCAUGGCAAAGUAAAAACAAUAAAGAGAAGGGUAAAAGAAAGCAAAUCUGGUUGUAUGAGCUGGAAAUUCCAAUGUCUCUUUGUUUGAAUACAUGGGUUGCCUCCCAAGAAGCGCUUGCUUUAACGUCUUCCAGUUGAAUGAUACCUCCAUUUAAUCCUCACUAGGACCAGCGGAAUGGAGAUGAUCUUUGAAUGGAAGGUGAUACUUGAAAUGAUCCGGUAAUGGUUUAAAUUCUACAGUGGGUGCCUGAAUAAUUGAUAUCAACAACAUGUUAGUAGAAAACGAAAUUAAAAUUUGAGGGGGUGGCUUACCUAUGUGUUGCAAUAAGAACUCAUGGACAAACACUACUUCGAAAGUUUCAGGAAUGUUGCACUUGGCCAGAUUUGGUGCGAGGGCAGUGACUUGUCUCGUGUGAUCUACUCCAAUUCCCUUUUCAAUGGUGGUUCUAAAUACAUCAUUCUUGAUAGGUGCUGAACGUUCAUGCCCUAUAUUUUCAAUCAUAUUAAUGGAAAAACAAGAAUGAACAUCAUUAGGAUACUUAACAGAUUCAGAAACAUUAAAAUUAAUCAUAUUGUCAUCAAACUCCAUAGUUAACACUUCCUUGGACACAUCAAUCUUGGUUUGGGCUGUUUUCAUGAAAGGUCUUCCAAGUAAGAUUGGCAAUGAUGUAGAGUGGGCUGAAUCUUCUAUCUUAAGCACAUAAAAAUCUGCUGGAAAAAUCAAAUGGUCUACCUACACCAAAACAUCUUCCAAAACUCCUUUCGAUAUGCAUUAGAUUAGAUCAGCCAAUUGAAUAAUGACACCAUCAUUUUUAAGCUCUCCUAGAUUCAUAGAUGCAUAAACAGAAUGUGGCAUGACAUUAAUGGAAGCACCUGAAUCUAGCAUAGCAUGUUCAAACCUUGUAUUACCAAUAACACAAGAGAUAGUGAAACUACUUGGAUCUUUGCAUUUAGGUGACAGCUUUCUUUGGAAAACUGCAGAGACAUUUUCACUUACAUGUACCACCUCCUUCUUCAGAAUCCGUUUCUUUGUUGAACAACGCUUCUUAAAAAACUUAGCAUACUUCAGAACUUGCUUUAUUGCAUCAAGAAGUAGGAUAUUAACUUGUACUUUUCUGAAGGCUUCCAAGAUGUCUUUUUCACUCUCUUCUUUCUUGGAUUGCAUAAGCCUGCGAGGAAAAGGUACAUUUGGUGGAAUAAGAUUAGAAAGAAUUGAAUUUGAAACAACCUUACUAGAAUUGGGUGUUGUGGCAAGGCUUCUUCUAAGCUUGUCGUGGCUGAGUCUUCUUCUUCCUCUUUGGACAAUAGCUCUUUGUCUACUUCUAGGCUAUGUUUAGACAUCUCUGGUUCAGCUCCAACCUCCUUACCACUUCCCAAAGUGCUAUCUUCAGCGAUUUCAAAAUCUCCCUUUGAAUUGACAAUAGUUAAGCUGGAAAGUUCGCUUUGCUCGAAUUUGUCCCAUGCAUUCUGCAAUCUGUCCAAGUUGAUUUUUCAAUUCGACCAUCUCUUUAGCUUGGUUUUCUAGAUCCUAAGUCAAAGAAGCACAAGAAGUAUUUAGUACUUGAAGAAUUUGAACAUGAUCCAUGGACAUGCUUGAAUUUGGUUGGAAUUGUUGUGGGGGAAUUUGUUGUGGCUAGAUAGGUUUUGAAUAAAACUCUUGAGAUAUAUGCCAAUAUCCUUCUUGUUGAACUUGUUAAGGUUCCCUCCACAUAAAAUUUGAAUGAUCUCUCGUACCUGGAUUAUAAGUGUUGGAAAACAAGUCGUUCCUUGAUUGAUUAUGGCCUUGAUAACCCCAAGCAUUGACACUUUCCCAACCUCCAUUCUCAAUUAAUUGAGGUUGUUGAUUAGUUUGAUAUCCUUGCCUAUAGGACCCACCAAAUGUAGGGACACUUUGCAUUGUGGACCUUUCGAUAUAUUGAGACAUAAGAGAAGUAAGAUUCACCAUUUGAGCUUCAAGAUUAGCAAUUGCCAUGUCUUGCUUCUCUAGUACCUGAAAUCAAAUAAAUAAAAUUAAAUCAAAUAUCAACAGUAAAAUAAACAAAAAAAUAAAAAUAAAAACAGAGUGAUUAGCAAUUUUUCUAAUCCCCGACAACAGUGCCAAAAUUUGAUAUGGUCGAAACUAACACACAAAUUAAACCCUAUAAAUUAUGCAAUUGUAGUAUAAGUAAGUAGGGAUCAUUCUAUUUCGGGGAUUAGAAGGGAUGCUAAUCAACACAAAUUAAACUUAUAAAACUGAAAACUAAACUAAACUAACAUUAAAACAAUGAGGGGGGGGGAGAUUUUGAACGAAUUUAAUGAAAACAAAAGUAAAGGGUAGCAAGUAAAUUAAGUUGUGAAUGAAAUAUGGAUGAAAGGAUAGCUAAAGGAUUCUUCUCCACACAUGAAACACAUGCAUACAAAUCGAUUUCCAGUUAUUCUCCUAUAAACCAUGAAUGACAAUGCCCCAAAUUAACUAUGAACAACACUAAUUAACUCUCAAAUUUUCCUCACUUCAUUGAAUUAGACUCAGCGACGCAACCAAAUUAUUCUUCUCAAGUUUCCUAACUAAGAAAAGCAUGAUAGAGAUACAUCUCAAAGAUCAUUAAGUUCUGUGAAAAUCAUAAGUAUUAACAAAGCAUUCGUAACUAUGAAAAACAUGAUACUCCUGCCAAGAAUUCACUUAACUCAAUCAUGACUAGUGACUUUUACUACUUGCAAAUAUAAGUUCAUAAUGAUUAGGUGAAAUUCCCUUAUAUUCUAGCAUAAAAUCCCUGCAUGCAAACUAAGUGUGCACCCUUAAUAAACAUACAAGAAUAAGUUUUCUAUAAAGCAGAUAAGUAAAUCGAAUUCAUGUUUUAUGAAACAAUACCUGGAUGUAAUCAAUUUAUAUAAAACAUAUGAUCAUGGCUUCGAAUUCACCUCUAGCUAAAAAGAAACUUAGUUACACAUAUUCAUCAUAAUUGAAAAACAAUCUAAAAUAAACAUUGAAACUUAAAACAAAGAUAAAAAGAACUCUGAAAAUUCCAACAACUUAAAUGGAUGAAGGGUAGGCAUGGCACCCUAAAUCUCUACAGGAAUUUCAUAUAUAUAGGGGGAAUGGCUGAAUCCAAGGAGGAAAGGGUUUUGGCAUUUUUGAGUUAUUUUAGGACUCUAAAAAUCAGGUAGAAAGUGUUGGAAUGUGAUUAGGAUUCCUCCUUGCAGUUGGAGAUAAGAUAAGAGAAUGUUGGAUAAGAUAGGACAAGAUAAGAUAAGAUAAGAUAAGAUAGGAUAGGAUAAGAUAACGUUCCUCUCCAAUUAGGAUUCCUCUUUCUUUUGUAAUUCCUUGCCUUCCAAGCCUCAACUUUAAUUUCUCCAGAUUUUAGCACAUGUCUAACACCUUUUAAACACCAAAAACGUCCAGUCCAUAUGCUAUCCACCUUUGCUAUCCAAUCCAAGUCAAAACUGCUCCAAAUUGUUCCAUUUUGCUAUUUAUUGUCAUCUUUACCAACUGGACCUACAAUAAUACGAAAAUAACUUAAAUUACCAAAAUAAAUGGAAAUUAACUAAGUAAAUGCAAAGAAAUAAGAUAACAAAGUCGCAUAAAUAUGCUCCUAUCAGCUUAUGCGGAGCACAUCAAUCUGGACCAAAGCUGCAGUUCCAGCUCAAAAGGAUUGGCUACUACUGGCCAAUCAUGGUGAAGGAUUGCCUGGAACACGCCAAAAGGUGCCAAGCUUGCCAAUUCCACACCAACUUCAUACAUCAACCACCUGAGCCAUUACACCCUAUGAUUGCUUCAUGGCCAUUCGAUGCGUGAGGAUUAGAUGUCGUAGGACCAAUCACACCAAAGUUGUUUGCCGGAGAAGCCUACAUCCUAGCUGCAAUAGACUACUUUUCCAAGUGGGCUGAAGCCGUACCCCUAAGGGAAGUCAAGAAGGAAACUGUCAUCCGUUUCAUCAAAAAUAGUUCUCCAAUCAACUCGUGGAUAAGCUCUACGAGAAAUACAAGUUCAAGCAACACCAGUCUUCCAUGUAUCAUGCUCCUGCCAAUGGUCUUGCAGAAGCAUUCAGCAAAAUGUUGUGCAACCUCCUGAAAAAGGUAAUCAGCCGAACAAAGAGAGACUGCCAUGAAAGAAUAAGCGAAGCACUUUGGGCAUAUAGGACAAUACAUAGGACUCCUACCCAAGCUACACUUUAUUCUCUCGUAUAUGGUGUGGAAGCUAUUCUACCACUCGAAAGUCAAAUCCCCUCACUAAGGAUGGCUAUACAAGAAGGCUUGACUGAAGUGAAAAACGCAAAGCUACGACUUCAAGAGUUAGAAGAACUCGAUGAAAAGAGGCCCAAAGCUCAACAACACCUGGAAUGCUACCAAACAUGGCUAUCCAAGGCAUUCAACAAGAAGGUCCACUCAAGGUCUUUCCAAAUUGGAGAUCUUGUAUUGGCAUUACGAAGGCUCAUCAUCACAACUCACAAAACAAAAGGCAAGUUCACAUCAAAGUGGGAUGGACCUUAUGUAAUACAUAAGGUCUACACCAACGGUGCCUACCUAAUCAUGGAAAAAGACAGCUUGAAGAUCGACCAUAUCAACUGCAGAUUCAUGAAGUGCUACUACCCUUGAGUGGCACAAUGUACCUCAGCUGCACGAGCCUAAACUGUAAAUGACACAACACUCAUCGCCUGCAUUAGUCUAAACUGCAAACGGCACCAAAUGACACACAACGCUCCUUGUUCGUACGAGCUUAAAAGGCGACGCCCAACGCUUAUAGCCCGCAAGAGCAUAAACUGUGUACAGCAAAACAAAACAAAAACAAAAAACAAAAAACAAAAUCGCCAACAUCCAUCAUUCAUUUGAAUUACGUCAUGGCUUAAUCCUUCCUCAACCAAGGGUAUGUAGGCAACUUUAAACUUCAAAACUUCAAGUACAGUCACAUCACUAACAAAACACAAACACUUUGAAGAAUAAAGAGCAAAUUCAAAUAUGAAUACUUUAUUUCUUUAAAGGAAAAAAAUUUGGCUACAAAACCUUAUUACAAAAAUGAGCAAAGGCAAAGAAGGCUUAAAACACAAAAACAGAAGACACUACUUGAAAGCUAUGUCCCUAAAACUACGGCGACGAUCUUCAAGCAAGCCUUCCAAAGUCUUCAAAGUGUCUACGUCGGUAGGAGACAAGGUGGGCACUUCCAUGGCCGCACACUUCUUUUGCUCUAGGCGUAAAAUCUCAUCUUGAUGCUGGGGAAAUGUAAGCUUCUUGCUCCAAGAGAACACCUUGAAGUCGUUAUGCUUCAAUUUCCAAUUGCUUGGACAAUGUAGCUUCUAGCCGUGCUUGGACAUAAGCUAAAGAAGUCCCUGUGACUUGAUAAUCUUCCGAAGUAGCUUGCUUAGAAGACCAAACUUGGGCAAUUAAUAAGUAUAUUGUCGCAAGUUGUUGAGCUCUAAUCUUUGAACUCAAUUUCUUCAAGGAAAUAGCAUGCAAGGAAGAAUACUCAGUUGAGGUAGCCAUCAGUAUGACAAUCUUGGCUCUCAAGAGUGAGGAAUCGACUUUAAGAUGGUCAAUUGCAGAAAUAAGCUUCAAUAAGUCAUCCUCGAGAGCAAGGUCCUUCAACGGGCACUUGAAAAUCCUCUUCUCAAUAUGGCUUUUAAGAUCCAUAGUCGUGCGAAGCUUAAUGCGAUGGAUAAACUGCUCUGUGCCACUAAGGCUCGGCCCUUUCAAAAAGAUCUCAGAGUAUGCUUGGUCCCCUCAAAGAGAUCUCAAAGUUAGCCGGCAAAGGUGUUAGACGCAUAACAGGCUCUUGCACACCUGCACCUACACAAGGCAAGCUUGGGCAACUUGGAGGAUUUGGAAUAAGCUCUGCACUAGGCAGAUCCCCAAUCUCCUCGACCGUAGGAAGAUCGCCUCCAAAUAACAUUUCCAUAUAGGAAUGAACACCCAUGUUCGUCGAGUCAAACUAAAGAGGCUCAAACACCUUAUUCUUCUUGUGACAGGAAUUUACAUUGCUAUCAUCCAAAGCAUUGCUUGUUCAAAAUCUGUUGACGUUUCCAUAGAACAAGCUCAUCUUCGUGCGAAUCAACUUCGUCGCCCUCCUCUUCAGAAGAAUCAAGAUGUUGAGAAGACGAGCAUAAACGUUGAUGAGCUAAAGUCACAGGUCCAUCUUGCAAAGAUGCUGCACUCACAUAAUCAAGAGGUACCAGCUGCACAGGAACCGUAAAAUAACCCUCUUUUGGUGCAUCAUUGUGUGAAUGAGAAUAAUUGGUACCACUUGCCAUCCCCAAGCACCACGGUACACCUUUGACCACCAACUUAUGUAGGCACGGGUCACUGGAUUGCUUUUAAACUCAUCUUUAGCCGGCAAAGUAAUACAAUCAUUUGUGCAUGCACGGGUACAAGACAUUCAAUGCAUAUACAUGGCUUGCAAGGAUUCCGGCUGUGUAUUUCCCUUCAGCUUGCCUGGCACGUGCUAGACAAAACCAAAUUGCUUGCUGAAACGGUAAGGGUUAUAUGGUUAAAUGAUACAUCGGUCUCCUUGCCAUGAAGAAACAUACCUAGAGCAAAGACUUGUAAGAUAAGACAAGUCAAAGGAACAAAGGUGCAAGUCAUCUACAAGACUUCGUCGUGCCGAGCCAACUUUCGCUAGGUGGUUCAUCCUCAAGCUGUUACAACUUCUAAACAACACUUACGCUUGCGAAUCAUCAAGACUCUUUACGGCAAGCAUGCCAGAAUACCUCGUCAUCAAAGGCCCUAGCUUGUCUAAAACCGAUGAAGAAAAAUGAGUGUCAAAGUACUCACCUAACCAACCAUACACAUAAUGGUAGGGAAGUAUUGGAGCAUGAUCUUUGGUGCUCACCGAGUUUGAAACAACACUCAAGCUGUUGUAAAUAUUGGCUAAGACCGGAAUAACAAGACUAAAGGAUUCACCUGCAGCCAUCUUGCUAGCAACUUUGAAAACUUCAGGAUGAAUAAGGUUGACGUCGUCUUUAAGGAAAACAAACUUACAAAGCCAACAAGCUAAGAGAGCGGCUAUGUAAGAUUCUUCCAGCACUAUGCCAAGAUCCUCAAAUGCUCUCAACCCAGCAGGAAUACGGCACCCAGCUAGACCAAUAACACCUGACGGAUCCGAGUCUCCCUUCGGCUUGGUCGUCUUGUUGCGGCCACUUUUCUUCGAAAACCUUUUGUACUUCAUGGCAUCCCAAUACCAAAAUCGGAUCCAUGAAGAAAUCUUUAUGCUUGACUUAUCCUGAGCCUUCUGGAAAGCUUGUGAUACGCCCAAAACAAAUAGUGGCAACUCACAAGCAAUCUUUAGCUGUUGUGAUGAGAAAACUCUUCCACGCUAGGAACAACCUCGUCAUAAAAUUUCCCCUAGAUCGGCAAGCCUCCUAUCUUGUGGAGGUCCCAAAGUAAAAUCGAUAUCUCCCAUUGAGUUGUGUGAAAAGUGUUGGUUUCUGAACACCAGUGCUCGAAGAACGCACGAAGGACGGAAUGAUAGCUAUCGUAGCUAAACAAAGAUGCGUACACAACGUGAUAAAGGGUCGCGUUGGUAAGCACAUCUUUGGAUCUGCUCAAGACAUCUUCAAGCCACUCCCAGUAAAACUUAACAUAGAAAGCUUCCCCGGUAGUCAACAAGGCAUAACGCCAAGUCACAGCUCCGCUACGGAUGCGAUCACCAAGAAGCUCAAAUGAAGCUGGUGAAUUAUCACGAACAUGAUACGAAGGGUUCAAAACUAGAACCUUCAACAUACAUGCCUUCUUCUUCAUAGUUGAUUGACCAAAAUCCAUCACCUCCCAAGACUCUUCAGAAUACCAUGACUUGAUGUGCAUUGAGUUGUCUUUUACAGGAAUAACAAGUGCCUUAGGUCCAAUCAAUGGUGCACAAAGCUUUAACGUCAUUCCCUUAUCUCACAAAUCACCUUCCUUUGCGAGAAUGGUGAUGGUAUUGUUCUUGAAACACUUGAAAAAUAUCAUGGCUGUAACAAAACAAACAAGGCAACAUAAGCAAGAGUAGGGCACGGUAAGAAAAGAAAAGAAAAGAAAAAUUCUUUUUGCUUCGCCAAAACAAAAGACAUGCGAGACUAACCUUGUGAGAGUCAAAGGAUGAUGUUGAUGAAGUCGCAACGAUAAAAGAAAUCAGCCACAAAGCUUGAUCGAGCACAACAAAGUGAGCAGCUCCAAGUAGCGGUAAGGGGCAAGCCAACGUCACCAUCGAGGAAAGUUGUGACUAAAAGGCACUACACAGCGUAAAAAUGCUACAGUCUUUUGCACAACCCCACAUGGUAAAGUGACACACUGCAACAAGCUCCAAGCAGCAACUGCAGGGCAUAGCAGGGGCAGCAGUAGCAAGGGGCAAGCCAACGUCACCAUCGAGGAAAGUUGUGACCAACAGGAACUACACAUCGUAAAAAUGAUGUAGUCUUUUGCACAACCCCACACGGUAAAAGUGACGCACAUCAACAAGCUCUAAGCAGCAAUUGUAGGGCACGACAGCAGCAACAACGGUAAGAGGCACGUCUACGUCACCAUCGAGGAAAGUUGUGACCAAAAGGCACUACACAGCGUAAAAACACUGUAAUCUUUUACACUACCCCACAUAGUAAAAGUGACGCAUAGCAACAAGCUCCAAGCAUUAGCAACAGGCACGGUAAGCACAACAGCAAAGAAAACCCACAACUCCAAGUAGCUACAAAGUCCACGGCAAGAGGAGUUGUGUUGUGGAAAAAAAUAUACACCCAAUUGUCCUAUAUAUAGGGGUAAAUUGCUUCCUAAUGCUAUAAGGGAAAUACAUACCCAAAUAGCAAAAGGAAAAUCAAAACAAGAAAGCACAUUCCCACCAAAAGAAGGAAGCAAACUCCACGGAAAAAAAUGGCAAGUUUCAGCCAAUCUGCGCAGGUAGGAUGUUUUUGGUGAUAUAUGCCUGAAAAGAUAAGGCAUAAAGCUACAUUUUCCAUAUUUUUUCAGAAUUUUCCAAGAAAGAAAUCGAUCUCAAAUUGGGUGUGCAAGUCAGAGGACAUGUUUCCCAAAACAAAAAAAGGGAAAGCAAAAAAACCUCAUUGCCGUGGAAAAAAAUGUACAUCUUACUUACCCAAGGACAAGCAUUAAAUCUUUCCAAAACCUUGAAGGAAAUCAUCAAAGCUUUCCAAAAUCUUGAAGGAAAUCAUCAAGGCUUUCCAAAACCUUGAAGGAAAUCACCAAAGCUUUCCAACAUUUUGAAGGAAAUCACCAAAGCUUUCCAACAUUUUGAAGGAAAUUUAAGGAGGUUCCUACCUAAGAAAGGAAAAACAUUUUUUUCCUACAACCACAAGGAAAAAAUUCAAAAAUACACCAAAUGUAUUUCAUUCAAGAUCAAGUCUCUAUAGCCAUUGAAGAAGAAAUUUUCAUUUCAUUCAAGAAAUAUGCCUCAACGACCCUUGAUGAAAUUCAUCACCUCUAUUCAAGACCAAGCCUCAGCGGCCCUUGAAGAAAUGUUUCGUUCAAGAAAUACACUUUACGACCCUUGAAGAAGCAAACUAAUUGAAGAUCAAGUCUCCACGACCUUUGAGUUAGAGCAUUCACAUUGUAGGACUUCAAAACACGUUUCCUACAUGUGACAAGCACAUGCUUACAACGCACCUUGAAGUAGGGGCAUUUGUAGACAUGUAAAUUUCGUUGCAUACAAAUGAUGCAUCGCAAAGCUCCACGUGGCAUUUGACUCAUCACAAAUAGACAAGUCAUCAAUGACAUGCGGCACAAGUCAAGCAAAGGAAGUAUAUAACUUCGCCAAAAUUCGGCUAGGGAAUCCAAAUUGAUCCUAAAACUGGAAAGAAAGCUAAAGCAUCUUCAUAAAAACAAGUAAGAAUUGAAGAUUGCUCACAAAAUAGGCAACAAGAUCCUUAAAUUUGGCCAAGGGAGUAAAGUGGCUCAAAACAUGCCUAUAAUCAUCCCAAAGGCAAGCCUUGAAAAGCCUAUAAAUACAAGGUCCUCCCACAAGCAUAAGGGUUGAAAAAUCUCUACACAGAAGGACCUCUGCCAAACCUUUGAAGACUAAUACGCUGCCAAAGCUCUCCUCAAAGAACAUUCAACCAAAGCUGAAGCUUUCUCUUGACCAAAGUCGAAGCACUUCCUUGAAGAAUCAACAAGCCCUCAUGCCGAUUCCUUCAAGACUUCAUUGCAAGCUUAUAAACUUGUAGCAGCGUUCAUUUCAAGAUCAAGUUGCCAAGACCCUUGAAACAACGAAAUCCUACAUCAAACACUACCUUUGCCACACCCUUUGAGGUGAAGAUCAUCCACCAGUCGUUUUCAAGCUCAAAACUUGGAGCAAUCGUUCAACCGUUCAUCCGAGAUUAAGUCAUCGUGACCCUUGGAUCAACAAUCUAGGCAUCUACAUCAAAUUUGAAGACUAAAUCAGAGGAAAAUUGUAAUAGAGAUUGUAACCUACAUAAUUCACCAAUACAAACUUACUUUGUAUAUUUGUUCUUGUUUCAUUCGAUACAAAAUUUUUGUGUUUACACUUGUUUAGCAGAAUUAUUAUGUUUAACUUAUAUUUAUCUUCAUGCACACGCUAAAAUUAAUUGCGGACAUAUGUUUUGUCUCUUCUUUUUAUAUAUUCUAUUGGCAGAACAUAUAUGUAUGAUACAGCAUCAUAACAAUCAUUGGUAUGUUAAUUGUUAUUUUCUUUCCUGGAUGUGCUAAUGAGUUGUAUAUAAUUUGGUUCAAGGUUGAGAGCCUGGAGGAAGUGAAGAAAGCAAUACAUGUUGGUGCAGAUGCAAUUAUUGUUCAAGGGCGUGAAGCAGAAGGGCAUGUGAUCGGUUAGGUGAGCCUGCUUUCUUGGAUCUCGUUGUAUUAACACCGAUGAUUUUACAAUAGUCACAUACUUAGUUUUGUGUUUGCUUCGUUCCUUAAUUGCCUAUUGCUUGAUACUUGUCAACUAAGAUACUUGGAAUUAUUGACACCUAUGUGCUUUCUAUUGUUCAAAUUAUAGGAUGCUUUGAUUUCAUUGUUGCCGAAGGUAGGUGAUCUUGUUGGAGAUCGAGAUAUACUCUCAUUGCUAUUGGUGGUAUUGUGGAUGCCCGUGGAUAUGUUUCUACUUUGGCCCUUGGUGCUCAGGGCAUCUGCCUAGGAACUAGGUUUAGAUAAAACUAAUUUUUACGGUUUCAAUAUAUUUCUCUAUAUUCUUCUCUCAUAGGAGGCAACACAUAUAUAUACAUACUCAAUCCUUGUACUACAAGGAAUAUUAAGGACAUAAAAAGAGAGUUUUACCCAAACUAGGAAACAUAAUUACAUUCGUAUUGUAUUAUUGUUGGCUCAUACCAACACUCCCUCUCAAGUUGGUGCAUGGAUAUCACCAAGGCCCAACUUGUCGAGUAAGUCUUGAAACCUUCUUGCAGAAACUGCAUGAGUUAAAAUAUCUGCCAACUGUUCUUCUGUCUUUAUGAACGGAAUGUUAACUAACUUAACAUCCAACUUUUCUUUGAUAAAAUGUCUAUCCACCUCAACAUGUUUAGUCCUAUUAUGCUGCACCGGAUUGUUAGCUAUCUCCCGUUGCUUGAUUAUCACAGUACAAUAGCAUAUAACCCUUUGGUUUAAACCCUAUCUCAAUGAGUAGAAUCUGAAGCCAUAGAAUCUCACAAAUACCAUGUGCCAUUCCUCUGUACUCAACCUUGGGCCGAAGACCUUGCCACCACAUUUUGCUUCUUACUUCUCCAUGUCACAAGAUUACCAGCUACAAAUAUGAAGUAUCCUGGCGUAAAUCGCCAAUCAGUGAUAUUUCUAGCCCAAUCUAUAUUGGUAUACCCUUUCACCUCCAUAUGCCCAUGCUUUCUAUACAUCAACCUUUUUCCUUGAGCUCAUUUUAAGUAACUUAGAAUCAGCAUUACUGCUUCUAUAUGAUCCUCACUAGGAGCAUGCAUAAAUUGACUCACCACACUUACUGCGUAAGCAAUAUCUGGCCUUGUAAGCGACAAAUAAAUCAACCGCCCUACCAAUCUUUGAUACCUUCCCUAUUCACUAGGACUUGAUCCUGAUAAAUUGCUAGAUGAUGAUUCUGCACCAUAGGUGUAUCCACUAGUUUACACCAUAACGUACCAGUUUUAGACGAGAGAUCCAAUACAUACUUUCUCUAGGAUAAGUAUAUUCAUUCUUAAGACCUAGCCACUUCAAUUCCUAAGAAGUAUUUAAGUCUUCCAAGAUCUUUCAUCCAAACUCAGAAGACAAAUGCCCUUGUAGACGUUCGAUUUCCAUUGUAUCAUCACCUGUGAUAAUCAUAUCAUAUACAUAUAUGAUAAGCAGAGUUACCUCGCCAUUUUUGCGUUUAAUGAAGAACUUAUGGUCUACGUUUCCCUGUCGAUACCCAUACUUCUUCAUUGCCUAGGUGAACCGCCCAAACCACGCUCUGGGUGACUGUUUAAGGCCAUACAGUGCCUUCCGAAGUCUACACACUUUCCCACUCGAGUUCGCAGCGCCAUAACCUGGUGGAAUAUCCAUGUACACCUCUUCCUCUAAAUCACCAUGUAGAAAAGCAUUUUUAACAUCAAACUAUCUCAGAGGCCAGUCAUGGUUCGAAGCAAGAGAUAAUAAAACUCUAAUGGUAUUCAUCUUUGCAAUAGGAGCAAAAAUUUCCUGAUAAUUAACCCCAAAGGUUUGGGUAAAACCUUUGGCCACUAGCCUCGCCUUGUAUCUAUCAAUUGUUCCAUCUAUCUUAUGUUUAAUAAUGAACACCCAUUUGCACCCUUACUGAUUUCUUUCCUUUAGGAAGUAGGACCACACUCCAUGUAUUAUUCUUUUGUAAUGCUUCCAUUUCAACUUGCAUUGCUUCUGUCCAUUUCGAAUCUUUCAAAUCUUCUUCCACUCUAGUGGGUAUUUUGAUGGUUUCCAUUUGCUGAACAAAUGAACAGUAUUUUGGUGAAAGUCAAUGAGUGGGGACACAGUUUGAAAUGGAAUACCCACUUUUCCUUCUGGAGAAUACUUGUCAGGUGGCUUUCCUCGAUUUUGUCGAGGAUGCAACAUAUAAGAUGGUUUAAUAAUUUCUGAGUGAGUACUUACCUCAAGAAUAUCCGUUGGAGUAUGAGGGAGUUUGUUAUUAUCUUCUAACUCACUGGAACUAUUACUCGAAUUUGGGGCAAUUAUUACCCUUAAAUGCCCAGUCAGACCAACACCACAAUUUCUAUUUGGCCCACUUGGGUUGGUAGCUGUAGAUAGGCAGACAGCAACAUCAUCGUCAUAAUUUGGGCUGCAGACAACCGCGUCAGCAUGCGACCUAUCAUUAUUCUCGCUGGGUACAACAUGUGGCCCACUUGGGCAGGCAUCACCCGGUCCUAGCCCACGCCCUCUGCCAUGGUCAGCACACUUAUUAAGGCAAUCACAAUUUGCUUCAUCUUGGCCAGUUUGGUCAGUAGCAUCUGGGCCGAUUUGGUCUAAAGGCCCGUUUGGGCUAUUUACAGAAAUAGUAGGCAUAAUAUCGAAUCAACAAUAAUCUUCACCUGAGGUUGUCUCCCCUUGAGGAGUAUGGCUGGGAGGAAAAAAUAUUUCAUCUUUAGAAAAGGUAACAUCCAUGGUGACGUACAUAUGUCGAGUGGAUGGAUGAUAACAUCUAUAGCCUUUUUGUUGAGGAUUAAAGCCAAGGAACACACAUCGCACCGCACAUAGAUCAAGCUUGCUUCUUUGAUUUUUGUGAAGAUGAACAUAUGCCACACAACCAAAAACCCGGGGUUCGAGAUGAAGAGUGGAAGGGAGCAAAACAUGAUCAGCAAGCAUGACUAAGGGGGUUCUAAAAGAGAGAACGCGCGAUGGCAUUCGGUUCAUGAUAUAAAUAGCAUAAGUGAUUGCAUCAGCCCAAUAUGUCUUGGGUGCACAGCUACCAAUAAAAAGGGCAUGGUAAUCUCAAGGAUGUGCUGAUUUUUUCGUUUGGCAACUCGAUUUUGUUGUGGGGGUCUGAGGACACGUAGUUUCAUAAAGAAUGCCCUUUUCCGUAAAAAACUAAGAAGUAUCCUGAUUAAGAUACUCACCACCGUUGUUUGAUCGAAGCAGUUUAACACGUAGUGAAUACUGAGUAUAGACCAUGUGAUAAAAUGCUUUGAAAAUGUCACCCAUAUCACUUUUAUUUUUCAUGAGGUACAACCAAGUCAUCGUAGUGCAAUCAUCAACAAAUGUUACAAACCAAUGCACACCAUGCUAAGUAGUAACCAGAGAUGGCCCCCACAUAUCAGAAUGAAUUAACUCAAACAUAAUUGUUCUUUUAUGCAAACUUGGAGGAUAAGAAGCUCCAUGAUUUUUAGAAAAUGUGCAAACAUCACAUUUUAACGAGGACUCUGGAAUAUUAUUAAAUAAUGAUGGAAGUAAUUUUCGCAAAUAACCAAAGGAGGCAUGACCUAGCCGACUAUGCCACAAUUGAAUAGACCUUAAUUUUCCAUUAUCAUGACCUUGAACUUGAUGAACACAACCUUGUGCUACAUCAUCAACAUAAUACAACCCUUUCCUCUUAGUACCAUGCCCAAUGAUUUCUUGAGUUCGAAUGUCCUGAAGUAAACAAAAAGAUGAAAACAUUUGCACAACAUAGUUUAAUUGCUCGGUGACCUGUCCCACAUAUAACAAAUGGCUUGAGAGUGUGGGAACAAGUAAGCAGUUAUAUAAUGAGAGAGUAGGAGUGAGUGCUAUCGAGCCCGCUCCUGGAACUGGGGCAACACCUCCAUUAGCAUUGACAAUACUAUCCCCGGGUGGUAGUGUUGUAGAGUUAAAUAAAGUACGAUCAUAAAUCAUAUGAUUAGUGGCUCCGGAGUCAAUGAUCCAACCUAUAUCAAGAUCAACAGAUGCAAUUAAGGUUGUUCCCAUGUUACCUGGAUUGUUGGAUUGCUCUUGGGAAGCAAUCAAAUUUGAAAGAGAUAGUUAUGGGCCAAGAUUGGCUGGGUUCAGGUUUAUUUUCUGAUGCCGUUGGUGGGCUCAGCAGGCUAGCGCCCACUUUUCUGUUGAAGUCAGCGCCACUUGUUGGCUGCCUAACUGGAUUUUGGGCCCUAGGCAAGGCAAGCCCAGCUUGCUGGAGAUCAAUAUGCUGGAAGCUAGCGCUGCAGGCCCCACUGGAAGCUAGCGCCACAAGCCCAGGUCCCGAGACUCCUACAGCCUUGAAUUCGAAUGGCAAAGCCAGAUUGGAGGAUUUGUUUAACGUAGGAACCGAACCUACAGUGGAGAGCACGACUUAUUGUUCAGCCAUUGGAGCUGCAUGAACAAUGAAAAAAUUUCUCUCUGAUUUGGUUUAAGGGUUUAGGGCGAGUCUCUUGUUUCGAGACCACUUGUGAUCGGUAUUUUUGGUGUAGAAGAAAAGUAAGGUCGAAACCCGCUCUGAUGCUAAGAUAAAACUAAUUUUAAGGUUUCAAUAUAUUUCUCUAUAUUCUUCUUUCAUAGGAGGCAACACAUAUCUAUACAUACUCAAUCCUUGUACUACAAGGAAUAUUAAAGACAUAAAAAGAGAGCUAUACCCAAACUAAGAAACACAAUUACAUUCCUAUUGUAUUAUUGUUGAGUCACGCCAACAGGUUUGAUAUACUUGACCUGUUAGACUUUUCAAAGAGCAUAUUUAAACAAUCUUGCAACAAAGGUUUGGGAAACAACACAUCUUCAUAUCAUUGAGUUACAAAUUUCCAAACUUUCUCAUACUGUAUUCGUUCAAGAUGUUUUCAAUUAUAAGUGAAGUUUUAGUAAUUUGGUUUUUCUAUAAAUUUGUCCUUGUAGGUUUCUUGAAACUGAAGAAAGUCAUGCUCAUCCUGCAUACAAGAGAAAGGUGGUUGAAUAUGACGCAACUGAGUACGCUGAUGUAUUCGGCUGUGCAAGGUGGCCCGAUGCACCACAUCUUGUUCUGCAUACACCUUUCUUCAAUGAUUGUAAAUAUAUUCCUGCUGAUCAAAAUGAAGUGGGUCAACCUGUCAUCGGCCGCGCAAUAAUACAUGAUAGGGUGAGGAUGAAGUUUUUCUCAUACUUGACAAGCAACGCUUAACACUAGAACCAAGAGUAUGCCAUUUCCGGUUUCUGCAUUUUUUUCAUGCAUUGCAUAUAACUAAGUGGAAUGUCUUUAUUUGACUUGGAGUCCGAUGGAUAGCAAUCUUGACUUAUAUUCUCUAACAGAAAAUAGAAAUUCGCAGUCUUGCCGGUACUGUUCCAAAUGCGACAACAACGUGUGACAUUGAAAGCGUGGUGGUGUAUGCCGGCCAAAGUGUAGGACUCAUCAAGGAAAUUUUACCUGCAGGGGAGGUGGUAAAGAGGUUAGUUGAAGGGGCUCAGCUUCUGAUAAAAAACAAGUUCAGUGAUAUACUAUAAUCUACAGAUGCCUUAAUUUCACACUGAAAAUUUUGGAGAAUUGGGCUACAAUGGUGAACAAAGUUGAACUAGUAUUAUUUUGAAGAAAAUAAAACCUCGUCCCCGUCAGUCAUGUUUAUUGUUCAACUAUAGUAUUUGUCGAGAAAUAGGGUACGUGAUGAACUGUUUGUUAUAUUGCAUAAUUAAUCACAAGGGUACGUUUUGAAUGAUUCAGACUACAAGAUCCAUUUUAGUUGAUUGUUUCUUAAAACUAUUAGAAGGGGAAUUCAAAGUUCGGCACAGAGAGGAGAGCAUAUUGUUCUAACAUCG